rnacentral:lncRNA from 1 species
UGAGUUUUUUUUUUUUUUUUUUUUUUUUUUUUUUUUUUUUUUUUUAGUUGACGUUAUCCUAAACAAUUAACAAUUUUUGUUUUCAACAGUUCUAACUUGUUUUUUUCCCAAGAAUCUACAACAAUUAUUUGUUUUUGGGGUUUGAAUAAUAAUUUGGACUAAAGUUUAAAACCAAAGACAUACCUAAAACAUUUAAAUGAAAAAGAAAACAUAAUAAGUAUUUUUGUUUUUGAUAAAGAUUCGAAUGUUCUUAUAAACAUAAUAAGAAAACAUUCGAAUGUUCAGAUAAAGAUUUUCAAAAAAAGUAAAUGAUAUCGCACAUUAAAAAAUAUACGUUAGGAAAAAUGGUUUUUUUUUUCUCAAACAAAUAUGUUCUAAUGCUAUAUUGCUAAAAAUGAAGAAAAUUUGGUUUAUAACAUACUUUUUCAUCUUAUUAAAAGUAGUAUAAUAAGUUAGUUAACCCGUAAGAUUUUAUCUCCGAUAUUAACCGUAUCAUAAUCAUCAAAUAACCGUAACCGUAUUUAACUGUAACCGUUGUAACCGUAAUCGUAUUUAACCGUAACCGUUUUAACCGUAUAUAUAGUGGUUAAGGUUACGGUUAAAGAAAAUUUAUAACCGUAACCGGCGGUUAAUCGACCGUAACCGUAAUAACCGUAACCGUGGUCAUGCUUUAUAGUCUGUGUUAAGCAUGUGUAUAAGGAGGCUAAUCGUCUUGCAGAUAGAUUAGCGAACUAUGCGGUUUCACUACCAUUAGAAUUUCCUAUGUUCGACUCGCCGCCGGAUUGUGUGAAUUCUGUUAUGAUUGAGGAUGUAAGUGGGUUUACAAGACCACAGAAUGUACGCUUGUAAUUGUUUUUUUCUAGUUUGAAUAAAUUGGGGGAUACACUUCUCACACCCAAUAAAAACUCACUAUAUUUUUUUAAGAACUUGAUCUACAAAUAAUAAUUAAGUAUUUAUUUCUUAAUUUAUAAGGAGCAAAUGGUAAUCUGGACUAAAGUAUAAAACCAACGAUUAACCUUAUAAUUAAGCCUCCAACGACAUUUAUUUAUUUAUUUUAUAAAGAGUAUCAUGUUAAGUCAAACUGUAAUAAAUAUAAUAAAUAUUCAUUUCGCUUCAUAAAAAGUGUCAUGUUAAAACUUUAUUUUUGUUUCAUACUAAAAAAUAUCGUUUUAUAUUUUAAUGCAGAAUUUUGAAUAAAAAUUUGAAAGAGAUAAAAAAUUUUAGUCAUUAAUAAAAAGUAUAGUAUAACUUUUAAUAGUUUUUAUAAAUAUGUGUAAAAAACAGUAAAAUUACACUCUUUGUAAUACAGAUACCUCCAUUUUCCUGCAUCCUAUGAUUUUUGUUUGUUCUAUAUAUGUCCAUUUAUGAUGAAUGUAUUUAACUAUGAUUCGCCAAAAUAUAUUGGGGUUAUAAAGCAAGGGCAAUCCAUGUUUUAGCAUAAUCGACGCAAUCCACAACUAUCAUUCAUACGUUUACAAACAUAUAUGUAGUGUUAUUAAAAAAUUGUUUUAAACAGACGAAACUACCAACAAUGUAACGUAUAUGACCUUCAACAUUUAAUUCUUGCUUUGUUUACCUUAAAAUCAUAUAUAUAUAUAUAUAUAUUCCCUCUAUUUUUCUGUCACGUCAUCACAUCAGAGAAUGUUAGGUGUUUAUAAAUGAAUCACCAAGCUUCAUUUUCAUCGGUCCUUCUCGCCGGUUUUAUCGGUUUUAUAAAAAAAAUAAAAAAAAUAGAGAAACCAUAUAUAAUUCGGAUUAGUUACAAUUUGUUUUUUUCGGUCUUACAGUUUAUCGGUUUUGUAAAAAAUAAAACCACAUAAAAACAAUAUGCAAUUCGGCUUCGUUCGAAUUAGGUUAUUUUUGGUUUAUUCUUUUUUCAGAAAACAAAGUAACAUUAGAUUUUUGUCUUGAAUUGUAUCAUCUUUUUUUUAGAUUCGAUAAAACCAUGAGUAAUACAUUCAAAAAUACUUUACCAAUCAAAUGAUAAACAUAACAUUAUUAUAAAAUAUAACAUCUUUCAAAGAGUUUUAUGAAAUAUAACAUCUUUCAAAGAGUUUUAUUUACUCUUCUGCAACGCCUAUUGAUAUAAAAUUUUAAAAAAAAAUCAUUAGAUUGAGAAAAUUUAUUCAUGUAACUUACAUUACCAAGAAGAGAAAAACAAUAUUACAAAAAUAAUUAAAAGCUAACCAAACAAAAGCUAACCAAACAGGAAAUAGGAAAGAACCGAAUGGUUUUACGGUUUUAUACCAAACCAAAACCAAAAUAUUUUAACUAAUUAUAGCCGAACGGGUUUUUGGAAGAGACCGAAACCAAAACGAAUCACUUAAUUAUGGUUCGGUUUAAUUUUUCUGAUAAGGUGUAUAUAUGUCUAUUCUUAAUUUCUUACUACGAACAUAGGUUUACAAUUUAUUUUUAUCGAUAAAAUAAAUUAUAAACGAAAAAAUAUAAUAUAUAAAAAGUGAAUAUUUAUAACACUAAUAAACAAAAAAUUUAUCAACAAAAAUAUUCAAUAGUAAUUUAUUUAUUUUAAAGAGAAAGUCCGUGGAACGGGUAUACCCAGAAUAUGUAUACAUUAGUUUGUGUUUUGAUGAGAAUUUUAAAUUUGUUUUUCGGAUUUUAGAGAGAGAGAAACAACAUAGUUUUUGUCAUAAGCUUACAAAGCUCACUUGAGUUUUUUUUUGUGACUACUGUAGUGGAGUCCAGUUCUACACAAGGCCCAAUCCGAAUUAUUACUAACUUUCUACUAAAUACAUUAGUUUGGCAUUUGUCCUUUUUUUUGAGGGGGAAAAGAUGUUGGUCAUUUUGAUAACAUCAAUAAGUUCUGUGAAAUGACCAAAUUUUUCAAGGAACAAUCCUAUUUUCUCCCUCCUAAAAUGCCAACCAAUUUUUUCAACUUACGUAACAGUGAUGUAAGACACAACAAUGCAGCUUCUUUCAAACUAGCUAGUUGAAGUUGAUGGCCGUCCAUGGCAGUUGCAACUAAGGAAACAGAACAUGUUUUGGGCCUAACUUCUUACAAAAACAUGACCAAAAGCCACCACAAACACUGGUCACAAUCCAACACGUAAAAUUGUAUUGUCUUUACUUGAAUAUUUUUCUAAAAACAAGACCAAGUCCUCUGUCUUGAUUUGUCUCCACUUUUAGGGUCUUUGAUCUUUAUGCUCUACAACUGUGAGAGUUAGGCACACCAGUGAUCUCCAGGCCAAAAUCAUGUGUUUUAUCGCUUUAGUUUUAAUAAAAGUCGAUGAAAUCAACUCAAAUUUCCAUCAGAAAUUCUAGUAUAUGUUUUAGGUCUUGAUUGUUUGUUUGUUUCUACGUUUAUAUGUUUCAAUUAAAAAUAUUUUCUAAUCAUGUCUUAAACAUUUAAAUUUUUACCAUUUUUCGAUAUUUUUAAGAAGUUUAUUUCCGCGAGAAUUUAAAUACAAAAAGAAGAAUGUUGUUUGUAUUUAACAUUUGCGUUUUACAUUUUGAUUAAGUAAUAUUUUAUUUAAACAUAACCACAUAAAUUAAGUUUUAAAACUCGUUUUAUUUCAUCAAAUUAUCUAAAAACAGCUUUAUAAAUUAAAGCUACUUAAUCGAACAUGGUAUAAAAAAGAAUCAGGACCAAUGAUGAUAAAUAUAACUCAUGAAUAUCUAAAAUCCAGAAUCUCAAAUCGUUUAUACACACAAACUCUUCAACCCUCCAAAAAAACAUUUUUUAAAUCUAUACAAUAAUAUAAUCCAAGACAACUAACUAAAUAACCAUAAAAAACAAAAACAGAGCAAUAAAAGAGAAAUAAUUGUAACAACAAAAGCACUAAUGAAAUCGUUGUCGUUUAGUAGCAACUUCAAUUCCGGUGGCAAUUCCAGGAACAGAGCAACCUCUAAAAUUCAGCAUUGAGGUCGUCGUAGUCGGCAAACAACCGUAAGAGUUUGAGAUCGGAGGAACUCUUAAGCUCUGUUGAAGCGGCGGAGGAUUACGCCACCGUGGAAGAGGACCAGCAACAAGAAGUGUUUGAAGCAACGGUCCAGAUUUCAUCACAGUUUGAAGAAGCUUCCCUUUCUCCGGUAAAGAUUUGCCUUUUAUAAUCUCAUCCAUUAGAGCAUCCACAGGAUCAAUCUUUUUCAAGAUCCGGUUAACGGGUUGUUGUCGGUUCUUGAGCUUGAUUUGGUUAACCGGUUCCGGUAUUAUGUUGAAAUUGGAGAAUUCAGAGGAUGAGACCGGUUCGAAGAAUGAAUCAACCGGUGAAGAACCGUGUGAGUUUGACUCGGUUAUGCCUGAAUUUGUUUUGAUUGUGAGAAGUUUUUGUAGUUGAUCUUUAGCUUCGUCUCUUUCUUGACGAGCAAGUUUGAGAAGAUGAAGAAGAUUCUUCACUUCUUCUUGAUGAAGUUUUGUUUCUUCAUUAGCUUUUGCUUUCACUGCUUCGAGUUCAAAGGAAUUAUAUUGAAGCUUUUGUCUUAAUUCAUCCAUACUCUGUAAUAAUUAUCAAGAAAAAGUUAAAAGUCAGAAAUUAAUUGAUAUAAAAAUGAAGAAAAAAGAUUGGCUGAAUCAUUGAAGAAAUCAACAUCUAGAAGAAAGUAUAGUGAAAAGAAACAUAAUAAUAAAAAAUACAUUGGUUUUACUUUUACUAAUGAUGUGUGACAACAACCUUGCGUUCAUGGGGUCAAGAAUUCACUCGAAACGUUACUAAAUGUAAACCAAACAUAUUAAUUAUUAUUAUAUAAAAACGUCAGGGCUAGGAAAUUAUUAAAUAAAAAGACAAAAAAAGAAAAUAGUCUUUGUGUUAAAAGGGUCAGAAAAGUACAAGAAGUCACAUUUUAUGUAGGUGAAAUGGACUGUUCUGAUAGAUUCUCAUAGAUCUGAGAGGUUUUAUAAUGUCGGAGUUAACUAAAAGUAAAAUGUUGGGAAGAAAAAAGAAAGAGAGAUUUUUACUCAGAAGUAAAUUUAAACCAAAGUGAUUAGAAUUCCAAUUACACACACACACACAAACACAAUGAUUCUUAAGGACAAGAAUCUAGAAUUGAUCAUCUAUAAAAAAUUUAAAAAGAUGAAUCUCCAUGCAAAAUGUUGAUUUGGUUGGUAUAAAAAAUACACAAAAUGGCCUUUGAAAUUCAUAUUAUUAAGGAAAACUAACCUCUUGGUAAAACCAAAUAGAACCCAACUCUUCCAUUUGUUUUGUCUCUUCUUUUCUUGUUUCUUAGAGAGAAAGAGAGAAAGAGAGAGAUUUUUUUCUUUUCUUCUCUGAUUUCUUAGAGAGAGAAAUUGAGAAAGAGGGAGAGGGAGUUGCAGGGGAAAUGUUGUGGGUGUUCUUAUAGUGAAGAAGAUGAAGGCAUAACAAGAGAGGACAAUAAGAGGAGAUGUCGUUCAUGUCAUGUCAAACGCAUAAAAUUAAAUUAAAAAUGAGAAUAGAAAAUGAUUAAUUUUGUUUGACUCGAAAACUUGGUAAGAUGCCAUAUUUGUCCUUUCUCUCUCCCUAGCAGCACUGAGCUAUCUUUCCUAAAACCUCUCCCACUUUAGCAGGGACUUUGUCUCUUCCUUAAAAUAAUUCGUUAUUUCCAUUAUUUACCAUUUUUUAACUUACCAUGCAUGACAUUUAUACACGACAUGCAUGCAUGUUAUGACAUUUUUUUAUUUUAUUUAUAUUUAAUGUAUAAUUUUUUUUGUCAAAGGUAUUAAUGUAUAAUUAAGAACUUACUUUAAAAGUAUGUGUUUUUUAAAGAGAAACCGAAUAAGUAAUAAACUUUCUUGAAUUGUAUUAUUUUUUUUGUAAAAUGUUUCCAAAAAUAUGCGAAAGUGUUUAAAUUCUUUUAGAAAUUUCCGCUUUUAAUGAACCAAUCUAAAAAUAAAUUACUCAAAAAUAAUCUAUAGCUUCGGAACUACUGUGCUUUUCAACCUAAAAAUUAUAGGUUGGAGGCUCAAAAUUUUUUUAUUAACCAGAAAAUAGAUAAAUAAAUAAAUAAAACAAGUAACUUACUGAAUGUUGACCCAAAGUAAAAAUACGUACACGUUUCUCAUAUAUAUCAGUUGGAACGAUAGUAAAGAAGGCUAACUUGGUAAAGUUUGUAAUCGUGAGUCAGCACAUCGUCGUUAUUUUUGGUUUUACUAGAAACUAUUGCCUUUUUUUGUUUGUCACAUUACUUUCUAAUUAAUAGGUGGCUUCGUCGUAUUAACGAGUAACACACCAUAUGUAUUUACAAUAAUACGCUUAAAUUACGCGUUUUUAAUGCCUUAUUACUAUUGCUAAAAUUGAUCAAGGUAAAUAUUUACUGUUAGAUCAAAUAUUUAUGUAUUGUAGAAAAGUAUCUAGCUGUUUUUAUAUAAUUUACUUAUUAGAACUUUUAUUAAAGAUGUAAGGUCCCCACCGCCCCUAUCAGUGGGGCCCACGUCCUCUCUCGGGCCCAUGAGUCCUCUUUUGUCCGAUGGCCGGUCCGCUACGUCCGGGAGGCUUUAAAGAUUUGUUUACCAACCCUACAAAUCACCACAUGAUCUUUCCCUGUGUUUUGUCCUCACUCACACAGUUUCGACAAUCAUUUCCAGGAAGGUCACCCAUCCUAAAACUACUCCACCCCAAACAUGCUUAACUGUGGAGUUUACUGUUAUUUACUGUUAAUUUAUCACAAAAAAAAGUAUUAACUGUUAGAUCAAAUAUUUAUAUUUAUGUAUACUAGAAAAGUAUCUAGCUAUUUUUAUAUAAUUUAGUUAUUAGAAAUUUUUAUAAACACACAUAUAUAGGGGUUAGUCGAAGUUAGAUUUCCUAAGAUCAGAUUGUAUCAAAGUUUCGUUAUAAACCCUAGAUCAAAUUGUCAGGCUAUCGCACCAUUACUUUAAAAAUGUCAUUUCGAAUAAUAAAUUCUUCAAACCUGAAACAUUUCGAAUACUAAAACUUAAAACUUUUUAGUAUUAUUUUAUAAAUUAAAUUAUGUUAUGUAUUGGCAUUGGUUGUUUGUUGAAAGUUAUGAAUCCGCAUGGAUGGUCCCGAAUAAGAUAAAAAAGCGGGACCUACCGUACAAAAUACUUGAUCAACGGAGGUUGCGCACGAUGGCGACAAUCAUUUGCUCUAUACGUGAAUCCAAGGUUGAGCAAAACAAUAUUAUUAUUUUUUAAAAUGGAUAAAGGAAUAAAAGUAUUUUAUAUUGUAAGAGUAACGUAUAUUUUGAUACAAUAUUCUAUCAAACCACGAGACGCUCCUAGAUUUUCUUAUGAACUGCCCAAGAAACUGAGCUAUAUACAAAUAUUUUGACUUGUAAAUAAUUAAUUCAUCAUUAGUUGUAUAACUAACAUUGUCUUGUAACUUAUAGAAAUGAAGGCCACAUGGGUUUCGUCAUUCCCAUGAAUUGUUAACUCGGAAUAUAUUUGCGGCAUAACAUGAUUAUUACUUUCUAAUGGCAUAUAAGUAAACAUAAGGUGAACUAAAACCAAAAUAAAAGAAAAACAUAAAGUGAAUAAAUAGCAUAUCAAACCAAAGUCAUUCUGUGUGUUUUUUAGAUCUAGGUUGAGUCAGUUAUUAAUUAGUUAUAUUGAUAAGAAUCUCUUUUACACAGUUAAAAAAAAAAUCUAUAAAUCCAAACUAUCUAUAUUUAAAAAUCAUGAAUAUCUUUACUAAAUAUGGUCAAAUCCUGUUUUUCCAGAUCAAUUUUAAUUUUUUAAAAAUAUGAUCUAAUUAUGGCUCAAAAACUCAUAUCCUUAAUAGUUUAAAGUUUAAACAAUCUCAACUAUAUAUAUAAAAAAAUUGCCAGCUACAAAAAUAAUAUUGGAAGUAAAGAGUUUUGUAAAAUUUUAGUGAAACUUUUAGUUUAUGUUUUAAACUGUUUAUGUAACCAAUUUUUUAGAAGUUUAUACUUGUUUAAUAUUUCUAAAAAAAUUAUAAUAUAUUAGUGUAUAAGAAAAUAUAUAUGUAUAUAUAAUUCUGUAUAAUGUUAAAACAAUUUAUAUAAGAGACAAAUGAAGAACGUGGGAGUGAGAAGGAAUAGGGAUAAUAAUGCGAGGGACAACCUUUGUUGUCUCGUUGCAGUGUAUGCAGGAGUUUUCACACUUAUCAAUUUUCAAAUAUAAUUUGUUGGAACAUUCGCAUGUAUAUAAUGAAAAUAGGAAACGUAGAAGACUAACAUUAGCUAAAUGCGAAACAAAUUAUCAAAGUCCUUAAAUUGCCUAAUUUCAUUAUUGAUGAACAUGUCAUUCUUUCAUACUCUCAACUAUUUCCGCGUCUAACCAUUUCUUAUGACCCAACUUUUUUUUUUUGUUUCCUUCUCUGUUAUUGUUAAAGUAAUGAUGUUCUCUUUUCUCUUUUGUCGGCAACUAAUAAUCUUUUAAAUCAAUGAAUCCUCGCCGUCAAAAAAAAUAAAGAAUUUUUUUUUGGAAUCCUCGCCUUUUUUUUUUCCUUUACUUUACUGCCUUGUAAGAAAUUAUCCGCUGUAAGAAAAAUCAACAUGAAGAAAAACUGUUCACAAACAUAAUUUUUUUUUGGGGUUAUUACUGAUUUAGGGCUUUAUUGGCCCAAAACUUAAGAAAAAGGAACAAGUAUCGGGACUUAUAGUUUUAGGUAUUUGUGGGUUUGGUGUUAUGACUGUUUUGUCCCUAUCAUCUGUAACUCUUCUUCCUCGUUUCCUCCAUCUCCAUCGUGGGUAGUUCUCCGACCACCACCUUCUCUUUUCCGACCAUAACCUUUACUUCUCACUGUCAUGCUUCAUUAACGCUAUCUCCGUCACCUCCAUCAACUUCAUCACUUUCAACGCUAUCAACACCAUCUCUUUCAUCUCCGAUGCAAAAAACGUUUCGUCACCAACACCGAUCUCCUCCGAUGAACUCAUUCAAUUGAUUUCGUUUUGAAUAAAAGAAGCUAAACCCUAAGGGGAUCGUGUGGCUAGUAAACCUAAGGGCUCCAAUCAUAGAAAUUGAUUGAAUCAAAUUUUCUAAUUUAUUAUCAAAUCUAAACCAAAAUUGAAAAUCAAAUUUAUAGAUAUAUGAAAGAGAUGGGUUUGAAGCUUUAAUCUCUUGAUCUUAACUUUUCAUUCCCCUGCGCUUAAAUCCACUUCGUCACCGUAUCUUCAUCUUCAACAAUAUCUCUCACAUCUCUCUUUCAUAGACAUGAAAGUUUUUAGCAGCUCUGUGUAAGGGUAAAGGAGACAUUUCACCUAGGUUGGAAAUGCCUAAAAUGAAAGGCUUGGCAAAUGUACCGGAUGUCGUAAGUUUGGCUGAGAAAAAGCCCAUUCCCGUAAUUUAUUCUUUUUUUUAGAAAGAAAGAGAUUCUGAAGCUAGGCAUGUACAUUCAUCAGAAAAGAAUUAGAGUAUUUUAUAGAAUCGAUUUCCAAAUACCACUCAAACCAAAAAAAAUUUGGACUUUGCUUGAAAAUCUUAACGAGUUGAGAUAUUGACACUUGGUCUCAAACAAAAAUUCAUUAUACUUCAAUUACUUCAACUCCGAAAUAAAUGAACAAAUAAAGAAAAAUAAGAGAAAAUUUUGCAAAUAAAUCAGCAAUUAUAAAAGUAAGAAGGUAUGUAUGAGAUACACAAGAUUUUGUUGAGGUUCAAAUAUUCGCUUUAGUGUUGAACUUUAUUUUUAUUGAAACGAUAUUUAAAAUAAAUUGUUAGUGAUCUAUCUCAGACUUAAACGAUUCCAAAACACAUCUAACUCAACUCGGCCAAGUUUAUAGAUCUUAAGAGUAUAUAUUUUUAAAAUAUUUUCAAGAUUAGAGUAUUCUUUAGAUUAUAUGUAUGAGCAAAAGUUUUCAGCUUAAUAUUAAUAAUACAUAAAUUAACCUAAUAGUGUUUCAUGCUAUAAGAUUCUACAAUGUGGCAUGCUUUAUAAAUACAGUUUUAUAAUAUGACAACAUAGUUAACCGAUCUCUUAGAGCAUGUUCAUUAGUGAUACUCAUAAAGUAUCAUUAAGAAUUUUUUAGUAUUAUUUAUAAUGUUUAUUUAUUGUUUGAGAUUUUUUAUGAUACUCUUACUAAAUAUGUUUUUAUUGGUGAGACCGGUUUAAGUAUUAGACAAAAAAAUUUAUUUACAAAAUCAAAAAUAAAUAUAUAAAAACAUAGGAUUACAAAAAGUAAUAUUACAAUUAAAAAAACAGUAGAAUAUACUUAAGCAAAAUAAAACAUAAAAUUCAAAAAAACUUUAAAAAACAUGAUGAUAAAAAUAAUUUAGUCGCUUGUAGUUAAUUACCUUGGCCCCAUUUUUGCCAAAUAUGAAUUUUUUUUUUCUCUGCUUUCAGAGAAAAACACGUUUCCCAGACGAAUCAGCUGCCGCCAUGUCACCUGAUACUGGGUAUCAGAAGUAUCACUCCAGUGAUACUGAUCAUGCCCAACUUGAUACUCUGAUCUAUUAAAAAAUUAUUAAUAGGUUCUUGAUACUCUCAUUAUAUCAGCUAUGUACAUGGUCUUAAUCUAACAUUUUUCUUAAGGAAAUCUUAUAAGCUAGUUCAGGCAAAAAUAGGAACUUGCUAUGGUAUAUAUGGAAAAGCCGUAAUCGAUUCAUUUUUGAAAAUUUUAAGGAACCCCCUCUGGAGACUUUGGAAUUGGCUUUACGAGAAGCGUCGGUCUGGAAACAGGCAAUUAGGAGAGCUGACACAGAAUCCGAUGCUCUUCCCCGCCCGGUUCCUCCCCUCUCGGCGCCUCCUCGGUCCUCGGAAUGCCAGCUUGAUGCCUCUUGGCACUCGGGGGAUAACCUUAGCGGACAUGGAUGGGUCUUAGUUGAUCAGGAUUGUACUCUCCACCUCGGCCUCAAGUGUUCGAGAAGAAGUCUAUCUCCACUUCACGCAGAAGUUGAUUUUUUGCUUUGGGCAAUGGAAUGCAUGAUCUCACUAGGCGAUACCUCUUGCGCGUUUGCUUCCGACUGUUCGGAUUUGAUUUCUCUCCUGGAUAAUCAAGAUGAGUAGCCAACCUUUGCAGCGGAAUUAGCCUCUUUUCGAUCCUUCGUUUGUUUCUUCCCUGAUUUUAGCAUUAGAUUUCUUGCUCGGAGUCUUAAUAUUCGAGCAGACUUUUUAGUCAAAAAAGCUCGGGCUCGUAAUAGCCUUUUUUCCCAUGUAUGUUCAUCGGUUCCUGAUUGGCUUUCCCCAGUGGAGAGUCUCUUUCCGAUAUCUUAAUAAAGAUGGUGUUUGAUGAAAAAGAAAAAAAAAAAGAAAAAAAAGGAACUUGCUACAGUAUAUUCUAUAACGAUAUAUGAACUGACUGAACAAAUUUAUGUAUCAUAUAUGCAUAAUGCAUUAUUCAUACACUUAGAAUGGACAAUUGCAUAUUUUGUCAAUAAAAUAACAAGGUGUAGACAUGGAUAGGAAAAGACAAGCGCCUAAAUUUGAUAAGCAUGUGAUCAAAGAUAAGACCGGCGGAUUAUAAAAAGGACUAUUGUCUUGUCUUCCAUUAGGUUCAAUGUAUUUGCUUCAUAUAUCUACGCAUUUAUAUAAUUAAUUGAUAAUUAUUAUUUAAUCAUUAUAACUUUCUUUAAACACCAUUUUCUCACUAAAACAAAACCAUUUUGGCCUUUUUCUCCAAUAAUAAUAACACCCUUCCGAUGGCCUUAAUUAAUUAACUACAACCAUUCCUCAUUAUCUGGAUCAGCAUUUCUGUUGCAUUACUUUACGAUAUUCGUUGGAUUAUUCAUAACAAUCUAUGUUGGCUGAUGUACUAUAUUGACGCUGGCUAAGAUGACUUAGUAUAUAAGCCACGGUUUGGACCCAAAAAUACAUAAAAUGAAUUCAUCAUAAAACGUUAGCUACGUACACAUGAAACCGAUGAAUUAGAGAUAACGGAAACUAGUUUGCUAUUGGUUAUGUCGUUAUAAGUGUUAGUUACAUAACAAAAACAUAUUACUAUUUAUAUUACAAAGGCAAAUUAUACAAAUAUACUAAUUAGUAUUCGAGUUUUAUGUUUUGGACUACUUUCGAGGUAAACAUGCCCCUUGAUAAGAAAUUUUUUUUUGAAAACUCAUCAUGUGUAAAAACAUUCGAGCCGAAGUACAAGUGACCAAUUGGGCCAUCUAUGCGCACAAUAGAAUCAUCUCUAGGCUAUAGUGAAAAUGUACGUAUGGUUGGUCUUUGACCUAAUACUAUUAUGGCCCCACACGAAAGCUAAACAGAGUAUAAAUUGUUAAAUAGCCAAUUGUACGAUCACACUCUUCUUUAAUUUAUGAUCGGGUUUUCUCUGAACUCCUUUAAUUUGUGCUUAUUUUUUGUUGGAGGGUCUUUGACCGAAUGUAAGAUCUUUCGUAUAGAAGAAUUUGAACUUGUAUUUUAACAAAAAAAAAAAAGAAUUUGAACUUGUAAAUGCUUCUUUCCUCUGUUUCUAGAUUCUCUUAUGUUUCUGUUGAGCCUAUUUGUUCAUCAGUUUCCUCGAGAUUCGGGACAGACCAUUAAAAAACUUCAGCACUAUAGCGAUCGCCCAUCUGUAGUAUUCAUUUAAAAUACCCCAUUAGUUGCAUAAUUUUCUCCAAAUACUUAACAACUUUAGAUAGUAUAAUAAUACCAAAUCCAACGAGUAUCUUAUAGCACUUGAGGUCCCAAAAGAUAAAUAAACAAACAUAUGUGGAACAUAUAUCACCUUUGGUGCGUUAUCUUAUUUAUUGUGGUUUUAGCCUCCUCUUAAGAAACUACUUUUCUUUUUCCCACGGAAUAUUAUUAAUUCCUUAAGAAACUUCAUACGAAAGAAAAUAACAUUGUCGUUAUUUAAACGUGGUUGUUGCAUAGAAAAGACAUUUGACGUGACACUAAUAUUUUCUUCGAGUGUAAAAGAUUCAGUUGUCUGAACCCUAAAAACCAAGUGCCUCUUAUAAUGUCCAAGGAAGAAAAAACUAGCCUCUCAAUUCAAGGCAACAUGUGGGCCGAUAUUAUUUCAAGCAAAUCACAUCAAAUUCUUUACAAUAAAGUAUAACUCCCAAAAAAAUCUAGAUAGUUAAUACUUAUAUAUGCAUAUUCCCAUUUUAAGUUUUAAUUUCAUAUUAAUGUGUAAUUAGUGGUUUAUUUAUUUUAUUUUAUUUUUAUCAACAAACAUGCAUGUAAAUUUUAAUCCGGUUGGUGGUAACGCAUUGAUGACUUUGCAUUAUCCAAAAUUGCCCGAAUUCUGAUAUAAAAUCUUAGUUAUUUCAAGAAAAAUGCGUAUUAAACAAUGAAUACCUUUAAAUCUUUAAUCAUUUUUUACACCAUAUUAAACAAUGAAUACCUUCAAAUCUUUUUUUAUUUUAUUUUUGUCAAGAACUUAUUUUAUUGAAUACCUUCAAAUCUUUAAUCAUUCUUUUACACCAAGAGAAAAAAAAUCUUUAGUCAUUUUAGCAUUAAUUAAUCUGUUAGAGUAACCAUAUUAUAGAAAAAAUCAAAUCCUUUAUUUCAAGAAAGUGCUUAUAAAACAAUGCAUACCUUACACGUAGAAGUUACAGGUAUCUGUCGGUAUGGUUUGUUUGGUCAGUCUUUUAGACUACCUAGGGAUUUGUACUUCCAAAUGAUGAGUGCAAGUUAAAAGAUGAGGUAAAAACAAUUAGAAUAUCAAUCAUUCGCACCGCACUAUAGUAAAUAUAUACACCCCCGCAUAUAUACGUUCGCUUAGCCUUUGUAUGACAAAAUCAUUGUUGAUGGUAAGUAAAAACUUAGGAUUCUAUCUCUUCAAUAUAAUAGCAACUUUUCGACAUAGGAAGCAAACCGUUAUUCACAAUUUUUAAAUCUCAUUUUACAUCGAGUAUCCGAGAUUUCCAAAAUGUACAAUCAAAUUUAUGGUGAAGAAAUCACUUGACAAGAGUUUUUCCGCAAAUCCAUCACAAGUUAGCGAAUAAUAUCUUAUAUUAGAAGUGGAGCAAAAUUUUAAAUAGUAUAUAAAAGGUAUAGACAUAUUCAUUUAUUAUCAAUUUGAGUUGGAAACCUAUGAUAUAAUAUAAAAACCGAGCCCGAUCCAUAUGUUUCCCAACCAAGUUCACAAUCAGCACAAUCUAAAUUUUACCCACCUAUCGAUAUCUAAAAAUACCGAUUAUUAAUGACUAAAAGAACCAUCAUCUCGAAAAAGCGUAUUAAAAAUAGUAUCCUACAUCGAAAAAAACAAAAAUCUUGACUAUUAUAUAAAAUAUAUAAAUCAAUCAACUCAUACUAAUUGAUUUUGAGUUGAACAUCCAUAUUCUAAUAUAAAGUCUUUGGACCGGAUUUUAAGUGAUCAAAUGGUCACAUGCUACACAUAGUCGUAGCAAGUUUACACCUUUCGUCCUAAAACCAUUACAAUUGUAGAACCACACUCUUGUCAAAUGAUCAAGGCGUCCACAAACCAUACCUCAUAGUUAGAUCAAUACUUGUAAUCCAUACACAAGCAAAAAAAUUACAUCGCGUAAUAAUGUACACCGAGAUAAAUUUACAGUACUCUUUAAUCUUUGCUACCAAAUUUGGACUUUUUGUACACCCAUAAAUAUAUGGCAUAUUCUGUUAAAAUUGAUACACUUUAAGAAGAUCUUUUAAAUUUUGUUUUUUUUUUUAAUUAGUUUUGUUCUCACAUUCUUAAAGUUCUUCAAAGGUAAGGAGAAUGUAUACUUUUAAGCUUUAAGAAUAGUAAAUGAUAAUCAUAUGCAAAAAUGCUGUUCGUCCUUUAUAGAAUUAAAAUAAUAAAAAAGCGGUCAAGUGUAUGAUGAUUGGUUUCAAAAAGCAUGAAUACAUAUUGCUAUGAAAUAUUGUAAUAGCUAGGAGAAACUUGAUAAGCUCAUGAAUAAUUAGUUUAAUCGCGCUAAACAAUUGACAGUACUCAAGUAUUGUAACCGCAAACGAAAAGACAAAAAGAAGAAGCAAUCAAGUUUUUAACCUAACUAUAAAUUUUUUUUAGAAAGUAAAACCCCCGAAACCAUAUUGGUAAUGAGAUGUUCAACAAUACGACUAUACGAGUAUCCGUCUAUAAAGGGAUCUACAAAUUAAACUUGAGAAGGAUCAAAAUUCGAAGUUUGGUUCUAGAAGAAAUUCUAAGGUUUGAUAUAGAAGCUGUACAAAUUUCUUACAUAAUAUUAUCUGGCAAAUAUCAUUUGAUCCAUCGAGCAUUUUCUUAGCUAGCUUUUCUAAGUCACACCACCCUCGGGCUUACAUCAGGUGCUGGCCAUUGGCAUCAAUUUAUAUUUUUAUUUAAGUUUUUGUUAUUUUUGUAUUUUUUUUUUCCUACUCAGAAAGUUGAAUUGCAAUUUGUUUUCUAUAUUUUAGUGUGAAGAAGUAAAACUUUGUCAGCACAGUGCAAGAAAACAUUUUAAUAAAUUAUGUUUACAAAAAAACUUCUUAAGAAAAAAUUCUCUAUAUACUCCUACUUUUAUAGUUCGUUUUUUUCUAUUACUUGAGGAAUUAUCAUAUGAUAGAAAAAUAACAAAAACUUAAUUAAAUGAAAAAUACAAAUUGAUGCCAAUGGCCAGCACCUGAUGUAAGCCUAAGGGUGGUGUGACUUACUUGAGUAAUCCCCUAUAUAUUAAUAGAGAAACAUUAAAAAAAAAAGACCUUACCAUCAUGUGUUAUUAACAAGAUUGUCACGCUGAUGUGUCGCUCUCACAAUGAUUUGGCUUCUAUUUAGAUAAUUACCCAAGAUUUAUUAAACUAUUUAUAGAAUUUGCCAUUAGUCUCAUACAUCCAUAUAUCCCAUUAAUAAUUAAAAACAUACACUUUUUGUUUAUCUUAUAUUACUAUAUUUUUAUAUUUAUAUUUUUCUUUAUAUACAUUUAUAUAAAUUUUCUUUAGUGGAUGGGUAAACAAUCUUUUUAUUUAUAUUUAUAUUUAAAUGAUUAUAUAUAUAUAUACAUUUAGUUCAAGAAUCUCGAAUUCAAAACUACAAAAUCUUUACAUCUUUCAUAAAUUUUUUACUUCAAUAAAUAAGAUAAUCUCCUUUCUAUAUAUGUUACGAAUACUUAAAAUCCUAUUUUUUGGAGGAGUUCUAACUUUUCGAAGCAAAACAUUAUAACCACAUUUGUAUAUAAACCAAAAUCUGGCCACAUUAUAACCAUUUCGUAAAUAAUUCAUUCAUAAUCUAAGAAUCUUAGAUUUGGAAUACUACAAAAUCUUAGCUUGGAAACUAUCAAAUCUCAUAUUUGCUAAAUUUUGGAUUUCUUAUACUUAUUAAAAAAAAAAAAAAAAUUUAUACUACAAAAUCUCGAAAUCUUUAAAACAUACGGAAAGACAUAUUGCCAUAAAUUGUGGAUGUCGGAUUCAUACACUCAAGUAUUUUAUUAGGUAGGAAAUAUUACUCUUGAGGGACAAAAAUGGAUAUGUAAAAACUUAUAAAUUGCUACGAAAAUUGCUCUAGUAUUUCUUUCUUCUUAGGAAGAUCCCCCUUUACAUGGUCAUUGGCCUUUAUAUUUAUACAUAGAGAAACGACAUUAAAAUGAGUAAUUAAGUACAAUUAUUCCUUCUUAAAUGUGUCCGUUUUGAUUCCUUGACUUUAAUGCUCAACGUUUGAAUUUGAGUUGACUCUGAUCUUCGUGGGCCUCGCCUUUUCGGCCCAAGUGUCCUUGAACCGACUUACCCGUGUCUUCUACACCGAACUCAUGUCACAAUCCAGUCACUUCGGAUUCUCGAAGUGGUGAUAACCACUUCGACCGUUCCUUCGGCUCACGGGUCCAAUGGGCCAUUAUCUUUACUACGUGGCAAUCUUUGGUUGGUCUCGAACUUCUGGUGCGGGAUCCGACACCAACAAUUAGCCCCCCAAGUUCUUCGAAGUGCUGUUCCAAUUCGGAGGACUUUAAAUGCUCAAGUGGCCAAAGAUUGCGCUCGAGAAUCUUUCUGAUUUUCCGCCGAAAAUCUCAUCACUCCUUUAAUUUCGGCACUAGCCAUUUUUAACCGAGUGACAUCUGUCAUCAUUAUGACCGUAUAUUGAUUAAUUACUAUUAAAACGGGAAAACACCUUCCCACUUCCCACACAACUUCCGAGGCGGUUUCAUCAUUAGCUUGAGGUAACUUCUUUUCACCAUUACUCUCUUCUUUUACUUUUGUGCUUUAAUCAAAACCUCUCUCUAUUUUUCUUCACAAAACCUCUAUUCGCCGGAUCUUGAAUUUUUCUUUCUUCCCAAUGACUUCCGAUUCCGAUAGACCCGAGUCUCCGUCUUUUGAUGAGAGGCGUUCUAGCAAUGACGAGUGCACCCGUUCUAACGAUAUUGCCGGUCCGCACUAUAGAUCCACCUGCACCCUUCAGUCCCUCGAACGAUUGAAAGAACUCUGCCGAAUCCCACCGGGAAUUAUGGCGGAGGCGCAGAUAGCUGAUCCUACGGAGUCCCCAGAAAACCAUCACGACGGCUAUUUCUGUGUAUACGAGAUCUAUUUUAAGGGUUGCGGGCUGACUUUUCCUCUUCCCGAAGCCCUAGUUCGAUACCUAGCGGCUCUUGAAAUCGCUCUUCCUCAAUUAACCCCCAAUCUUCUCCGUACUAUUCUUGGAAUUAUAACAAUCGCGGCGGAGGCCGGAUACGUUGUCGGAGUUACUGAACUAAAUGAGCUUCUAAGCGUGAGAAGUUCAUCGAAGAAAACAGGGUAUUUCUCAGCAUAUCCUAACGCUAACACGAACAUCAUUUCACAUCUUCCGAACAAGGAUAAAAAUUGGAAUCAUCCUUGGUUUCAGAUUAAGAAAACUCCCGCUUCGAUUGGAAAUCUUGCAGAUUUUCUCCCUUCGAAGUGGUCUGCGAAACGUGGUAGAGAUUAGGUCGCCCGUAUCUUCCCCGGUUGUUUCUUUAUCUUUAUUGACUAAAACCGUUGUUUCAUUUCGCAGCUUUCAUCGCUUCCACUCUCCCAUCUGAAGAGUUCAUCGAAUUCUUCAAAAUAAUUCUUGAAGGGGAAACCCUUUGGAAUUCUUUCACUCUUGAACGAUUCCUAGAAGCUAACCACAGACUCAGGAUGAGUCCACCUGGUCAUCUUCACCAACUUCCGCCUCCCCCCUCAAUCCAGGGGAUGUCAUCUCGGGCCCUUGCGGCCAAGCGUAAGAUGCUUUCCAAGCCGAUGGCUGAGGCUUGCGAGGAGAAGAAAAAGUUUCUCGCGACUUCUAUAGACAAGAAGGACUACAGUAGGACCCUGCUGGUUGAUGAUGGCAGCACCGAAGGGGCCAGAUCCGUUGCUUCUUUCAGAUUAACUCCUCGUCGCGAUCGUCACGAUUCACAUUCUCCUCGGAGGGACCGAUCUCCUCGCCGUGAUUCACCUCGUCCUCCUCGAGAUGAUUUUAGCAAUGAACCAAUUAAGAACUUGGUUCACCGGAAGAGAGACAAGUCCUCUCGCAGUGAUUCUUCCCCGCGAAGGGAAAAGUCAAGGGCCCGGACUGAUCGUUCACCUCGAUUAUCUCCUCCUAUUGAACCAAUGGGUCCUCCCCGACCUGUUGACAUGUCUUCUUCUUCUCAGCCCGUCAGCGAAAAGACUGCUCGGAGUGCAUCUCCUAAAAAGGGAGAUUCUGAAUCUCGAGAUACUUCCUCGAGGUUAAAGCCUGUUCUUGUCCCUCAAGUCAAAUCGCUUUCAGAUUUGGUGACUUACACAUACUUAAACAUUUUUUGUCUCUAUUAAUAUUCCAAUUUUUACAACUCUUUCUUCUUCGCAGCUAUGGAGAAAGAAGGCAGCGUCUUCCGAUGCUUCAAGACCCGAUCGGGUUCGGUCUUGCCAGACUUCGACAAAUGGCGCCCUGCGAUUCGUGAACGCUAUUUACUUCACGCGCAUCACUCAUCUCGGGUUAGUUUUGUUUUUGUUUGUGUUUUUUUUUUUUAUUGCAUUGCCAUUCUGCGAACUGACUCGCCAUCCCGGAUUUAUGUACAAUGCCAGGCUCACGGCGAACUUAACGACAUGAUAGAACAUUACGAAGGGUUGGUCAUCGGACGGGAGAAGGAGAUUGACAUGUGGAAGAAGAAAUUCUCUGCUCUUGAGGCUGAACUCAGUUCUUCUGCCGGCUCCAAGCACGAUCUGGAGGACAAGGUCGACAGUUUAACAUCCGAGCUGGCGCAGGUAAAGGGGGAACUGCAAGACUACUACGACCGGAAUUACAAACUCCAGGACGAACUUUCUGGUGUUCAGGGUAGACUUCAUGAAUCCGAAUCAACCGCCGAUACCCUGAACAACCAACUUAUCGAGCUUGACGCGAAAUACAAGGCGCUAGCCAAGUUGCGUGAUUCCGAGUUGGCGAGGUCGGCAUCGAAGGCCAGAAAAGAGGUUAAGGGACGCGGGAUGGAGUUGAUCCAAGGGGCCAUCCGCUUCAUGCAGACCGAGAAGGCUAGGUCAGAUUUGGAAUCAGACAUCAAGGAGCAUGAAAGCAACCUGAUUCUGUUGGAUCAAAUCCAUGAAACAGAUUUCUCCGAGGAGCAAGAAAGGACCGAACUGUCAACUAAUCUUUCUGAAAAACGGAGUCGCUUGGCAGCUCUUCCCACUUCGACCUUCAACCCGCUUGACUUCGAGGAAUUCUUUACUGAAUCACCUCCUAUAAGUGAAUCGGGUUUAGACUGGGCAGGUAACGCUUGGUUCCUGACGCUUACUACCUUUUCCUCAUUUUUUUAAAACUGACUGGAACCGUCCUUGCCAGGCCCGAGUGAGACGGAAGAUGUCGUCCCACCCGAAGUUCCUGUGACAUCGGAGGUCAUCCCGGAGGAUGGUUGUACUGUGGAGAGCGGACCAGGAGUUUCAUCUGACCAAGCACCUGCCAAGGAGGCGAAUGAAGCUUCGACUGUUGAGCCGGAUUCCGAGGUGGCUGUUGCUCCGUAGUGGCUGUGUCCAUUUUAAAUUGGGAAUUGUCCCUUUAAUUUUAAGACUUAAUUUCGAACUUAUUUUUGGCCUAAGGAGGCUUUAUCAUUUCUUUUGAACAAGAUAUUUGCCUGAGGUUGGCUUUUAAACCUUUUUAGGUUAUGACCCCAAGGGGGUUUGGUUAAAAUUAUAUGCGGGUUUGCAAAGUCCGCUUUUAACCUUUUGUGGCCUUGUGGUUAUGCUUUUGAGAUUUUUAGGCUGAUCAGACCUUUCUCUUUAGAAUGCGAGAACUGAGCUCGGCUUAAAGCGAGUUCCCCACUUCGGGUUUAGUCAACUCGAUAAACUUAUUGGGCUUGGGCCUUAGAAACUUUUGUAGUUAAUGCGACGGUUGCGCUUUCCCUUCUUAUAAGUAAGGAAAACGGCUCGUCUUUAAUGCGAUAACUACCUUUUCUCGAUUUCCAAAAAUGGUUUAAACCACUCGGACACACUACCAUUAUUGGAUUUAUGGUUCCAAGACAAACCCUAAAUCAUUAUAAAUAAAGGCUUACCUACAUCUUAAGCUUUAUUUAAACACGAUUUUAGAAUCUUACUUGAGAAAUAUUUCGAGAAUGGAAAACGAAAAAGUAGCCCCCAUCGAUCCCGGCAGCCCACUUUUCUUGUCCGGCGACGGCUUUGAACCGGCCGGCGUUCUCUUCCCUCACGCCGUCUUUCACUUUCCUUCAAAGGAGAAGAAAGAGGCUUGCGACUUUAUCGACAAGGUAAAUACUUACAGUUUUUGAUUUAAAAACUUUUUGUUUCAUCUCAUCCAUUCAUCUUUAUGCUAGGUUGCCGACAAGCACCGUCGCUUGUGUGAAGAGAGGCAACGGCUGGGCCUCAAAAGGCAAACACUCGAGGCUCGUAUUGCUCGGGUGGAGAGGAAGAUACGGGCCUUGGAAAGUGAUCCCUUUCAGUGGGAAUGGCGGAAUUUUGACUCUGUCGCUGAGAUCCCGAAGAUGCUUCGGAUGUAUCUUCGCGCUAAAGGAGUCCCGGGUCCCGUGAACGCCCCCGUCUGCGCCGUUCCAUCUAACAGCGAAGAAGAAGACGAAGAGGAGGCCAGCACCUGUCGGAAACGCGUUCGGGAUCAUCUCGAAGUGGAUGCCAGGAACAAGGCGUCCACUUCGAAGACUAAACCGGCGAUGAAGGAGCCUGUUCCUAAGCCUCUUCCAUAAAUGUUCUCUAACUUCUUCACUUAUUUUAAACUCGUAAUGGGCUUCGGCCCUUUUUUAUUUAUGGAAACAUUUGCAACUUUCCUUUCUUUUCAAAUAUUCUCGGAGAUGCGCCUUUUAAUGCAGGAUCUGUUCGAGGGCAUAAAUCUCUCCGCGAAUCACUCCAUUUCUUGGAUAGAAUCCGCAGCUUGUUAGGGAUAUGACGUUCCUAUAAAUUAUAGUCUCAAUUUCCCUUUACUCCUCACCAUUCUUUUCAUUUUAGUAGGUAUGGAGUUCAAUCUUCGCUGUUCAGAAUCUAUGCCCGACUUUUCCAGAAUCGGAAUGAUAAACGAAGAUGUUCCAAAUGAGCCAAGCAGGCAGCCUCCUCCACUUCGUGGCUUCUUGAGAUCUCAGAUCCGAGCCCCAUGUGCUUUGAUCAGGGAUCUCCCAACCAGAGACCAAGGAACAGCGACGGCGUUCAUAGAGGCACUCGAGCUUCAACACAGGAAGCUUAUGUCGGAAAAGAGGAGACUUCGGAAGAGGAUUAACCGGAUGCAACGCAGGCUUACUACGGUGUCAAGAGAUCUUCACAUCCUUGAAUCUCACCCCGGAGAGUGGAUUGAGCUUGGAAUCUCUGACUUUGCUCGAAUUCCGGACUGCAUGAUGCCCAUCCUCGAUCUUGCUGGUCAAGGAGUUGAAGUGUUCUGCUCGUCAACAAGGUUUUCAUAGUCCGAAGUGUACGAUGAGGGACAUUCCGUCGUUUAAAUAACGCUCUAUUUCCAAUCUCUUGUAUGUUCGCAUAGUCGAACCUUUAUUUGCUUCACUUGUUCGCACAAUCGAACCUUUUUCCUUUAAUAAAGAAAUAAAACAAAUUUUUAUUAAUAGCUGAACUCGUUUUCGAGCUGCCUACGUACCCAUCUCGGGAUCAAGCCACACCGUAGUUCAUGUACAUAAACAAUGUAUGUAGCUUUAAACAUAAAACUUCUUCAGGUUGAUCACAUUCCAAGGUCGCUUGACUGGAUUGUCUUCUAAGUCUUUCAACCUAUAAACACCGUUCCGAACCACUUCGGUAAUAAUGUAAGGUCCUUCCCAAUUAAUACCGAGUUUACCGGCGCCUUCUUCUUUUUUAAUGUCAAAGACGCGCCUUAAUACAUAAUCUCCCACGAAGAACGACCUACUUUUAACCUUAGAAUUAUAAUACCGGGCUGCUGCCUGUUGGUAAUUUUGGAUCCGAAUUAGAGCUUGAUCACGCCUUUCAUUUAUGGUAUCUAGUGAAUCAUUAAGCAUUGCUGAAUUUUCUUCCUCAUUUAACGGUGCUUCUGUUCGACGAAGUCCGGGCACAUUGAGUUCAGCUGGUACUACCGCCUCCAUGCCGUAAACCAAAGAGAAUGGAGUUUCUCCUGUAGGUCGCCUAGGGGUUGUACGAUAGGCCCACAGGACGGGUUGGAGUUCUUCAUACCAUUCUCCCUUUAGAUGACUUAAGCGUUUCUUGAGAUUGCUUAAUAUUGUCUUGUUCGCGGCUUCAGCUUGACCAUUUCCUUGCGGAUAUCGUGGAGUAGAAUAACUAACUUUGAUUCCCCAGUCCGCACAAAAAGCAUCAAACUCAUGUGAAAUGAAUUGUGGUCCAUUAUCAGUGACUAUUUCGUAUGGAACUCCAUGUCGACAUAUAAUGUUUUUCCAAAUAAAGGUCUUCACGCGCCGAAUCCUUGAUACCAACAUACGCCUCAGCUUCAAUCCAUUUCGAAAAGUAGUCCGUAAGGACUAAAAGGUAUUGUACACCUCGAGUUGAUUUGUGCAAUGGUCCAAUGAUGUCCAUUGACCACCUCAUAAACGGGUAUGGGGCGGAAAUGGAGGAGAAUAAUUCCGACGGUUGAUGGAUCAAUGGUGCAUGGAGUUGGCAGCGCUUGCAUCUUUGGAUGAACUUAACACAAUCUGUAAUCAUAGUGGGCCAAUAAUAUCCCAUUCUUUUUACUUUAAAAGCCAUACCCCUUCCUGAUGAAUGACUCCCACAUAAUCCUUCAUGCACUUCGCUCAUAACGAUUUCGACUUCGGAUCCAAAAAUGCAUAAUAGGUAAGGGUCACUGACACCUCGUUUAUACAAUGUGUCUUUUGACAGACAAAAUUUCGCGCUAACGAUUCUCAUUUUUCUGGCUUGCCACUUAUUCUUUGGGAGCUCGCCUGUCAUAAUGUAGUGCUUUAUUGGCUCCCUCCAGUCAGCCCCCCAGUCUUUAGCCGGAAUUUGGUCAACCUUGUGAAAUACUCGUGGCUCUGGCUCGGGAUGUUCGUUUGGUUCAAGAACAUCCUCCUCGAUUAACGGUUCGGUUUCUAAUAUUGUUUCUGGAAUCACAUCUUCAGCUAAGAUAACGGGUUCCUUGUUAGAUGUAUUUGAUCCCCUUGACUUCCUCCGUUUGUUGGGUGGCGGUUCGAUCUCUGGUUCGCCACGGUCGCGUGCCGCUGCUCGAGACCUUGUAACGACGAAGGUUUCUUUGCUGUCUUGAAUGCUUCGCUCCGAAAUGCAUUCCACUGGAAUAACUCUUUUCAACUCAGGAUCUGAUGUUGACGCUAAUGCGGCAAGUGCAUCCGCAGUUGUAUUCUCUCCUCGAGGUAUGCGGAUUAAUUCAAAUUUUGAGAAAUUUUUAGAUAGAUCCUUCACCACUUCGAGGUACGCUUCCAUUCUUGAGUCUUUGGCUUCAUAGUCCCCAUUAAACUGGUUAACUACUAAUUGCAAAUCGCAAUAAGCCAAUAUUUCCUUAGCACCAACUCCUUGUGCCAAUCGAAGUCCGGCAAUCAGGGCUUCGUAUUCUGCCUCGUUGUUGGAGGCAUUGAAUAACAAUCGGAAUGAUUGUUCUAGAAUUUCUGAUGUUGGAGACUCCAACUUGAUUCCCACUCCGGAUCCUUGCUUUGUUGAAGACCCAUCUACGUGUAACUUCCAAGUUUGGUUCUCCGAAUGCUCUAUCGUUCCAGGUAUUGGUAGCUCGGUUAAGAAAUCUUCUAGAACCUGAGCUUUCAUACUGAUCCGGCUUUUGAAUUCUAUAUCGUACUCGCUUAACUCCACCGCCCAUUUCGCCAAACGUCCGGACUGACUUGGACUAUGAAGUAUUGUUCGGAGUGGUUGGUUAGUUAAUACUUCAACCGGAUGGGAUUGAAAAUAUGGACGCAGCUUCCGAGCCGAAGUUACCACCGCGAGUGCAAGUUUUUCCAUCAUUGUGUAUCUGGUUUCCGGAUCCGUCAUUGACUUGCUUACAUAGUAAAUUGGUUUCUGCUCCCCACGGUCUUCCCAAACCAAGACUCCACUAACCGCGUGGUUUGAAACUGACACGUACAAAUAAAGUUUUUCAUCCACUUCCGGUUUGGACAGUAUAGGUGGAGUGGUUAAGUAUGCCUUAAGCUGCCCAAAAGCUUCUUCACACUUCUCAUCCCAAAGGAAUCCUUUGUUCCCUUUUAGAAUUUGGUAGAAAGGCAACGACUUAUCUGUUGAUCUCGAGAUAAAACGAUUCAAAGCCGCAAUCCGCCCAGUCAACCGUUGUACUUCUUUGAAGUUUCUUGGAGAUGGCAUGUUUAGAAAGGCGUUAAUUUGAUUUGGAUUGGCUUCAAUCCCUCUUUCUGUCACGAUAUAGCCAAGAAAUUCUCCGGAUGGGACUCCAAAUGUGCACUUCGCCGGGUUCAGCUUCAUUUGAUAUUUAUUGAGAAUAUCAAAACAUUCUUCCAAAUGUUUAACAUGAUCUUCUUUCUUUAACGAUUUAACCAACAUAUCAUCUAUGUAGACUUCCAUAGUCUUUCCGAGGUGAUUGUGAAACAUUUUGUUCACCAACCGUUGGUAAGUUGCUCCUGCAUUUUUCAAACCAAAAGGCAUUACCUUGUAACAAUAGAUACCUCUAUCAGUGAUGAAUGACGUCUUUUCUUGAUCUUCGGGGUUCAUCAUUAUUUGAUUAUAACCCGAUAAGGCGUCCAUGAAUGUUAACAGCUCGUUCCCAGCGGUGGACUCUACAAGGCGAUCUAUAUGUGGGAGCGGGAAACUAUCUUUGGGACAUGCUUUGUUUAGGUCUGUGAAAUCGAUGCAAACCCUAUCUUUCCCAUUCUUCUUUUUGACAACGACAGUGUUUGCCACCCAUUCCGGAUAUUGCACUUCUCUUAUGGACCCUAUCUUCAAAAGUUUAUUCACUUCGUCGUUUACUAUUUUUGCUCGCUCCACUCCAAGCUUUCUUCUUUUUUGUUUCACCAGUUUGAAGCUUGGAUCCACGUUUAGUUCAUGACAAAUUAUACUUGGAUUUAUGCCAGGCAUGUCCGCUGCUGACCAUGCAAACGAUUUUUUGUUUUUCCUUGAGAGUUCGAUCAAAGCUUCUUUUAUUUGGCCAGUCAAAGUUGCCCCAAUUCGAAUUUUCCGGUCCGGCUUGUCUUCUUCCAACACCACUUCGACUACUACAUCAUCUUUCUUCUGCCCGCUAGGAAAUUUUGUUCUUAGUCCCUCUUUUGCGGGCUUCGUUAAUUGCUAUUGAAUUUUCAUACGGUGGCUAGCUAGAUAACACGUCCGUGAAGCUUCUUGAUCUCCCCGAAUUGUUUCCACUCCUUUUGACGUUGGAAAUUUGAUACAUUGAUGAUAUGUAUAGGGGACUGCUUUCAUUUGAUAAAUCCAAGGAGUACCAAGGAUGAUGUUGUAAGCUGCGGGCUUAUCGAAGACAACGAAGUCCACGAUCUUCGAUACUUUUUUGGCAAGGACCGGUAGCUUGAUUGUCCCGAGAGACAUGGCUGAUUCACUUGUGAAUGCAACUAAUGGAGACGGAGGCCCCACUAUGUCUGCUCGGCUGAUUCCCAUUCUUUCUAAAGUACUUAAAAAGAUCAAGUCGACCGAACUGCCUGUAUCUAUAAGGAUCCUUGAUACUUCGAAGUUGGCAACGUCGAGGGUAAUGACUAGAGCAUCAUCAUGAGGUCUUUCGAGGUACCGCGUUUCUUCUUCAUUAAAUGAUAUUGAUGCACCUUGAAAAUCGACUUCUUCGCUUAAGCUUGCUUUGAGUAGGAUAUUUCGUCUAUGUUUCUUGAUGGAACUUAUCGAAUCUCCGCAAAAUCUGGAACCUCCUAGAAUAACAUUGAUCUUACCCUUAGAAUUCCUUGGUUCUUCCUCGUUGGUUAACCUUGGUCUUUUAGAAUUUUGAUCUUUGGAACUUUCCUUUGCUUCGUGGUAUUCCUUCACAAAAUCUUUUAUAUCAAAUUUGGAAAGAUCUCCACUAGCCCAAAGCUCUGCGAGGUGCCUUUUAAGAACGCUGCAAUCCUUGGUUAAAUGUCCGGUUACUUUAUGAAUGUCGCAAUAUGACUUUCGUCACGGACCCAAGUGUUUGAUCUUCCUUUCCCUUGGAAUUGCUUUCCGACGGUACUGUUGAAGGGUUACGACCCAAAUUUCCUUGGUCCUUUGCUCUCCCUAGGCUCGAACUUCUUGGUAGGGACGGUGAUUGCCGGCUUUUCUUGCUUAUUUCUUUUGGCAAAACUUUCUUUUUCGUCCUCUACCUCCAUCCAGUUGUUCGCGCGGAAGAGUGCAUCCUGAAUUGUGUCUGGUUUAUAAAGUAUUAAGUCUUCUUUAAACCUUGAAUCAUGUCGCAAUCCUUUUCGUAGGGCAGAUAAAGCUGAUUGCUGCGAGAUUCUUGGGAGCUUUGACAGCACUCCUUUGAACUUGGUGAUGAAAACUCGAAGUGACUCACUUGACCCUUGCGAUAAGUUCCAAAGAUCGGCAUCCGAAACGUUUUUAUCCAUAAGGAUGGAAUAUUGCUUUAAGAAUACGGCUGAUAGUUCGUCGAAAUUACUGAUCGAACCCGGCUCUAAUUGGGUGAACCACAUUAGAGCUUGGCCACAUAGAUUCUCCGAAAAAAGCUUGCAGUAACCUGCGUCCUCAUCAGCUUCAUCCAAUUCGACUCUUCCAGCAGCGAUCAGAAAAGCUGCGAGAUAGCUUUUUGGAUCCUCCAAUCCGCUGUAAGGGUCCAACUUGAGUUUCCGGGAAUCCUUGAUCCUCAAACUUGCAAUUCGCGAGAUGAAAGGUGUUCGCCUAGCUUCUUCAAUGACUCGAUUGAUGUCUGGCUCUGAGUUUGUAGCUUGAUGAAAUUUUGAUUUCAUUUCUUUUAAUUCCUGGCUAACCUUCCUCAUGGUCUCGAACUGGUCGAGGUCCUCCUGCUCGUAUUGAGCUGCAAGUUGUUCUUCAUCUCCGAGCUGUGUCUCUUCUUCCAACGUCUGAGCUACAUUAUUAGUAGCACCGGGAGUUGUUUGUCCGCUGGUUUCAUUUCGUACAGCGGAGCUUGGCGAGUUGAAUAUCCCUCUUCGGAUUCCCACAAGGUUUCCUGCACUUAAAGAGCGAACACGAGUUUGUAUAGUAUUGACGUUUUGACUAAGAGAUACCUGGGAUGUUUGCAACGUAUCGACGGCCUUUUCCACAUCCGAGAACUUUUGUGAUAUGUCCGACAUGGUUUGCUGCAUAGCUUUGAGGGUUUCGGCCAAUGAUGUCUCAACGGCGUCUACUCCGGACAUUGUUGCUUAUCUCGGGAAUGUAGUAAAGAAAAAAUCUGACCACUCAAGAAUCCUAUUUCCCCACAGACGGCGCCAAAAUGUGGAUGUCGGAUUCACACACUCAAGUAUUUUAUUAGGUAGGAAAGAUUACUCUUGAGGGACAAAAAUGGAUAUGUAAAAACUUAUAAAUUGCUACGAAAAUUGCUCUAGUAUUUCUUUCUUCUUAGGAAGAUCCCCCUUUACAUGGCCAUUGGCUUUUAUAUUUAUACAUAGAGAAACGACAUUAAAAUGAGUAAUUAAGUACAAUUAUUCCUUCUUAAAUGUGUCCGUUUUGAUUCCUUGACUUUAAUGCUCAACGUUUGAAUUUGAGUUGACUCUGAUCUUCGUGGGCCUCGCCUUUUCGGCCCAAGUGUCCUUGAACCGACUUACCCGUGUCUUCUACACCGAACUCAUGUCACAGUCCAGUCACUUCGGAUUCUCGAAGUGGUGAUAACCACUUCGACCGUUCCUUCGGCUCACGGGUCCAAUGGGCUUUAUCCUCUAUGGGCCAUUAUCUUGACUACGUGGCAAUCUUUGGUUGGUCUCGGACUUCUGGUGCGGGAUCCGACACCAACAUAAAUGGUAAAAUUUCGUCAAUACUUUUUUAUCAUGUUGAAGCUUUAUUCAAGGUUCAAAUAUUUCACGGGUAAAACAUAUUCUUAUAUGAAAUAGUCCCAAGUUUGAAUAAAACAAAAAAAAAUUUGUAAAAUGUUUCGUUUUACACAAACGGAUCUUGGAUCCCGGAUAAUAAUUUUAAUCAUAAUAAUUUUACUUAAAUCACUUCAUCCCGCACAUCGUGCGGAUUGUUAUCUAGUUAUCAUAUAAUACAAAAAACGAAGUAGGAGUAUUUAAAGAUUUUUUCAUAUUACAAAUACUAAUUUUGGGUAUUCCAAAGCCAGCAAAUUUGUUGGGGCAACUAGCCAAUGCCUUUCUUCAUUUUACUAGACUUGUUAUAGCACCAUAGUUGGUAGUCUUGAAACUUAAUCAUUUUUAGAUUCAGUUUGCUACCUACAAAAAUCAGACCCACCAAACUAUUUUCUGUCAUAAAUUAACCAAUGCAAUUUUACAAAUAAAUUAACGUAGACCUAAAUUUGUAAUUUCAGCACUACAUCAAAUUACUAAUUCAAAAGAUUCGAAAAAUAAAUUCUCUUUUUUUAGGCCGCAAACUCGAUCACAUAAAUUAAUCUACUGUGGUACAACUUCUUAUUUGUUCAUUAUCAAAUAAGACUAAUUAAAUAAAAGAGUGUUGCUUUCACAUAAUUAAUGUAUACCACAAGCAGCUAAUUUCGUAUUCUAACCCUAAGGUUAUUAGUUUGAAAAAAAUCAACAAUUAAAUUAUAAAAAAAGGAAAGGGAAGUUUCUAAAAUUGUAAUGUAGUGGGAAUGUUGUGGGAAUGUUAAAAUCGCCUGGUGAAGAAAAGUGAUAAUUAUUGAUAUUGGUUGCCAUAAUAACGAACUAAAAGUGAACGAAUUGGGCAAAGGUCAUAUGUUGUAAUGAUGUUGGUGAGUGAUAUUUCAGUUAUGUUCAUCAUUGGUAAGGGUUAAAAAGACCAAACAUAUGUCAAAAGAUUCGGAAAAGAAUUUCUCAUUUUUAGGAAAAAGGGACUUCCAUGAUUUUGUUUCUCAAGUUAGUUAUGAAACAAUUUUUCCAUUUAUUAGAUAUAGUGAAUUACUGAUCUUUUCAAACAUACAUUAUAGAAUUACAUGUUUUUGGAAACCAAGUUUAGUAGUUGUUAAUACAAAUUUCAUCUUCAAUUCUCGAGAUCACCUCUCCAACAAUGGUUUCCGAUACCGGUAGAGUUCCUAUUUGCCGUUGCUAAGAUUUCUCUCCUUUUCUAAGUACAAUUAUGAAUAUCUCAUACUUGUUUACGGAGGGUAGAUGACUCCUUUCUUGUACAAUAACGAUGACUUUAUGCAAGAUCGGAAUCCACCAAAUCUUAGAACACACGGUUGAUCAAGAGUUCAGCGGUUAACAUGCGGAAACGGCGGAACAGAAUCAAGAGGGGUUUGAAUCCACAAACUCUUAAGACACAAACAAACGAGAAUCUAUAGAAAACAUAUUAGUUAGCAAACUAAAACUUGAUGAACUAAAAGAUAAGACAUCAGACUCUACGAUUCAUCAUUAAGAAAAUCUUUAAAAAUGAAAAUGAAAAUAUAACAUCGUUGGCAUUGACAUCUGCGUUGAUGAAUGUGCUUUAUUACUGGUUGUGAUUGUAAUAGUUGUUGUCUACAAUCCAAGGAAAACUUGUUUUCUCAUCAUACUUCAUCAUCUCGUCAAUGAAUCUUUGUUGCUGGUUCUCAUUAUGAUUUUGAUUUGGAUAGGAAAAGUCAUCCUGAAACACAAUCGAAUAACAAUAUUGAUGUUUAUGUUAAAAAUGAGUUUAAAAUACAUGAAUAUUAGUCAAAACUACAACUUGAUUCAUCACGGAUUUGUAUAUAUUUUCUUGGUUGUUAUUCACAAGAGAAUUAAAUUUCUUUGAUCCCUUGUUUGAAGAUAUUAUAUAUGUAAUGCACAUUUUUAGUUAGUUUAGGAGAGUCGGAGACUAUAACACACAUAUCAAUUUUGAUUUAAAAUAUAUGGAUGAUGAUCAAAAAUACAAACCUGAUCCAUAGCUGGGAUAUAAACUUCUUGAUUGUUAUUAGGAAGGAAAUUACUUUCAAGAAAAUUCACAUGUUCUGCUCCUUGGUUUGAUGGGGUUAUGAACUGCAAUUAUUUGGUUAGUUGAGAAAAGUAUAAUAUUAGAAAAAUCAAAUAUAUAUGAUUUAAAAUAUAUAGAAUAAUUACAACAUACAAACCUGAUUCAUAGCUGGACUACAAAUGUUUUGUGCGUCACUGAAAAAGAGAUUACUUGCUAGAUUAACAUCCUCUAGUCUAUGGUUUGGAGAGACUAUGAACUGCAACCCGUUGGUUAGCUGAGGAGAGUUGAAGAGUGGAGAGUUCAGAAAUGAGGAGGAACUCACUUCAGGAAUAAUAGGUGGUGUCAUGCCCUCAUCCACAACAGUUGUUGCCAUGUUUGCAAUAGUAGUGGUUGGUGCCAUGUUUGCAAUAGUAGUGGUUGGUGCCAUAUCCAUUGAAGAAGAUUCUCCAAUUUCAAAAUUUGGAUUAUUGAGGGUUUCAUUUUUAUGAUGAUAAAGAUUUCUAAGAUAUUGAUCAAUAAACUUACACAAGUCAAGACGAUCAUUAUUAGUCAUAACAAAAUCUCCCAUGUUUCCACUAAGACACUUGAACAUGACCUCCUUUAAGCAAUUCUCUUUAUUAUCCACAAUCAAUUUCUUACUUUGCUUUUCGACUUUUGAGAUGUAUAGAUUGAGAAAUUCUUCGUGGUUUACCGAUUUAAGUUUCUUCUGGGUCUCCGUUAACAUCUUGAGUUUCUUGAUAACGUUAUCCACCUCUGAUUUUGACGGCCACAUCUCUGGAUUUGAGUUGAAUGGAUUGUAGAUGACCGCACAUGCAUUGACAUCGCAUAAAAUCUUGAGAUCAUUGAGUUUCUUCAUAAAUCCUUCCCUCCUCUGGUUGAAUGAUCUUUUCCUCAUUCUAUCAUUGGAAAUGUAAGUUAGAUUUAACUUCUUUCUUGCCAUGACUACACUAAAUGAUUUUUUUCUAUGGUUUAUGUGUAUUAUUAUUAUUUUUACUGUAAAACAAAUAUUUAUAUAGUGGUUAAAGGGUCCACAUAUGUGUUGUCAUUUUGCUGGCUAUUUGACUACAAAUUUUAAUACUAUGUUAGGAUAAAUUUUUACUUAAUAUAUCAAUUAUUGCUUAAUUAUGCUUUAUGAUAAUUAUUAACUUAUAUGUGAGAUGAAAAGUUUUAUUUGUUGAAGUUAAAUUCAAAUUAUAUUAUAAAUUUAUAUAUGUUCACAUUAUUAUUUAAAAUAUGGUGUAUUUAUCUUUUAAACUAGAUCGAAACCCGCGCUACGCUGCAGGGCAAAUUUUUAAAAAUUUAUUUUUGAAGAAGUUGUUUGACAUCAAGUAAUUUUUAGAGAACAACAUGCAUGAGGUAAAUUUAACAAGUGGUCCGGUACAAAAAAGGAACAUUCUAUUCCAUCGGUUAAUCAAAGAAAGGAUAUGCUCCUACCGUUUUUGUAAAUUAAUUUGUUUUAAUAUAAGUAUUUAUGAUAGACAUUUAAAAGAUUUCUUGGAUUUUGUAUUUACCUUUGCUCGUAUUUCAGUUGUCUAUAUUUUAUAUUUUAUAUAUGCAUACAUAAAUAAAUAACUUUAUAUUUGUAUUUGUUUGUUUUAUUUAAUGUUUUUAGUAUAUGUUUAAUUUUUUACAAAUGUUAGAUUUUUAUAUUGUGAUAUGUAAUUAUUUUUUCAGCCACUACUAUACUUUAAAAACCUUAGAUUCUUUCUUUUAAAUUUAUUUAUAGUACUCAAGCAUAAUUUGAAUCAUACUAAAAAUAAUUAAUAUAUCUUUUGUUUCUUUAAAUAAUUAUUUUACCAUUAGAUCACAAUAAUUAAAUAUGCAAAGUUUAUUUUGUGUGUAUUUUGUUCUUUAAAAUUUGAACACUAUUACAUUUUUUAACUUUAAAAUAAUUUGAUUUUUGAAUAGAUCGGGAUAAUAUUAUUAGGGUGGAUAUUUUAACCGAAUUGAACUAAACCAAACCAAACCAUAAGUUACAUUCAAACCAUCGAUUAUGUUUCUUCUCAAUCCGAACUGAUAACCCAAUGUAUUUAUUUAUUUCAUUAAUUAAUAAUAUUAUAAAUACUAAUACGUAAUCAUUUACCAAUGUUACACUUGAUUUGGAGCUUUAGAUUUUUUGUAUUUUCUAAUUAAUUAAAUAAAAUUAGAUUGAUUUAGUUUAAUUAACUCUAAAAAAGGGAAAAAAAAUCUCUAUGAGAAUAUGCAAUUUAGAUAACCAGUUCAUCAUUUCUGAGAAUCCAAAAAUCGUUCUUCUCUUUCGCAAUCCACACUUUCUCUUCAUCUCUACUCCUACCAAUAAAUCAUCUUCUACCAUUAGUAAAGAAAAAAAGUGUUCAUCUCUGUAUGUUUGUUUCUUCAAUCAAUCAAAUCAUGAGGUUUUGAAAAUUGGUUUUCCCCCAUUAGCAUUAAGGUAUGAAGUCAAAUUUUCUGCAGUCAUCAUCUGGUAUGUUUUGACAAUUUCCAAAUCAGAAACAUGAGAUGAAUAGAAAUGUUUAAAUUGUUGAUUGAUCCUCUUGUCUAAUUUUAAAUAAUUUGGUUGGAGAAGCAGAAGGAAUUUGUUUAUCAUUUUGUGUUGUCUGUUAUUGGUUUUGGAUAGAUUUGGGGAUAAAUUAAGGAGUUUGGUAUAACGGAUUUUGUAGAUCCAUUGGAAGAUUUGGUUUGGUGUUUAAUUUGAUACAAGUGGGCAAACGUUUUAGGUUCUCUCCACUCAAUAAAUUUCAUGGCUUGUGUGAGAAACUCUUGGUUUUUAUUUAUCAAUUAUGUGUGUUUUUUAAAUAUUGAGACAUCGAUUCGUGUUGUUAUCUUGAGAGGAAAUAUAAUCUUCUGAUCUAAAUACUUGAAUCUGGUUUUGUAGAAACCUAAAAGUUUAUACUUUUAUUGAUUUAAUCUCUGAUUCUGAGCAAUAAGUUUAUAUUUGAGUUUGGUUUGUUUUUCAACGUCUUGGAUUUGUAUUGUUUAAGGAUGGAGGCUUAAGUUCACGUCCACAUUUUCUUCCUAAAACACAUGAAAUGGUAGAUGAUUUCCUCUUUUGAUUCAAUUGUUUCUUUGAGUGAUAACAACAAAAGUUUCAUCGUGAAGAACUCAAUGGACUUUUCUAGAGACUUUCUUCCUAUAUUUUAUUAUUUUUGAAGCACAAAAAAUUUCUCAAGUUUCAUUCGUCAGUUUGAUACAUAUAUGUAAGUUUUUCUAAAUAUUUUUUACUCAAAUUCAAAAUAGUCUUAUAUGUCUUCUACAACUAAUCAAAUUGUGUAGCUAAUGUGACUUUCUUUUGAAUAUUACCAAUUGAAACAAUUUUUACAAAGUUUAAUCUAUGUUUGAAUAAUAUGAAUUACUACGCUCACAAAAAUUUUUAAAUAAUUUGAAACCGCAAAUUCAUUAAGCACUAUAUUUGAUUUAUUUUUUUUAUAUAAAAAAACGACAUUGCUGAAGAAUCAAAUAAAUCCAAGGUAAGAAAAAAAAAACUAUAAUUACUGGUAGCCAAAACAACAACUUUUUUUCCGUAUAGUUUCCAUAACCACAAGGAAUGCCUUCAUUUAUCGAUAUCUAUUUUGUUUUUUCUAAUAUUCUAAAGAAGUUUUUAUUAUUUAUAAAAAAAGAGAAUUAGCCUAAUAUGUCAAUGACAUAUAAACAAUAAUAGGCACAUCAAUUUUAAACUAUAAGCCCAUGAUAUAAGCUUUAAGAAAUAAAGAAUGACGUGGAACGAAGGAGUAUUAUAAUUGGCAGAGAAUAGCUGAGUUGUAUUAAUAAAAUGUUUUUAUUGGGUGUUGAUUUUAAUUAGGUGUCACUCUCAGAACAGCUGAAAAAGCUGAUGUGUCAACGUAGGAGAGAUCCCUAUUGUUUUUAUUGUAUUGAUUGUGGAUGAAAGGAGUGAUCCAAGAUGGGGUUGGAAUACAUAAUCAACCACCACUAAUGAAGAAACAUAAUAUAACUAAACCAACCUUAAUGUCCUACGAAGACCACCCUACAUAGCCUAAUAAAUGAGGUUGUUGGCCGAACAACCUCUAGAACUUUCAAGAAAAAGAUGGACCGAAGAUGGAAAUAUGGCGGAAGCCUUUACCAACCUUCUAACAUGACAGUAGCAGAGAAACAAAGCUAAAUAGAAGCAUAAACAAGCCUUAGAUCGUUCGAAGAUUAUAUUUAUCUAAAGAAAGUGAAGGAAUGGAUAGUUUAAGGACAAAACUUAAAUAUCCAUGCAUUUUAUAUAAAAAGCGCAAAGCGGCGUUUGAAAAGGUCUGGGCAUGAACAAAAACCAAAGUGAUAAAAUUCUCUUCAAGCCGUUCACCACAAAGCAACGAGUCCCUAAGUUUUGCAUGUCAUCAUUUAAUAGUGGGAACAAAGCGACACACCAUGUAAAUUGCAUGUCCGGCGAAUAAGGAGAAAACACGUGAUAACAACUAGUUAAUGUGCAACUAAAUCUCUCUUAUGAACAAGAUAAAACGAGAAACUUUUCCUGAAAGAUAAGAGCGCUUCACACGUGAGUGUGCGACACAUAACUAAAAGUUUCACGCCAAAAUGCAACAAUUAGAAUUACUCAAAAUCUAAAAUUAUAAACAAAACAAAUAAAUUUUAAAAGUUAAAAUAAAAAGUAGAAAGCACACCAAAUUAUGUUACUAGAAUAAAGCAAAUUUUGUAUAGCAACACUACGAGAGGAUGCUAGUUUUGCUCUAGUGGUGAAUAUGUUUUUUUUUCUUAUUUUCAAACCACAAACCUCUCCCCUAUCGCAGAUAUGGAAUCUUAAAGGGAAUCCUGACUCUCACGCUAGAUGCUUUGGUGACGAUUCAGAUACACGUACCGGGUUUAGCAGGAAGUGUCAAUCAGUCCAUCAUACGAAAAAUCUAAAAAAUGAAAAAAAAAUCAUGUGAUACAUUGCCUUCACCUAAUCAAGAAGUGAAAUAAAAGUACACGACCAAUACACAUAUACACUUAGGUUAUUUUUUUUAGAAAAAAAAAACACAGGACAAAAGAAAACCACGUGGACGGACAUCCAGGACAUAUGGCUGGAGUAGAGUCCCUAGUCUUCCACAAAGAUAUCUCUCGUGCCUUGAUUAGUACAUCCACUAAGUAGUAAGUACAAUAAGAUAUCUACUACGUCUGACAGUAGACUUUACAAUACUAAAAUACCUUAUAACGAGCAUUCAAGUGUUUUAAGAUAAAUCUUGCUCUCAAGCGAGUCUAACAUUUCUCUGAAAGUAUCUUAUCACCUCUUCAAAUUCUCAUAUCAUUAAUGUUCCACCCCUUUCGAUGGAGAGUUCUAGCCCCAUUUAGGCCAACUCCAUCAGUGGAGAUACACAUUUGGGUUUCUUAAUAAUAAAUUAAUAAUAUUUUAAAUAUAAUUUAGUUAUGUAUUUAAAUUAUAUUUUAAAUAAAAACGUUGCCCGGCAUUAAGUAAAGGACAUGUGUCCGUAGAGUUCUCAUGAAGUUCUAAUAGUCUCUUGUUUGAGAACCGUUUGUGUCUCUCUACUGCUUUUAUUUUAUAUUUUAUUUUUUAACAAGUGAGAUAUACUUAGAAACCCACCAAUGAAGGUGGUCAGGUGGCCUUAUAGAUGUUCGCGUACAUAAUAAAACAUAUAUGUGGCGAGAAACUGAAUCGUUAGUUUUAGUGGUUAAUAGUAUGAAUCAAGGAUUUAAUGCAACUUAAAGUCGAAUUAGCAGUUUUGAUUGAGCAUGUCUAGCUAGUAAACAUCUUGGUGGGCUUUAGUUAAAUGUGAACGAAAUCUUAUUAAACUUGGCCUAUAGCCCUUCAUGCGUUUCCUUUCCUAGACCAUUUUCAAGAAAGAGAUCCAUUUUUAGUUUUUUACGAUCUUCUCGGGCUAAAUGGAAUCAGAGCAUUAGAAUUCAAAAUAAAUAAACCGGGCCCAUAAAUUAUUAGUUUUUGAAAACGAAAAUACAAAAAAAUAAUUAAAUCAAGGAAAAACAAUUGAACAAUUAAAACCUACUAAUUCCCAUGUACAUUGACUUUUACUAGCUCAACUAAAUGUUAAUAUAUCUGAAACCCCAAGCCAAAGCUUCCUAAACUUGGAUUCAAGGCCAGUUCUAACUUCUAAUCAUGGUUGUUGGCCUUACAAUGUUGACGGAAAGCAACAAUAUGAACAUGUAACUAGGGAUGAGACACGUCCUUAUGAACAAUUUAAACAUCUAUCGACCACCGGUCUAUAAAAACGGUUAGAGAGAAUCGAUUUAAUAGUCACACUUGUGUUUUUGAUGAUGUUGAUUUCUUCUUUAAUCAUUUUACCAUAGGUCGACUAAUAAACUAUGUAGUAUCAAUUCUCUUAUAUCUUCUAGGUGAAAUUGAGCUAAGCAAAACUGAAAUAUUUUAUUGGACAUCUGAUUUCGAUUUAAUUGGUGGUAUUCUUCUUUACAUCUAACUAACCCAAAAACAAUAAAGACACGUACGGCACUAAUUCUUUGACUGUAGACGAAUUUUGAGUCAAAAUAAUUAGUUCAUUUAAACACAAUCUUAAAUCUAAUUAUGUGGGACAAGAUUAUCCACGUAAGUUAUAAAGCGUGAAAGGAAUCGUGAUUUAUUAAUUAGGUAAAUAUUAGACUUUGUAGAGUACAUUAGAUUUGAGUCUAGACCUUCUUUUCUUUUGGGACAAGAUUUGAGUCUAGAAUCUUGGAAUAUGUAUUAGUAAACAAAAAAAACUCAUGUCAUUUUAUUUUUUUUGCGAAAGGGCGGCGUGGAUCAUGGACUUUUUUGUAUUUUAAUCUUCUUCGAUGUUCUCUUAUUUUUUCUACCCUUUUCCAAACAUAUAUGAACACUUCAACUUCACGCGCGACUAUGUACUUUUCGUGUACGGAUUUUUGUUGUUGAAAAUUACUUUCAUGGUUACUGUUUUUAUUAAGAAGCGAUUUCACACCUCUCUUUUUUUUAAAAAAAUAUUACAAUAUAGAUUUUAGACUUUAGAUAAUAAGGUGCCGAUUUGUCCAAAAAAAAGAUAAUAAGGUGCCGAUCUUGCACACAUAACCCAUAUGAUCACAACAAAACAAAGGAAGAGUUAGUGUCGAAUUAAAGGACUGAAGAAAAAUUGAACCAAACGCAUCUAAAUCAAUUAAAGCAAAAAAUUAAGUUUCCAAUUUUUUGUAAUAAGGUGCAAGUCAAAUAAUAUAAAAUAAUAUUAUAAACUCAAAAUUAUAUUUUUAAUCUUCAUGAUUUUUUUUAAAAAAUAAGCUCAUGUUUUCUCCACUCUAACUUAAAUAUAAAAUAAAUCACUAUUAUAGUUUGUACGUAGUUUUUUUGAAUAAAAAUACUUCUCCACUUGGAUUUGAAUAGUACAUAUAUUUUCUAAAUUAGCAACUUUUAAACACUAAGUCAAACAGAUAUAAAAAGCUGGUUGUUGAAUGAUAUAGUUGAAGAUUUUGUUUUAUUAUCACUAAAAAUAAUUUUCCGCACAUUCAUAAGACUUUAACCCCAAAAUAAAUCAUUCAAACCAGCCACAUGACCACCAUGUUGGUUAAUAUAUAUUGGAAAAAAUAAGGCACCGAGCCACUUAAUUAUAAUUAUAUAAACUGUAUAUAUAACUUGCUUGUCCAAUUUCUAUACUAUUAUAGAGUGAAAGGUUUUGGUAGUUUGUAGUGACCGACCAUAAAAGCUUUAUAUAUAUAGAGAGAUAAAAAAAAAAAAUUAUGCAUAUGGUUUGUCAUUAUGUCUACAUACAUUUGUGAAUGAUAUACUAUAAACCAGUAUCUUAAUUAUUUUCUCUUUGGCUUAUGGUAUCGGUUAACCAUCUUCAUGUAAAUUAAAGUAUGAACUCAAAAAGUUUGUUUCGAUUCAUUAAGAAUUAAAUCAACACCUAAAACAUACAAGAUAACACGUAACGUAGUUAUCAUGCGUGAUGUUGAAUGAAGAUAAUCUAUAUCUUCACGAGGAAACACAAAAAGAAAAGUUGGAAAAAAAUAGCGUUUGAGAUGCAUGCGCGAGAGAGUGCGUGUGGGAAUAAAGUGAAACGUUUGAUAAUAGUAAAACACUCUAGAGCGUCUGACUCACGACUAUUUUUCUGCUCGUCGUUUGGUUUGGUAUGCGAUGACGUUUGUGUGACUCAAUCGCAACUUGCCGUACCAAAAGUCUUGCCGUACUUCCUCUUCAAUUACUAAAAUACCCAUUUCCUAAUGUCAUCUUAAUUAUCUUUAAAACAUUUUAAACAUCGGAAGAGUUCUAAACUUUCGGUCCAUAAUUUAUAUCGACUACAUAUCAAAACCAUAGUUGUUUUGAGCCACGUUCAAAGCAAAUAAGCUAAUCCCCUCUGAUCCGUCCAUAGUUUUUUGCUGCUAAAAAUGGAGCAUGGGACAUGGUCAUGGUACCAACUCCAUGUGUAUCUUUAAUUUUUCUUAGUUAAUUACCACCAUAUAUUUAUUAACUCCAUUUUGAAAUAUUAAAGAAAUCAUAGUUACUUGUUGACAAAAAUAUAUUUGUAUUGAUUAUGUUGAUAUAUAGAUUAUAUCAAUGAUAAUAAUAUUUGUGUUGUGGCAAACGCAGUUGUAUUACCAUUAACAUUGGUUGGUACCUACAACAUCAAAAAUUUAUAAAAAUAUCUUACAUUUUUAGUCGUACCGCUUUUUACAUGAAUUAUAUUAUUUUAUAAAUUGUUAACGAUUUUUAACAAUACGCUUUGAAUCGGUCAAUUGGAUUUUUGCUAUAUUUAACAAGUUUUUAUUAUAUAACUAACUCACAAUAAGUGAAAAUGAUUUAUGUCUCUUAUAUAUUAUUUAGAUAUCUUCUAACUUUUAUAUGGGAGAUUUCUUAUAAUCUUAAAUUUCAGUUGCUACAAUAUUCUUCUAUAUAGUUAUUAAUAAAACUCGAAUUCGAAUAUUUGUUUGUUCUCUGCAUGAUCGGUUGAGUACAAUUAUUAACUCGUUUAGCUAAAACAAUAAUGAAAAAUUCAUCAUCUAGUGUAUGACAAUCUAUAUAGAGUUUUUAUCUUAAGUAAGUUCACUAACUCAUGGCCUAAUAUAUUCUGUUUACAUGUCUGUCUCGUUUCUAAGAGGUUGAAUAUGAUGAUUAAUAAGCAAUCAAAUGAAUAGUCAGUUAUUAUUUUAGUUUUUUGCUAUUUUGUAUAGAAUAACACGAAACUAUUAUUGAACUAAAAGGUACUUACUUAUUCAGCAAGAGGAAAGGGUAAAACUAGAAUUUCAGCUCUCCGUAUCACAAAAAAAAAAAAGUCAAUGCAAAAAGCUAAGCUAAGUUUUCGCUUAUAUAAACACGAUCAAAACUCAUUAUUCAACAAAGUCUUCGUUUCAUUUUUCAUUUUUUCAUUUUUCAUUUCUCAAUCAAAACAAAAAAGUAAUCAGUCAAAUGGAAAGGGGAAGAUCAGAGAUGGAGAUGAUAAACAACAUGGCAAAUUGCUUGAUUCUUCUAUCAAAGGCUCAUCAAAACGACACCAAAAGCCGUGUUUUCGCGUGCAAGACAUGCAACAAGGAGUUCCCGUCGUUUCAAGCCUUGGGAGGUCACCGAGCCAGCCACAGGCGAUCGGCAGCGCUUGAAGGCCACGCGCCUCCUUCUCCUAAGAGAGUCAAACCGGUGAAACACGAGUGUCCCAUAUGCGGUGCUGAGUUCGCGGUAGGGCAAGCCUUGGGUGGUCACAUGAGGAAGCAUAGAGGUGGAUCAGGAGGAGGAGUUGGCCGGAGUUUGGCACCGGCUACAGCACCGGUGACGAUGAAGAAAUCUGGCGGUGGUAAUGGAAAGAGGGUUUUGUGUUUGGACUUGAACUUGACGCCUUUAGAAAACGAAGAUUUGAAGUUGGAGCUUGGGAGGUUGAUUUUCUGAUUUUGUUUUUUCAUUUUUUGGGGUGUGUAGGGUAAGUUUAUUUUAUCUCAUAUUUUUUUAAAUUAUUUAGGCUUUUUCAGUAAUUUUUGUAUAAGAACUUUAUGGUAUAUACCGUUUAUGUAUAGAUACAGAUAUACAUCUUAUAUUGUUCGAGUUAUUAUAUAUAUAUAUAUAUAUAAGUCUGUUUCAGUAAUAAUCAUUUUGUUGAAUUCUUUUGGCGUCGCAUUGAUUACGUAGACAUAUAUAAUUUGAAUUCUGAAAACAGUAGUUUUGAAUUUGGAUGAUACCAUAAACAAAUGAUACACGUACGUACGUGAGGUUCAGAUUCUUAGUUUCAGUUUUUCGGUAGUAGAAUCAUGUUCCAUAGAUACUUUCGGUUCUAUAAACUAAUCGGACAUCUUUGUCUAGAAAUAGGAGUAUAAGACAUCUUGGUUUUGUUAUCUGUCUAUAAUUAGACAUUUUUGUUUUUUUGUCUAUAGCUUGCUAAACACUUUUGGUAACGAAAAAAGAAAGUCAUUUACUAAAAAUUUCGAGAUUUCUUUUCGUUUUAGAUAUGACUUUUUGGUUUAAAGAAAAGACUGAUUAGUAUUCAAAAGUUAAUUAUGGUCAUCGUCAUAUAGAACUGAAAUAUCCACAUAUAAAAUAAAUCCCAAUUGAAAUGAGCCGAUGGUGAUAAACAUUUAUGUGUACGGAAAGACAUGAUAUAUAAGAAUAAGCAAGUAAUUAUAAGUUCAGUGGUUUUAGUCAUGUGGAUUUAGACCAGAGAUUGCAGAUUAUAUAUAGUCAUGUUAUAGUCAUUUGGUAGACUUAUUCUUCUAGCCACUACAAAACCCUUUUGCAGAUUUCAAGUAUUUAUAAGGAGGAUGAAUAUAUCUGUGAUGAGACGCAUCACUUCAAUAUUUUUGGCAUGAUCGGACCAAUUACAGACGCGAUUUUAUCAGUAGAGUUUCCUAGAAAUUUUCAUAGAUAAACCAAGUAAUUCAAGCAUAAGCAAUAUCAAUAUAGGUAACAUCCUAGCUAGAUAUAUAGGCGAUAAUAAAUUGUUUGGAGGUAUAUAUAAGAAGCUAUUAGGUUUAGACGACUUACGGCUUCUUUGAUAGAUAACUAAAUUCCCAAAAUUGGCAAAAAAACGUAGUGGCAAAAUGUCAUUAGGUUUUGUGUUUUCCUUGAGGGAUUUAAACAAAUAAUAUGAUAUCAAGUAAAUUCAGGUAUUAGUAGUAAUAUAUUUUUAGAAAUUACACGUGAGAAAUCCAUGUUGUGAAGUUACAAAUUUGCUAAAAUAUUUUGGUAACAAAAAAAGAACGUCAUAUAUAUACUAUAAAUUUCAAGAUUUCUUUUCAUUUUCGUUAUGACUUUUAGGUUCAAAAAGAAGACUGAUUAGUAUAGUAGAAAAGGUAUGUCAUGGUCAUGGAAAACAAAAGAUCCACAUAAUUAAAACUAAAUCUCAAUUAAAUGAGUCGUUGGUGAUAAAACAUAUGUGUACCGAAAGACAUGAUAAGAAGAAGCAAAAGAUUGUAGUUUAGUGGUUAUAGUCACGUAGUUUAGUGGUUAUUGUCAUAAAAUUGAUUGGUGGAUUAGUUUAGGCUUCUUCGAUCUAGAUCUCCGGUUAUAGAAAUAAAUAUAUAAUGACGAUAAAAAUUGUGUGAUGAGAAAAUAGCUACCAUUUUGUUGAACCAAUUGGAAUAAAUUAUUUUAUUAGAUUAGUUUCCGAGAAGUUUUCGUAGAGAAACCAAGUUUCAACCUAAGCAAUCUCAAUGAUAUAUAUAUAGCUUCCUAGGUGGAUAUAUAGGCGAUGAUUCAUGUGAGCAGUGAAUAAAUUGUUUGGAACGUUGACGUUAAUAUGUUCAAUCUCCAUUCUCAACGUUACUGACUCUUCUCGAGAGAUUAGCGGUAUCUAAUAAUCUUAGACGUUUUAAAAAAACAAAAAAAAAAUCUUAGACGUUUUUAUUUGAUGUUGGGUUUCUAAUUUUUGUUUUGGUUAUGUUUCAAAGUUGUACUUGAUGCUAUUUUACAUUUACCUAAUAAAAUUUAUAAUCUAAAAAGACUUUGUUGAACUUACUCAAUCAAAAAUCCUUAUAGUAAAUACAGUCUUUACAAAUUCAGGUAUAUAGUUAUUUAAUUUAUUUAUAAAUUAUGUUUAAAGUGGUUAGUUUAUCUUUGGCCUUGUAAUUGAAUUUCGAAAUAUAAGUUCUUCAAACACUAAGAGCUUGAAUAGUUUCGACUUGUGACAGAUGCUAUAUAGACUAAGUACUAGCUUGUGGACUACAUCGUUUAUAUUAUCAUUCACAACAUAAAUUUUAUAUGUAAUUAAACUAUGCAAGAAAUAAAAAAAAUCUUAUAUAAGAAAACAAAGAUAUAUCGUAAAGCCCAAACUGAAAAAGGACUUCUGAGUUUGUAAAGAUAAGACCUAUUAGAAAGUUAUGGAAGCAAUUGAUAAUGAGAUAUAACGAUAAUUCUUUGAUGAAUGCGUCCGGUCCAAUAUAGAUUUUUAAACUGAAUAGUCUUCAACCGAUUUUCAGAACAAUCAUUUUCACCUUAGUCACUAAUGGCGCCGGUCUCAUGUCAACUAAAUUAAUGGUUGGAAACGAUUACCUAAAUAUGUUUUGGGAAUCCGAUCUAAUUAACUAGAUAUGUUUUAAUUUGUGAUGUAUGAGUUUUUGAGCUUUCUUGGUGAAGAAGAUGGUAAUGAUGUAUCAUGUAUGAAUUUAUGUCAUUAUCUUCUUAUUUUUUUUUAAUAAAUAAGUAUUAGUUUCUUCGGCUAAAUUAGUCAUACACAAGAGAUCGAUCAUCAAGCUUGUAAGGUCAACUGCUAGUUGAAUCGGUGAUUCAGAGUUAUUCACAAUAGCCGCCUCCAGGCCCUCCACUAGCUAGUAUUCAACAAAUCUAUAAAAUCAUAUUACCAAAUUAUGAGGUAUUCAACAAAAAAAAAAAGCAUUAUAACAUAAAUCCAAAAUUUCCCGAAAGUUGGUAGAAACUAGAGAGUAAACUUCACUGGAGAAGCUAUGAACUUUUGCCUCCAGACUUUGUUCUUUUAUACUCGAUAUAUGCUUCACUAAUAACCAAAAUAAGCACGCUUAUUACAUUGAAUUCAGUCCAGAGUUUAAUUUUAACUAGAAACAAAGUCAUGGUAUUUUUUGGUAGCCGAGACUAGGAUUCGGCCCAAUAUCAACUUGAUGGAUUGCUUUUUCAACGAGUCAGUUCAAGAUAGGAUUAGUCAGACUUGUAUGUGAUGUCGGAUGGUUGUGUUGGUAUGGCCCUUGCAAAGCAAUUUGAAGAUUGUUCUCUCCAAUCCGAUGUCGACUUAGAUGUACUUAGUAAAAAAAGAAAAAGUAAGGAAUACAUACAGCCAGAAACUAAGAACUUGUGGGUAAUGGUAGUGAAAGGAUUAACAAUUGUGUAGCCAUUAACUAAUUCAGAGAGAAAGAGUUUCUAAACUAAUGUUGCAGCAUGUCGCUCAAGACUAAAGGCUUAUCUUGCGGAAGGAAGAUGCUUUGUUUAGGUAGAUGCGGUUACUAAGAAAAACAUGUAACUUAGUUAAGCUAGAUUAAGGGUUUGAGGUAUAUUAUUUUUCACCUUAAUUCAAAGAUUGUGAUGUGUCAAGUCAUGAAUGUGGGAACAUGCCGUUCUUUUCUUAUAGGUACAGUUGGCAACAAGUCCAUUGCUUUUUUUUUUUUUUUUUUUUAUUGCUCUUAUUAAAUCGUGUUAUAUGAAUUGUUAAAAUCUCGUAUAUGUUCGAAUUUGUUACCGACAAGAAGUAUGCAAUAGAAUUCGACUUUGGCUUUUGUAUUAAGGAUCAUCACACACAGAUUUUUUGAUGUCUUUAUGAUUAGAUCAAACAGCGUGCGAAAGAGGAGGAACUAAGCACCGACUCCGAUGAUAAAAAGAGCACCGGAUCUGAGACGAUGGCAAACAAAUCUCCGAUAUCCAGUCUAAAAAUAAAGGUUAUUCUAUAGAGAUCUCCAGUUUUGUUAUGUUUAUGUUGAUUGUAGUUGCUUAAUCUGUUUUGAUGUCUUUAUGAUUUGAUCAACCAGCGUGCGAAGGAGGAGGAACUGAGCACCGACUCCGGAUCUGAGAUUCUCACCAUAGAGUAUGAGAAACUGAGCCUAACCAGCUCAAUCAAGAGUGAAUCUGACAAGGUAGGUGGUACGUCUGCGACUAUUAGUAAGUCUGCGACUUUGAAUGAAAUUAUUCGGUUUUUUAUGUUUUUUAUUUUGGGAAUAAGACUAUAAUUUAACCAAAUAAAAAUUCUUUGGUUAUUUUGGCUAUGGAGACCAAAGGUAUGCGCUCUUUUAGCCUCAUUCUCGUAACUUUUUUAGCAUGAAUUAUUGUUAAGCUCGCAUGUUAGGCUUGCUUAAAAACAUGACAUUUGAGAUAGUAACAAUUUUAGUAAAUUUGUUCAUAAAACGCACAACUUCUCAUAGUCACUGUCACAUCGAUCUGGUGCCGAACAAGGUCUAUAUCAACUUUGAUCUUUUUUUAGUUUUAGUCGCAACGACUGUUUCAAUUUUGGAUGAAGGCAAACUAUCAAUCGCUAAAAAAAUCAGCGACGUCUUUUCCGGAACGAGCGACUGUGAUUCUCAUCUUCAGCAAUAUUCAUAUAUAAACUAGGUGAAUAUGUUCAUUGUUCAUAUUGUUAUAAAAAAUAUUUUAAGAAAUCAUGUUCAUUGUUCAUAUUGUUAUAAAAAUAUUUUAAGAAAUCAUGUUCAUCGUUCAUAUUGUUAAUUUUUGUUCAUUUUGUGUGUUAUUAUAUAGUUAGUAAAAUUAAAUACAUCUUAUGUAGUUACAAUUUUUAUAAUUAGAUUCAUUUUUGAUUCGAAAUAACAAUAUAUACUUUUUUAUCUAUAAAUAUGAUUAUUUAUAUACCUAAUUAAUUAAGAUCCUAAUAUUUUUUUCAAUAUCAUGAAUACAUACAACAACAAUAUAUGCUAUUUUAAUAAUUAUGUCACUUGUGUAAUUUGAUAUUUGCCUAACUUUAUUAUAAACAGAUAAUUCUGUAUUUUAUGUACUAUCAUGAUCUAGUACUUCAGCCACAUCGUGAUAAACUCAUGAUUUAAUACUGGAAUGCCAUAAUUUGAACAAGUAUAACUAACUACUUAUUUGCUUCAAGAGUUUUCAUAUACGAAGAAGAAAAACAAAGCAAAAAAUAGAAGAGAUAUUUAACUUAACACUUUUAGAUCUAUGCCUUUGCAUAUAGUCAUAUAAGAAAGAGUUUCGUGUCCUGAAUUCUUUGGUAUGUCUAACGUUUUAAAGAUUCAUUACUUGAAAAAUACUUGCAUGUCAAUAUUAUCGACAAACGUCAUAUAUAAACCAUCAAACAUAGUUAUGAGAAAUGACUCAAAGAAUUACUAAACUAAUAAAAAAUUAAAUAACAAAUAGUUAAACUGCUAAGUAAGUAAAUUUUUAGCUAUUAUCGAGUAAUGAUCAUUGAUAAAAAAAAAUUCUAAAAUAAAAAGUGUAGAAUGAAAGUAAUGCUUGACAUAUUAACAUAAUUUUGUAUUUUUUUUUUUUGAAGAAAUUAAUUAAGAGUAGAGUGAUAGAGGAUUUAAUGUAACGGAGGACUUUUGAUUUUUCUCAUUUACUUUUGUUAAUUUUAAUUUAAAUAAUUUAAAAUUACACAUCUUUUUAUGUGUGAUGAUGUAGCAUUCAUAUGAAGAGAGUUGGUCAACUUUCAUCGUUAUAUUAUCAUCCAAAUUUAAAUCCGAUAUAAUUUGUAUUAUUUAAAACUACAGUUUCUACUGUAAUAAUAUUUACCAAUAAGUUUUAAUAUUUUUCUAAUUAAAAUUCUUAUUAUAGCCAAAAUCUCAAAUUUCACAACUAUAAAUCUAUAAUCUCUAGCCGUCGUUACCAAUCGUAUAAAAAACUUAGUACCAUUACCUUUGUUAUUAUGUUUUUUCCAUUAUUAAGUAAAUAAAAUCAGUAUUCUUAACAUAACUCCACGUCAGCAAUCUAACGCCUUCUCAACUUAAAAGAAAAACACUUAUCUAUCAUCACCUCUCAACCGUUGAUUAAGAUAUUUAAUAUCCUCAAUCCAACAAACAAAAAAUCUCCACGUCAUCAAUCCUCGUCAAGUCAUAUCCUCCAAUCAAAUCCAUUACUUCCCUUCUUAUUUCUUAAUAUCUUUCACCGCUUCUUCAUCAUCUUCAUCAUCACCAAUCACAAAAACCCAAAGGCAAAAACUUUCCCGAGAAAAACUCAAAAAUGGCACCAAAAGCCGGAAAGAAACCAGCAGAGAAGAAACUCUCCGCGGCAGAGAAAGCUCCAGCAGUAGAAGAAGAGAAAGUAGCCGAAAAAGCACCAGCAGAGAAGAAACCAAAAGCCGGAAAAAAGCUACCAAAAGAAGCCGUCACCGGAGGAGUCGACAAGAAGAAGAAACGAGUCAAGAAAAGCACAGAAACAUACAAGAUCUAUAUCUUCAAGGUGUUGAAACAAGUUCAUCCAGAUAUUGGAAUCUCAAGCAAAGCUAUGGGGAUUAUGAACAGUUUUAUCAAUGAUAUAUUCGAGAAACUUGCGCAAGAAGCUUCGAAAUUAGCUAGGUAUAAUAAGAAACCUACGAUUACUUCUAGGGAGAUUCAGACAGCUGUUAGACUUGUUUUGCCUGGUGAACUUGCUAAGCAUGCUGUUUCUGAAGGAACUAAAGCUGUUACUAAGUUUACUAGCUCUUAGGGUUUGUGGGUUUUGUGUUUAGGUUUCAGAUCUUGGUUUCUUUUGGUAUGUAAUCUGAUGGGUUUAUGUUCUUUUUUGUUUAGUUUAUAUUAAUGUCUCUUUUGAAGUAAGAUUAUGAAUGUUGAUCUCUGUAUUUUGUGUUUAAUGACUUUGAAUAUUGUCAAACUUGGUUUGGUGUUCUACAAGAAGUUUGAUUUUUUAUGGAUGGUUAUGGAAAUUUAUGGAUUUUUUUGUAUGAUUUUGUAUGAUGAAGUUCUGAUUUUACUAGAUUGAAUUGUUGUUAUUUAAUGUGAAAAACUCAUGUUUGGUUACUUACGAGUUGUGAACUACUCUUGAGCUUGAUUUUUGGACUUUCAUGCUAGUGAUUCAAAGCGUCAAACCCUUGUGUGGAUUUUGGCAGUUUCUUGUGAAGUGUUUUUAGAGUAUUGCAUCAUUUUUAUACCUUGAAUACAAUGCCGAAACCUCCCUUUCCCAGGUUAUUUGAGAGGGAGAAGUUGUGAGCAAGGCUUCCCAGACUAUAGGGGAAGGAAGUAACCUAGUUCAACAAGAUACCACUCUGAUGUAAAGAUCAUGGCCAUCGUCUGCAUAAGUCCGGUGCAGAUCCAUUCACCCUUGGCAUUGCUACAGCCCUAAAAUGUACAUAUAUGACAACUUCAUAUUCCUCAACAACAAGAACCCUAUUUUUGAAUAGGAUGGCAUUUUCAUCUUCACUUGACAUCCAACAGACCAACACUAUAUGUCUCCAUGUGUGGCUUGUUCCCUCUGAUACACUUACUUUUAUCUCUUUGCUUGGUGAAUUUAUUUUGAUAGAUUAGGUAAGAGUUGACUCUUGUAUUGAAUGUUUAUUUUCUGUUUUGUGAUAAAUGCAUGUUAGAUGUUAAUAAUUUUCUGAAUUGGAAUUAUCUAUAUGUUUUAUAAAUUUUAAAAUGUUAAUAAUUUUAAUUUUAAUAUUAUAAUUUUUUAAAAAAAAUCUUAAAAGGACUCCACUUUGAAUUCUUCCAUAUGAGUAUGAAAAUUUUAAAAUCUCAUACACAAACUCUUAUCCUAAAUAUUAAUAUAUUUUAUAUUAAAACAAAUGGUAAGAACGCAUGAGGGGUUCUUACUAUUGGAGAUGGUCUUAGAAGGUGUGAAUGGUGACAUAUGUUAAGAUUGAUUUAAUUUGAAUGAUAGAUGCAACUUAUAGUUAACUCAACAAUGUUAUUAGUUAUGAACCAAAUUAAUUAAUAAUAGUUUCAAUAAUAAUAUAUUAUUACAACUCUAUAAGUAAAUUAUAACUAAUGUAAUAUUUGAAGAAAACAAAGAUAUUCGUGCAAAAAUAAAGAAAAAAGCUAUAAAAUAAGCAAAACAUAAGAAAAUUUUAAGUUACAUAUAAUAGAACCUAAACAGGCAAAUUUGAGCAAUUAAAUUAAAAAGAAUGAUUAAUUACCAAUUACACUAAAAUAACAUAGCAAUACGAAAAAUUAUCAGUUUGGAUAUCUUUUUUUAUGUUAACAAGCUCAUGGACUGUAUGUAAGAUUAUUCAACGAAUUUUCCGUGGAAUAUUUCCAUUCAUUAAAUUCUAAUAAUUGCUCCGGACUUGUUAAUCUAUAUAUAUAAUGGGAGAGUCUUCUCUCCAUCUACGCUAUCCACAUCAUCAUCCACCUAAGCAUGCAUCUAAAUAAAAAUUUAAAAAUAUAAUCUAUUUAAAAUGUUCAUUCAAUACAUACUUAAUUUUAUUUAUUGUUAUUUAUGAUUAUAAAUACUUAAGUUGAAUACAAAUAAAUAUAUAGUGAAUUAGUGAUGAAUCUUAUGACAUAUUACUAAUUAAAAUAAUAGUUGAUUAGUUUAUAAAUGACAGUAAACUAAAUGUCAAAAUAUAGCUAAAUAGUAUCGUGUACAAUAAUUGAAAACAAAAUUAAAAUAUAAUAUAAUUAUGUAUACUUUUAAUUUUUUUAGCUUAUCAUAAAUAUAAUAUAAAAUUUUAUAUAAGUAAAUGUAUAAAUGCAUUUGAUAGUAAUACAAACAUUAUGCACUUAUUUUAAAAAUAAAAGUAUGCAUUAUAAAAAUAUAAAAAGAUUAUUUUAAAAAUAUCGAAAAGAAUAGAAAGAGCACAAUUGCAACAUUGGAUUGAAUAAGAUAGAAAUAAAAAAAUAUAAAAAAAUAAUAGAAUAUGAAAAUAUCGGAACUAAGUGACAAAAAAAAAGAACAAAGUGACAAAAUUAGUCUCAGAAAGCUAAAUUCCUAAAGAGAAAGCCAAUAUAUAAAAUAAUAUAUAAUAUAUCUUUUAUUUUUGCUUCUAAAUAAAAUAGAUAUAAAUUUGGAAAAAAUAAAACACAUUUAAAAUUUCACACUUGAGUUUCUAGAAUUAUAGAGAACAUGUUAUGCAUAAGAAUUCAUGUACUAAAAAGAGAAUAUAUAUAAUGAACAGUCAUAGAAUUCAUGUAUCCUAUGACUCAUAGGAUACGAAGUCAAAUACAAAAAAAAAACGUUUAAUAUAUGUAAUAUAUUAUAAAUAGACAUGUAAAUAUAUACAAUUAUCACUUAUAAGAUUCUAUUAUAUUUAUAUAACCGUUUUUUUAUCAAUAGAAUAUCAUAUAGUUUUCAAAUAGUAUUGCAAUAAAAAAAUAUUUAAAAUAAUAUUAUUUACAAAAACAAUUGAGUAUAUAUUACUAAAACCACGCAACGCAUGGGUCCAUUUCUAGUUAGUCUAUGUUUAAAAAAUUUAAAUUCAACUUAGUCCACUUCUAAGACUAAUCAUGAUUAAUCUCACUUGUGAAACAAAAGUUAAGUAGUGUUAUAUUACUUGAAGUAAGUAUUAUGAUUGUUAGAAGGUGUGAAUGAUGACAUGUGUUAGGAUUGAUUUAACUGGAAUUAUAAAUGUAAAACAUGGUUCACUUAACAAUGUUAUUAAUUAUGAACCAAUUUUAAAUUUUAAAAUAAAUUUAAGUUUUGAGUUUAGUUGAGUUAUGGCUAAUUUAUGAUAAACUAAAACUUAACUCAAAAACAUUGAAAAAAAAUAUAAAGAGUUAUGAUGUGUUAAGUUGAUUGAUUUAUUUAGACUUUUUAUAUAUAAAAAAGGUUUCCUAAAGAAGAGUAAGGGCUUUGUUUGUUCCUAUGUCUCUAUUUCUGGUCUUUUAUUUGUCUUGAUUUUUUGGUGGGUGAUAUAUUUCCUUUUUAUCACUUUGUUUUACUAAUCUGUGUCUAUUGUAAAGGUUUAGUGUUGGUACCUAUGGUACCGUUUUAAGAUAUAUAAUCUUUUCAGUGAAAAAGAAAGAAAGAAAGUAAGUGGUGUUAUAGUCUAUCACCAACUGACUAACCUAUUUAUUACUACCAUAUACACUUGAUUUAGUCAAAGCCACAAACUUUAAAAUCUCAUGACUCAUUCUCAACCUUUUAGGUCCUAUCAUAUAAUCUCUAUCAUUAGAAACUAGAUUACUUCACCGUGGACAUUUCUCAGAAAAAUUGGUAAAACACCUUCACUUCAACUAUUUCGGUGAAUUUCAAAAACAUGUAAAAAAAAAAUCCUAACUUUUUUGUGGGUUUUUAAACCCUAACAUUUUAAAAAAUGGUAAAAUAACCACUAAUCUUAUUAAUAAACCAAAUAAAUUCCAGAUAAACUAUUAUAUUAAAACAAAAACAAAUAGAUAAAACAACUUAAUUUGUAAUUUAUUUUUUCAAAUUCUAGUUUACAAAUUUCAAUUCCAAAAUUGAGUUUUUUACGAAAUAAAAAUAAAUCAGUUUUGUUGUCAUUAAAACUAGUUAUGUAAACUAUAAAAAUGUAUAGAUUAGCCCAUUCGGUUCAUUUUUUGUUCGAAUUUGUUCUAACUUUUCAAGUUUUGAAUUUAAAAUGGGCCAAAAUUAUUAACAUAUUUUUUUCUAAAAUAGUGUGAUCCGACCAAAUAAUAUUAAUUAACAAAAUCAUAUUCAGCUUGGUAUAAAAGUUUCUAUAUCCCUCUUACUAUUUCAAAAUUAGUUUAGUUUCACGUUGAUAAAUUUAUAUAACCCAACCGAAUUAAUCUUGAUUAAUUGUUAUUUUCAAUUAUUAUAUAAAAUUAAUUAAAAAAAUCAUAUAUAACAUAAAAUACUUACUUUUAUCCAAAAUUGAAUGAAACCUAAACUCCACCCGAAAUAAAUUUUGGAUAUAUUUUGGAUAACAAUAAAUAUGAAACCGAUUGUUGAGUUAGUAAAUUUAAAUUGUUUAUAUAACUAAAAUUCUAAUGGUAAUGAAAUCGUUUUACUGUAUCUCAACUAGAUUUGAAAUAACAAUUUUAUAUAUAAAAAGUACAUGAAAACUAAAAAACUUCAAUUCGGAGAAAAUUGAAAAAUAGAGUUUACUAAAAAAGAAUCUUAAACCAAAUUAUAUUUAUUUAUUUAAACUUUAGCAUAAUGGUUUGUUUGAUUUUAAACUGAUUUUAUUGAUAUUAAGUGAGUGUUAUUUUACCAUUUUUUAAAAGGUGCGGUUUAAAACUCAUAAAAAAGUUAAAGAUUUUUAACAUGUUUUUGGAAAAGGUAAAAGUUUUUUAACCCAUUUUUCUCUAGUUAGUUAGUGUUUAAUCAUUAAAACUCGGUCACUGUAGCUUUAAUUAAAUUUGUAAUAAUUUAGAUUAAUAAAAAGGGCAAUCGUAAAUUUAAAGAGUUCGUGAAAACGUGUAAGAGCCCUCUCUCCCACUCUUCUUCUCGUCACAUUGUAUUAUCCCAAAAACUCACUCAAAAUCUUUUUAACUUCACACACAAAACUAAAACACUUCUAUAAUUUAAUUCUUUCAAUGGAACCAAUUCUUGAAAAAAUCUCAACUCCUUGGCAAGUUCUUGUUCAAACAGCAACAUGGACAAUACUCCUAAUGAUCACAGUGUCUUUGGCUUCAUUUGCUCCAGAAAUGGCGUUUGUGUCGAAAAUAAAAUCAUCUUCCGAUGGGUUCGUUAGGAUUCCGAUGGAUUUAUCGGGAGAAAUGUUGAUCUUACCGUCGGAGAUGGUGAAGAACUCAUCUUUAGACGUUUUUAUACCGACGAUAUUCGCAGGUGUUAUGGUCAUUGCUUCUGUUUCUUUAUUACGAUCAUGUCUUGGUAUUGAAGGUGUUGUAGUAGAAGAAAUCGAAGAACAACAAUGUUGAUAACAUUUGCAUAAUAACAAUUUAAUUGUAAUGGAUUUAUCAAUAAGGGUCCUUAGCUCAGUGGUAGAGCAAUUGACUGCAGAUCAAUAGGUCACCGGUUCGAAUCCGGUAGGGCCCUUUCUUUUUUUCUUUUACAAACCAUUUUGUUAUUUAUACUAACCGUUGAUAUUAUUUGAUCUGACGGUGCUAAAUGUAUCGCUACAAAUAUUUGUUGGAUCGAUGACGUGGCAUUAGAUUUAUUAGUAUUUAUCUAUUGGAGUAUACAAGUUGCACAAAUGACAAAACUGUGUAUAAUUUUCAAAGAAAAAUUCUUACAUUAGGGAACUACAAAAAUGAUAUUUUGCAAAAAACUAACAACACAAUCUUUAAAUUUUCUUUUUUAAGUUUAAGUUCAUAGAUAUAUUAUAAGCCUAUAAGUUUAUGAAUCUUAUAUAUUAAUCUCCAAACUUCAAAAUACUCACAUUUAGUCCAUAUUCGAUCUUCAUCACCCCCAUUCAUAAUCCUUUACCAUAAUAAUCAUAAAUUUAAAAUACUUUUAGAGUAAUUAGAGUAAAUGGUACUAUGAUUAACCAAAAUUAAGACCCGAUUACAAUACUGCAAUUAACCAAACCCUAAAAUUUCUUGAUCGCAAGACUUAAAUCAUUAUCAAGAACAUCAGUUCUGUUCAACCACCAAAUCCAUAAAGAGUUCUUCCUUGUCUCUUCAAAGCAUAAACAACAUCCAUUGCAGUCACUGUCUUCCUCCUCGCAUGCUCUGUAUAAGUAACAGCAUCUCUAAUCACAUUCUCGAGAAAGAUCUUCAACACACCUCUCGUUUCUUCAUAGAUCAAUCCACUGAUUCUCUUCACACCUCCUCUUCGAGCAAGACGACGAAUCGCUGGCUUUGUGAUUCCUUGAAUGUUGUCACGAAGAACUUUUCUGUGUCUCUUCGCUCCUCCUUUGCCUAAUCCUUUGCCUCCUUUUCCUCUUCCUGACAUUUUUUCUCGAGAUUGUUGUUUUCUGAUGAGUAGAGAAAUUUGAUUGAUUUAUAAAGAAGAUGAUUUGUGUCGUAAAAUGAAUCGUGACCGUUCAUUUUAAUUUUUGAUCGAACGGUUUAGAUGACGAUCCGCGAGAAAGGUUUAGAAUAGAUAUCGAUCGUUGAUUUUUAAUUAAUCAACGGUGAGAGAUUGGUUUCUUAAGUGAUCACGGAUCGUGUAGUUUUUGUUUUUGUUUUUUCUCGCUUUUUAUUAUCGGUUUUCUUUUUCUCCAUCUCUGAACCAGUGGGUUAACCGGGCCGGUUAACGAUGUUGGGUAUCUAGAAUGCAACCGAUGUCGUUUUGUAGUGCCGAAAACAGAGUCGUUAUAAGGUCGUUGAGCUUUUUUAUAGUUCUUCUUAAUUCUUUGUUUUCUAUUUCUAAGCUCUUUCUCUAAUCUGUAACAUAAAGACACCACUGAUGGUGAAUUGUGAGAUAUUGAUCUUGCGGAGAUGUACAUUGAGAUCGCGUCGAUCUUGAAAAACUCGUAACAAUCGUCUGUUCUUGAAUGAAUCUUCAAACGAAUACAAUGAGUGAUCGGUAACUUCUUUGAUCUAUUUCGACAUAGAAUUAUCAAGAAAUUGAAAAACUUUCCCAGCCAAAUUGAGAUCAAAACAAAGAACGUAUUUGGGAGAGAUAUUACCACAAUCUUGAAGCAACUUGGAACCAGUAGAUUUCUUCUUGAAUAUCAUUCAAUACUAAGCUCAUUAAAGAUAAAAACUAUGCCCUUCUCCAAUGGUUUUGUUUCUGACAAAGUCAAUUUAGACAAGCAUAAUCAAUUUUAUAAUUAAAAAAUGAUGUUGAUUGUCCAAAAAAUUUGGUUGUGUCCUUUAACUCUAAAAGAGAAAAAGGUAUUCCGCUGCCGGGGUUUGAACCCGUUCAUUCAUUUGAAAUUAACCGAUGUGCUACAGCGAAUCUUUUGGAAAUACAUCCAUUCGAUCAGUAUAUAAAAUUAUAAACUAUAGAAAAAAUAAGUGUGUUCUAACAAGAGGAGAGACUCUUUCAAAACAGAAUUGUUCUAAGGUCGCUGAGCUCAUAAGCUCUUGGAUAUCUUUUCUUUAAGUCGUUAUUGCUUUCUCUUUGUUUUUAUAACUCAAAAGACUCCACUAAUAGUUAAGGUGUUGUUCUUGCUGAGAUGUACCAGGGAUCACAUCGAUCUUGAAAAACUCGUAAAACGUGUGUCCUUGAUUUAAUCUCCAAACGAAUACCUUAAGUGUUUGUCAUAGAAUUCUCAACAAGUUGAAAAUCUAUCCAAAUCUUGAAGAAUGAACUCAGCAUUUCUGUUAUAAGAUUUCUUUCAACUGCAAAAUGAUAAGCACAAUCUUGAUAUUAGCUUCAUACCAUAACUAGAAGCACAAAUCUUGAAGAAAGAAACUUGCAGCCAAGAAAUUCCUUCAUGAAUCUCAUUCAACACAAAACUCAUCAAAGAUCAAGACUCUGCUCUUCUCCAAUGGUUUUUUCUUGCAAAGUCAACUUGUUUAGGUUUAUUGGAUUUGUCCUUUACCAAAAGAAAGAAAAAAGUAUUCCGCUGCCGGGGGUUGAACCCGGAUUUCAUCAUUUGAAAUUAACCUGUGUGCUACAGCGGAUCUAUUUAACGUAUCUCCGAUUAACUAGUAUAUAUAUAUAUUAAGAAUUAGUAUUUUCUACCUAUCACGUGUUAAGACCGAUCACAUAUUAAGAGAAAGAGAGGAGAGCCACUAGUUUUGUUGGAGUGUUCUCUUAACAAUGUGUGUUCUUGGUUCAAUCUUUAAACCAAUGGUGUGAGUGAUAAUAGGACGCUUAUUCCAUACAAACUCAAAAUGCAUUUGAGAUCAAAACAAAGACCGUAUUUGGGAGAGAUAAGCACAAUCUUGAUAUUAACUUCAUAACGUGGAGAGAUAAGCACUAUCUUGAUAUUAACUUCAUAACGUAGCUAAAAGUACAAAUCUUGAAGCAACUUGGAACCACAAAUUUCUUCUUGAAUCUCAUUCCAUAAUAAGCUCAAUAAUGAUAAAAACUCUGCCUCGAUAUAUCAUAUAUGAUAUAUCCAAUAGUUUCUUCUUAGAAAGUCAACUUAGAUAAGCAUAAUCAAUUUUAUAAUAAAGAAUGAUGUAGAAUAUUCAAAUAUUUUGAAUCUGUCCUGACUAAAAGAAAAGGAAAAAAGUAUUCCGCUGACGGGGUUUGAACCCAGAUUUCAUUCAUUGAAAUUAACCGAUGUGCUACAGCGAAUCUGUUGAACAUAUCUCCAUUCAAUUAGUACAUAAACUAUAGAAAAAUUAGUGUGUACUAACCUUAAGAAGAGGAGAGACUCUAAUUUUCUUUGAGUGUUCUGGUUUGGAGCAUUUAACAGGUAAGAAUGAAGCGAUUUCGUUGAAUGUAACCCUCAGUAACUAGUCUAAGUCUAUAAAUAAUUAGUAUUUUCUACCUAUCACAUGUUAAGACCGAUCGCAUAUUAAGAGAAAGAGAGGAGAGCCUCUAGUUUUGUUGGAGUGUUCUCUUAGUGUCCUUAAUUCAAUCUUUAAACCAGUGGUGUGAAUAAUGGUGUGGUUCUUCGAUUGUACAAAUUGGUAUAUACUAGAUUCAUGAAUCAGAAACCGUAUAAACCGAAAAACUCGAACCAAAAACUCAGAUUGAACACCACUAUUUAACUACUAUCCGGUUGUUCGAUCUAGUUUCAAAUGAUUACAAGAACUCUGAUUUUCAUCAUUUGGUUUAUAAUUAUGUGAUAGUGAAACGACUCAUUUUGUCAACUAAGCUCAUUAAAGCAUCUCAUUGAUCACAUUCUCAUAAUAAAAUUCAAAUAGUAAAAUACAAAAUCAAAAUGCAAAAAGAAAGAUACAAAAAUAUGCUCCACGGGUUUCGUGGAUUAGUAUUUGCUUCGGCUUUGGUUCUACUUUAGUAGCUUCACCUUUAGUUCCCAACCAAGAACUUCUUUAGCUUUGCUUAUGUCUUGUUUUCUCUGUUUUGGAUCUGUUUUGGAUCUGUUUUGGAUCAUCCCGUGUGUUCUUUACCAUCUUUAUCUCCACGUCCGGUUUAAUAAGCUGCACCAAUUCUCAUUAAUAUACAUUACUUAUUUGUUACAUAACUUUAAUCACAUUUAUGCGAAAUGAAAUUAAAAAAGGAUAAUAAUGCUAACUUCUUGAACCGUCUCAGCGAGCGCAACCAUCGUGAAUUCACCUGGAUAGCGUAUGUGUAUAAUUGUAUAUCGAUCCGGUUUGGUCUCUUGCCAGACGCAUUAGACCUUCCAUCUACAGAACCAAAGUUGGACUACGUAUCAUUUUAUAAUAUACGUUUUGGAGUUUGAUUGGUAACCCGCAAAAUGGUAUGAAUAAUUUGUGUAUCUUUUAAAUUCUUUGUUUCCUAUUUCUAAGUUCUUUCUCUAAUCUGUAACACAAAGACUCCACCGAAAGAGAAUUGUAAGAUGAUGUUAUUGGCAAGAUAUACAUGAAAUCGCAUCGAUCUUGAAUUCUCGUAAAAUGUGUGUUCUUGAUCCAAUCGUCAAACAAAUACUAUUGAGUGAUUGUGAGCUUCUUUGAUCUAAUUCGACAAAGAAUUCUCAACGAGUUUAAACAAUUAGGUUAUGAUAAACACAAUCUUGAUAUUAGCAUCAAACCGUGGCUAAAAGUACAAAUCUUGAAGCAACUUGGAACCAAAGAUUUCUUCUUGAAUCUCCAAUAGUUUCAUCUUAGAAAGUCAACUUAGACAAGCAUAAUCAAUUUUAUAAUAAAGAAUGAUGUAAAAUGUUCAAAUAUUUUGAAUCUGUCCUUUACCUGACUAAAAGAAAAGGAAAAAAAGUAUUCCGCUGCCGGGGUUUGAACCCGGAUUUCAUUCAUUGAAAUUAACCGAUGUGCUACAGCGGAUCUAUUGAACAUAUUUCCAUUCAAUUAGUACAUAAACUAUAGACAAUUUAGUGUGUACUAACAACCUUAAGAAGAGGAGAGACUCUAAUUUUGUUGGAGUGUUCUGGUUUGGAGCAUUUAACAGGCAAGGAUGGGUGCUUUGGCUAGAGAAGGACACGAUGUCGUUGUGAGGCGGUUAGGAUUCUUAUCAUAACUGAAAACAGAAUUGUUAUAAGGUAGUUGAGCUCAAAAGCUCUUGUAUAGCUUCUCUUUAAGUCUUUUUGUUUUCUCUUUUUUCUAUAACUCAAAGACUCCAGUAAUAGUAAAUUAUAAGGUGUUAUUCUUGCUGAGAUGUACAUGAGACCGCAUCGAUCUUGAAAAACUCGUAAUAAGUUGAAAACCUAUCCAAAUUGGAAUCAAAACAAAGAAGCACAAAUCUUGAAGAAUGAAUUGCUUUAAGAUUUCUUUCAACUGCAAAAUGAUAGCACAAUCUUGGUAUUAGCUAAUUCAUACCAUAACUCGAAGCACAAAUAUUGAAGACAAUCUUGAAGAAACUUGCAGCCAAUAUAUUCCUUCAUAAAUCUUAUUCAUCACAAAGCUCAUCAAAGAUUAAAACUCUGCUCUACUCCAAUGGUUUUUUUCUUACAAAGUCAACUUAGACAAGCAAAAUCAAUUUUAUUAAAAAAAAAUAGAGAUAUUUUAUAGAUUUAUUUGGUCAGAUGUUGAAUUGUUUAGAUGUAUUGGAUAUGUCCUUUACCUGACUAGAAAGAAAGAACAAAAAAGGUAUUCCACUACCGGGGUUUGAACCCGGAUUUCAUCAGUUGAAAUUAACAUGUGUGCUACAGCAGAUUUGUUGAAUGUAUCUUCGAUCAACUAGUAUAUAGUCUAUAUAAAAAAUUAGUAUUUUCUACCUAUCACGUGUUAACCUAUUAGGAGAAAGAGAGGCUUUGACCUUAAGCUUUAGAAGAAGAUAGACUCUAAUUUUUUGUUGUUUUCUCUUAACAAUGCGUGUUCUUGGUUCAAUCUUUAGUCUUUACACAAGUGGUGUGAGUGACAAUGAGGUUGUACAAAUUGACAUAAACCAGAUUCAUAAAUCAGAAACUCUAUAAACCGAAAAACUCGAAAAUCCGGAUUGACACACUAUUAGUUGUUAUUCGUGUGAUUUUUACAAAUGAUUUCAAUUAUUUGGGUACAGUACAGGGAAAACAGUUUGGACUUUUCCAAAUUUUACAAGACCAGUGACAACUGACGAUGAAAUAACUCAUUUUGUCCACUAAGCUUAAAACAUCUCAUUGAUUACAUUCUCAUAGUAAUAAAAUUCAAGUAGUAACAUCACUCCCUAAAUGUUCCUCGUUAGGAUGCUUAUUCCCUACAAACUCAAAAUGCAAAGAGAAAGAUUAAAAGACAUGAUCCACAUGUUUUGGGGAUCAGUAUGCGCUUGCUUCGGCUUGGAACCCCGGUAUCAAACAAACAAACAAACAAACAAAACGAUAAGAACACACAAUUCCAUGAAAUUAAAAUAGCAAUUAUUUUUCUUUCUUUUGUUUUGAAAAUAAGCUUCACUUCUUCGAAACACCAAGCCUUAGACGAAAAUCUUCUUCCAUAAGAGGAAGCCCUUCACGUAGCUUCACCUUUGGUUCCCAACCAAGAACUUCUUUAGCUUUGCUUAUGUCUGGUUUUCUCUGUUUUGGAUCAUCUGGUGUGUUCUCCACCAUCUUUAUCUCCACGUCCGGUUUAAUAAGCUGCACAAAUUCUCAUUAAUAUAGAUUACUUAUUUGUUACACAACUAUAAUCACAUUUAUGUGAAAUGAAAUAACAAAAUGACAAUGCUAACCUCUUUAACCGUCUCAGCGAGCUCAACCAUCGUGAAUUCGCCUGGAUUGCCUAUGUUUAUCGGUCCGGUUUGGUCCCCUUCCAUCAAACGCAUUAGACCUUCCACCUACAAAACCAAAGUUGAAUCAUGUAUGCAAUUGGAUCUGCAUGUUGUUGCCAAUCAUACUUUUUUAGUGGAAUCGCGUUUUUCAUUCUUCUUUUUUCCGCGAUUCCGUAAGAUUAAUGCUAGUGAAAUUGUGUAACCAUCAUUUCAGGAGUUUUAAAUUUGUAUCUCUUAUAUUCUAUUCUGCCAUCUUAUUUACACAUUAUUAUUUUUAUCUUCUAUGAUUAUGCGAUUAUGCAGAGUUAUCAAUCAAAUAUUUUGAAUAAUGAGUUGCUAUAUAUGAUAGAACAUACCAUGUCUGAAACAUAACAGAAACUGCGGGUUUGUGUUCCCGGUUUCUGAACAGUCAGAGCUUCUCCCCUGCAAACCCAAAACGAUGUUAUCAUACAAAGGCUUUAGGAUUAGUCUAGGAUUCGACUAAAAACUUACCCGGUUAUUACAAAAAAAAACAUAUUCAAGAACUUGAUUGAGGUUAGUUUCACCUGAGAGCCUGAGCGAUGAAGUUGCUCACGACACGACCAUCAUCAAUGUUCAUACGAGGACCAUAUGUGUUGAAUAUCCUUGCUAUGCGUAUCUCUAAAUUAAUGGCCCCAUAAUAGUAAUAACUAAUAAGUAAUCAGCCAAUAAGCUUAAAUCAAAGUUUUCAAGAAAACGGUAAUAGAGUGAUUAAUUUUACCAAUCCCAUGUUGCCUAUGGUAAUCAAACAUAAGUGUUUCUGCAACACGUUUUCCUUCAUCGUAACAACUUCUAACACCUUAUAGUCAAACUAUUUUGUGUUAGUUAAAAAUUUAUAAACUGAGUUAUUACAAAUAAUUUAUAAAUUUAUAAUGACUUACCGAUGGGGUUUACAUUUCCCCAAUAGCUCUCGGGUUGAGGGUGAACCAAAGGAUCACCGUACACUUCAGAUGUCGAAGUAAGUAAAAUUCUUGCGCCGACUCGCUUAGCUAGUCCUAACAUGUUAAGUGUGCCAAUCACAUUUGUUUUUAUCGUCUGCCAUUAAAAAGAUGAAGAUAUAUAUGAUCAUGACAUAAACAAUAUAUAUCAGCAUUUUUGCGAGUUUUGAUUAACGAAAUUUAACAAACCUUAACGGGGUUGUAUUUGUAGAAAAUUGGAGAUGCAGGACAUGCUAAAUGGUAGAUUUGAUCAACCUCAACUAACAAAGGUUCAGUCACAUCUGAAAAAUCAUAAGGAUGAGUAUUAACAUUGUUCAUUUGUUCUGGAUAAUGAGUAUUAAUUAAGUUGAUUAAUCAAGAAGAUUUACCAUGACGAAUGAGCUCAAAUCUUGGAUGACCAAUCCAUUUCUUGAGAUUGUCUUUUGAUCCUGUGAAGUAAUUAUCCGCAACGAUUACUUCAUUCUUUUCAUUUUGCAUCAAUUUAUCAACGAGAUGUGAACCAAUGAAUCCAGCUCCUCCGGUCACCAAUAUCCUCAUAUUUGACUGUAUUUUCAAAAUCAUUCAACAAAAUCAAUUUCUGACCACGACAUGGAUCUUAGUGGUUUGUGGUAGUAUAGUUGUUGCAUCACCAAAGUCUUAUAGGUAAGAUUGAGAUCUAUACACAGAGUUUCAACUUUUUUUCCACUUAUGACUUUGACUUAAACAUAACUAAUUGAGUACACUUUAAACUAGAGUAAAUACUAAAAACUUUUAUUGCAUUUAGAACUCAAUUGAACAAGAAGUUUAAAGAAUAUUUUUCCUGAAAAGAAAACAGAACUAACCUGAAAAAACUUGGAAUUACGCAGAGGAGACGGCAUCGGUGGUGGCUUUGUUGUCGUCGUUCCGUUAGAAGAAUUCGUCGCCAUUUUCUGCAAAUUUGAAUCAAAUUUAAUAAACUCUAAUCACAGAUUCAUGAUGAGAUUUAGAAAACCAUAAAAAAAGAAAAAGAGAGAGAUUCAUCAUAAGAUUUUUAUAAAGAAUACGCAUGCAUUUACAUACACAAUCACACGGAUUAGAGAAUUAAUUAACCUGAUGAUCACUAAGAAGCUUGAUGGAAAACAAAAAAAAAAAAAAAACUGUACACAAUCACUCUUCUGAUCUUGAUGACAAUAGAAGAUUGGAAUCAAUAUUUAUACGCAUGUAAAUUAAAAUAAUAAUCAUAUGAAACAUGAAGAUGAGUCCCACAAACACUACAAGAAAUAUCUACAUUGAUAGCAUAAGAGGAUAGCUCAUUUUUCGUAACUGCUAUGAUAGAUAACUUUUAUUUUUGAUUACGAUAUAAUAGCACUAAAAUCACGCUAAGUAAGAACAUCACCAAAUCAGAAGCUAAAAUCACUUAUUCCGCUAAUAUUUUGGUGAAAAUUUCACUUAAGCGCCAAAAAUAAUUUCAGAUCUAAAACUUUUAAGUGUCAUGGUGUAUAGCCAAAGCAAAUAAUAAACUUAUUUUCUCUCAAUGAUAAAACAUAAAAAAAAAAAAACCCCAAAUCGAAAACCUCUGUCUCUUCAACUCCGACUCCACCACCGUAAAGCUCUUCGCCGACCUCAUUUCAUGUCCAUUCCAUCCUUAUCCUUCAUCCUCCAGCUUGGUUCACAUGGUCGAUUCCUCCGAUACAGAUAACACCAAUCGGGACACGGAUCUAGAUCGAGAUCGAGAGGCCACCAAGUUUGUUUCUGAAUCGUCACGAGGUUUGUUUCAUGGUGAGCUAGAGGUCUUCGCUUCUCAGGUAUAGAGUUUCUGUUAUUUCCUUUCUUGAAUCUGUUGUUUUGCGGUUUUGAUUCUCAGAAUUUCAUGAAUUCGUGUGAAAUAUUCUUCCAAAUCUGUAUCUUGAAUUAUCGUCAUGGUGUUGUAGUACUGAAGUAGAAUUAUUUUUUGUAUCUUCUUAAAGCUUCUCAGACAUGUACAAAUAUUGAAUUGGGCUGAAUUUUGCAGUGUUUGGGAAUAAUGUUCCUGGAGAGAAGAAGUAUGGUGGUUUCUUUUUCUUUUUCUUCUCUUGCUUCUUCUCUGGCCACAAACUACUCUUUCAUGGUAAGAUUUGUGAACUAAGAAAAUGUCUUUGUCUAUUUGUUUUUCUCAGUUAUGCAGAUUAAUUAAUCAAUCUCUUCUUGGUGUAGGUUCUGAAUUCUUACCUCUUGAUAUUGAGAAAAAUCGUAAGCUUACUUUGUCUUAGUUUUGGUAUAUGUGUAAAAAGGCUACUGCCAUGGCUAUUAACCGGAUUUUGAAUCAAACACAGCUUACAUGAAAAAUCAUAUGUUGGUUUCAUCGGAAAUGAGGAUUGUUGUUGUUUUGCCUUUGUUAUAGGGUGAAUGAAUCUUUUGACGCUAGAGAAAUGGAGUAUGUGCGGUUAGUAUCCUCUGUUUGUUGGAUAUAUAUGGUGAGAUCACAUUUGUUUUGAACUUGUAUUCUUUUGGUAAGUUGUGAAGAAGAGAGAGAUGGAACCUUAGGAGUCUCUAGAAGUGACGCAGUCAAGGCUCUCUCCUACUCCGUUUCUUACUUUGCCUCAGUCAGGUUCGUCGAAUUCUUUCUCGUAGCUUUCAACUUGUUUAUCUUUUAAGAGAAUAAGUUUUCGUUGCCUCAGUCAGGUUUGGUUUUAUCUCUUAACUUCAGAUGGUCCAUUGAGCUAUAAGUUUUCGUUGCAUCAGUCAGGUUUGGUUUGAUUGUACACCCCUAGAUCUAUUGGGUUAUAUCAAUUUCUAUCACUCUUUGUCGCUUUAGAUCUUAUCCCCAAAUUCUUCUUCUUCUUAAAAGCUUUUGGGUUAGAUUUUGUUAGGUUUUGAUUGAUUUGGGUUGGAUUUAUUUCUUAGAAGCUUUUGACCGGAGUGGAGUGGUGUAUGUUCUGAUGAACCUUUUCAUGCCCUUAAGGUGUUCGACGAAUUGCCUCAUUAUUGGCUGGCUUGUUUCUUAAUUGUUUUGUGUUGAUUUUGGUUUUGUGGUGUUGCUCUUGAACCUUUCAGGUGCUUACGAUUCUUGUCACUAACCUAUAGAAGAGUAGAGUAGAGUUCUGGUUUAUCUUUGAUGGGGUUUUGUUUCUUACCGUAAGUGAAGAUGUUUCCAACUAGAUCUUACUUUUGCAUCUUUGGGAUGGGUGUUUUUCCCCAGUCUAGAAAUAAGUAAUUUUCUGCUUAAGUUUUUGUUGGAUUUCUUAUCUCUUUUCCUUAAUUUAUGAAAGGUUGUGACUUUAGCAGUUUGAUUAAACAUAUCUAAAUGGGUAUUGAUUUGUUGAUAGUUUAGAGAAAAGUCUUUGACUUUUAGCAGUUUCAUUGAACAAGUCUAUAUGUAACUGAGUUUUAUUACAAUUCAUGAUUGGAUUUCUGAUUUUGUUGAAAGAAAGUAAUGAGUUUUAAACUUAAUUUGGUGCUUGUAGCUCUUCUGUGAAGAAAUACUCAUUGGAUGCUCCUCUACGUCAACCUCUUUUAAGUUAUCUCUCCUCAAGCACAAAGCUUUUACUCUAGAGGUUGGUUUGUGAUUCAUGUAUUUUUGUGAGGCUUCUAUGAACAGAUUUCUGAGGUCAUGGAGUUUAGAUGUUUCAUAUUUGUUAUGAGGAGUGCACUUAUAGUUGUCUCUGCAUUCAGAUAAUUGUGUUCACCAAAAACCCCAAUCGAAGGGUACUUGUCUCUAUUCAAUGAUUUCUUAUAUUUGAUUCGUUGGAUAUUGAGAUGUCUUAUAGAUAACUUGACUGCUUAUUACCUUAUUCAUGGCUGCAGGAAGAUGAAAAUUAAGAAUUUGCAAAGUCUACGGGUAUCAAGAGCUUUGUAAGGAACUACUCUCGGAACAACUGUGUACUUGAGUUCGUGAACGUUUAUGAGCCAACCAUUUGGAUGUAUCUAGGAAAGCUACGAUUUUUCUACCACAGUCGGCUUUGAAAUCUAUAUUUUCUGUUAUUAGUAAUGUAAGUUAGUAUAAGAAUUGGUAUAAUAUUAUGUAUUACUUGUUUUGGGUAAUGUAAUAUUGUUAUUGUUUAUGUUGAUGAUUUAUGGAAUAUAAAUUUAUUGAUAAAUCUAAUUUAAUAAAUUCUGUAAAAUAUAAAAUAGAAAAAUUAUAUAAAUCGAAAUAACAAAAUAGCAAAAUAAGUGUUACGACACAAUAUAACAAAACAUCGAUUAAAAAUGUUAUAAAACAAUAUAAAGCAACACUAAAUAUAUGCUACAAGAAAGUAUUUUAAAACAAUUGAUUAGUGCUAUAAUAGAACGGCCUAUAAUAGCAUUCGGAAAAAAUGCUAUUGUAUAUGGGAGGUCUACCAUAACAGGGGCAUAACAUAGCGUUUAUGAAAUCGCUAUUAAUGACAUUUAAUAGCUCUUCUCUCAUGCUAACAAUGUAGAUAUUUCUUGUAGUGAAAAUUUGUUAACUACGCAAAAAAUAAAAUAAGGCUCGUGGAAACUAAAAAAAAAUUCCAUACCAGAAAAAUCGAAGCUUCAAAUGAACGAAAAGUGAGACUACGAAAUGCACCAAACCCAAUUUUAAGUUGGUCACCAAACGUCGCUUACGAAUAAAGUUUAAAUAAACAAAUGAGAACGUUUUAUAUCAUCAAGAAAGAGAGAUGACAAAAAAAAAGAAAGAUAAGAGAAAACAAAGACUCAGAGAGUUUGACUUUUCACUAUUAAGAAUUACGACUGAGGAAGGGAGAUGGAAUAAUAAAUUAUUGGUUUUAAGGAUUUUAUAGAUCUUAAGUUUCGAGAUUUGCGACUCGAUUAAAUAUUUAAACUUGUAAGAUCAGCUUAGAGUAUUAAUAAAAAUAAAAGAAAGAAAAACAAAGAAAAAAGAAGAAGCUUAUUACAUAUUGACUGGAGUUUACGUGAGAUAUGCACCGUAGGAAUCGAAUUUUAUUCGCAAUUUAUCGAGAAUAAGAUUUUUUCUUUGAUUUUAGAUUUUAAGUGUUUAUUUAUUCCACGAAAAAAAUAAAACUAAAACAGAGAUUUUUAAUUAGAAAUAUAAAUGAUCCGAGAUUUUGUUAUCUGACUAUUCUUUUUUAAUGAGUGUAAACAUUGAGUAAUCAACUCAACAUAUUUGUUUAAUAGACUUAAAACAUGGCACUAUUUUUUAUUGGUCAACUAAAAGUAUAGUUUUCAGUGGGAAUAAAUCAUGGCUAAAUUGCAUGGCAGGGCAUAAGACCAUGUUUUAAUUUCAUGUUUUGGCAAAGUGAGAAUUGGUUUUCAAGUUUUGACAAUUUAGCCAAAAUCUGACUAUUUUACCCCUGUCAGCGUAACGAUGUACUGUUCACUGUACGGUUCAGUUAUGCGGUUCAGUUACGUACACUGUUUCGGUUAGGCAAUAUAUUUUCAUUUUUAAUUGAUUUCUGCGGCUGUACAGUGAAAAAUGGGGAUUACUAACAUUAAAAAACAAUUAGACAUGAGGAUUUAAUGCCCAAAAAGUUUAGACAUGACUCAUGUCACAAUUAAUGCAAAAGUCAUCAUUACUUUUUCUAAUAUUAGUUUAUAUGUGUGAAUAGUUGUAAGAGAUAAACAUGAUCCAUCAAACAAACAAAUUAGUCUGAACGAAUGUGAUGCUGGAGAAGUUUUGAUCUUCUUGAUUUACAAAGUUUGGAGCCAAGACAAGCAUUGAUCGUGUAAGUAAUGAAAUUGGUUAAGAAGUUUUUUUUUAUAACACACUAGGGUCUUGAUUGUGUUCGAAAUCAACAUUGUUUUUAUAUAAAAACCCAGAAUAUUUUUAUUUCCAAUUUUUUUAGUUGAAAAUGCUAAAUGAGGAUAGAUUUAUGUAUAUAAGUGUGUAGUUGGGAAUUCUUUUUGUUUUUUUGUAGAUAUAAUCAUGCUUUCAUUUUCAUUUAAUGGGAUUCUGCUGAAUUUAUGAUGCAGGUGGGUAAUGGAUAUUCCCGUAUUUACUAUGGUGGGUGAGUGGAGAUGCAAAGAAGAAGAAUGGAAAUUUGAACCAUGGGAAGGCUGGUUUGGUCGUUGUGUACGUGUUAAGGAAAACAUGAUGUACACGGAAUUUGUACGUACAUUAUGCGAGGUUUUCAGUUUGAAGUCCACCGAAUGCAAUCCAAUAAUUAGUUACUGGAUGCCGGGAAAGAUGUCAGUGAUGAUAGAAAGUAAACGCCCUCCUUUCUACAUUGACAAUUAAAUGAGCCUGGAUACGUUCUUUUUGAUUCGUGGUGGGGAUCCUAGUGUCAACUUGUUUGUCUCUUUCAUUACAACCGUCAAGGCACUCGGGAAUAAUGUCCCUAGGACUGAUGGUGACGAUGCUGAAAGUGACCGUGUGUGUGGGAGUGCAAAGACACCAAAUCCUAUCUUAGCGGCUUCAAAUGUGGAUGCAAAUAAUGAGGCCGUAGAUGAACAAGACGACGUACAAGAAGAUAAAACAGAUGAGGAUGAAGAGGAGGAGGACACCGAAGAUGGUGAUGGGUAUGAUGAUCAUCAGGGCGACGAUGGAUUUUUUAGUUGAGGAAGAAAAGUAUGGUAGAUAUGUACGUGUUAAAGAAAAUAUGACGUACACGAAUCUGACGUGUACGUUAUGUGUGGUGUUUAGCUUGAAGUCUACUAAAUUUCAUCCAAAAAUUAAUUACUGGAUACUGGUAAUAAUGUCGAUGAUGAUUGAACAUAAACGCCCCUAUGUCUACAUUGACAAUCAAAUGAGGUUGGAUACAUUUUAUUUUAUUCUUAGUGGAGAUUCAAGUGUAAAUAUAUUUGUGUCCUUUUAACCAACACUUCGAGAAAGGUGUGAAUAGUGUUUGAAUGUAGAAAGCCAACAUUGAUGAAACCAAUCAUUGGUUAGAGGUGAAAACACAACAAAAACCAUAUCGGAGGCUCCAAAUGUGAAAAAAACAAUAAGAACGUAGACGAGAAAGAAGAAGUAGAUGACAAUAAAGAUGUUGAAAAGAAUGAUAAAAUGACGAAAAAGAGGAGACGAAAAAGAGGAGGAUGGGGAUGAGGAGGACGACGAAAACGUCGAUGAAGAUGACGAGGACAAUGACGGAUCAAGUGGAUGGGAAGAAUGUCUUAGAACCGACUAUAGACGCUAAUAAUGAAGAUUGCGAUUAUAACAAGUGGACUGAUUUUGUUAUUGAUAAAUAUUCAAUAGGACAUAUCGGGAAAAUGGUAACACCAUCCGACUAUGAAACUAAUAGGGAAAUUCAUAUCAUAUACUAGAAACGUGUACGUACACUACUGAACAUGUAUGUGAUAGAAAAAGCAUCGAUGAUUUAAAAAGAUGGUGACAUUCAACCAUCUUUUAGUCCUAACUGGGAGAUAUGACAUGAUUUGGAAGAUUGUAAGUACACUAAUUACUGUGUAGACGAGGCAUUAUAUGAAGGUGAAUAUUUGACCUACACGAAUACAUAUGGACAUGGUAGAGGUGAAAUGCAUGGUAAUGGUUUGGUAUUGGAGGAUCAUCAAAGGGGAUAUUACUUGAAUCAAAGUACAGUUUAGUGAAUGUGAAUGAGUCUUACGAAGUGUAUAAUUGUUUUUCUACAAUGCUAAGCACUAAGCCGAAGAGACUCGAUGAUGAUUUUUCUCUUUUCUUCGACAAUUUAACCAAUGUCUAACUGAUAAGAAAGAAGUAAAAUAGUACAAUAUGGAAAGACAAUUUUUUGCGGGAAAUCCCUAUACUCUAAAUACCCGGUACCAAAUGAGUCCCAUGGAAACCAAACCGAAUAUCUUAAUGCUUAGGGCUAGUAUGAAUUAUCAUGAUGACUAUGUAUGUUAAGGACGAUACAAAUAUCAUUGUUAAGACAAUGUACUAGCGUAAAUAGGUGCAUACACAUGCAUAUUAGGAAAGUUAACGUACACAAGUACAUCCAUUGGAGACUAUGUACGUAAACAUGUAAUACUAUGUACGUGAGAAACGAGGUAGUGAUCAUGACAGAGAGAAUGGUGUUAUUACCACCAAGUGUAGCGUCUUGCCAGGAGAGAAGUAAAACUAUCACAAACAAGUGAGAUUGGAACAUUCUUUUUAUUCAUAUUAGCAAUUUUAGUGUAAAUUGUAUCGUUUUUUCCAACCCGUUAAGGAUAGUGUGAAUAGUGUGUGCAUGAUGAAUAGCAUUGCUGAUGAAACUAACCAUGGGUCAGAGGUGGAAACAAUGAAGAAGUAGAUGAGGAAGAAAAAAUAGAGGGCGAUAAAGAGGAUGAAAAGAAAGAAGAUGAGGAUGACGAAGAGAAGAAAGAGGACGAUAAAGAUGACGACUAUGAACAAUAGUAAAGGUAAUGGCGAAAAUUACAUUACAACAAGUGGACUGAUUUUUUUGUUGAGAAAUAUGGGAUAAGAUAUGUCAGGAAUGUUGGUGACACUCAACUUACUGUGAGGCUAGCAUAAAAAUUCAGUUGAUUAUUAGAAACGUGUACGUAUAUUAAUUAACGUGUACGUGAUUUAUAAAGCAUCAUUGGUUUAUGUAAUUAAAGUUGAUUAUUCGACACAUGUACGUACACAUAAGAAAUUCGCUGAAGGGUAUAAUUGUAAUUGUGUAGUCAUCUUCCACCUGAGUAUUAUCUACUUCUGCAACCCUAAAUUUACAGCCGUCAUUAAUCUUCCACCUGAGUAUCUACUUCGUCGUUUGUUUUUUUCCCAGCCAUCUCAAAGGUUGCUAUCUCGCCGGAGGUUUCUUAGUUCCUCUUCGCCGGAAAACCUACAACUUUCUCUUCGCCGGUUUUUGGAGUUCAAUGUGAUGCCUCAAAUCAAGUAGCCGCAAUUCGAACGGGGAUGUCGAAAACGAAUAUGGAUGAAUGAAUUCAGAACUGAUUUCUACUUCUCUCUCGAAUCUCUCCGUCUCUCUGUCGUUGUUCUUCUUCGUUUUCUUGAAAAUCGCAAAGUAACUGUAUCGUUUGGUUUAACUCCUUAGGGCAUUUUCGUCAUAAAUUGGCUUAAAUGUCAAAACGUGAGAAGCAAAUCUCACUUUGCCAAACGGUGAGAACAAAUCUUUUUUUCAACACAAACGUGAAAAUUUCUUAUAAAUCAAACCCAUGAAAAAACGAAUUAAUGACACAUCCCUGAACCUUUUACUAUUACGCCACCACCACUAUAGAGGUUCGCAGAUCUAAACCUAACAAAGAUUAUCGCGUUAACAAACUCAAGCUUUUUCUGUAAGACUGUAGCAAUCAUAAAAGAGUGUAUUAUGAUACAUGGUUUGAAUGGUUCAUUCACUACAGGAAAAAUAAUUAUUAGUAACACCAUAAAAACGCUAUCUAAUGUUAUGAUAGCGUUAUUAAAAACGCUAUCUCAUCGCCCGCGACAAUAGGUCGGCGACUUUAGAUAGCACUUUUGGUAUAUGCUAUCUAAAUUAAAAUAUUAAUAGCGGAUUUAUCUCUGCUAUCGUAUAUUCUAUAAUAACAUUUCAAUUUUGUUAUCAAAUCUAUUAUUCAUAAUAUGUGGUUUUGAAUUUUGCAUAUUGAAUUUUAUUAAUAGGAGCUCUAAUUUAAUUUACAAACACCCAAAACAAUCGAUAAUAAUAAUAAUAAUUUUUAUUAAGAGACCAAAAGGAUUUGUAUUUAAUGAAGAACAACAAUACAUAUCACAAUUUUUUUCUACUUAGAAACUUCUAAAGAUACAUAUAUUCACCAAGGCGUAUUCACAAUCUUGAUUCUUCCAACUCCAGUUGACUACAACACGGCACAUAACUAUUGCAUAAAACGAAUCCUGUAAAACUAAUUCAUCACAUAUGGACAAGGAUAAAAUCAAAAGCAGAAACAGAACAGCUAAGAACAGCCAUCGAGGUUAAGAGAGUGUGUAUAUACCCAAAACAGAUCAAACAAGAGAGUGUGAACUUAUCACCAACAGCCAAUUGAUAAACCUUUGUUUUAACCUAUAAAUGCAUAAACAUUUCCAAGUUGUGGCUCGUAGCUUGAAAGCGAGUAACUGUAACAACAAACACACACAUUCCCACAACAAAAAUCAUUGUAGGUUUAAGAGAAAGCCACCUAAUCUGAAGACAAAACAAAACUUCGCGAGACUAAAAACUUAAAAUGUUGAGAUUUUUCCACAAAACUCAGACCAAAAAAAGAUAACCGUAAGAACUCAUUAAUUAAUACAUAAACAAACGUUGAUUGAAGCCAUAAGAAAGCUCUAGAAAUCGUGAGUGAGGUUAAUAAAGUAUAUACCUUAAUCAAACUUUUUGCCAUCAGGGUCUAGCUUGUCGAAAAUGAAAAUAUCCUUUAAUAAAAUGAUAUUGCUCGCCACCUGCAAACACGGAAAUCCACUAAUUACUAGCUCCUUCUCCAUACUCAAGGCUAGCCCUGCAAGUAAAUAAAAAUUACAAUUUGACUAUAUAUAUAAUCACUGUAAUUAUAAGACAUCAAUGGAAAUAACAUUGCAAAUUCAUACCUUGGAAGCCAACAGGGCCGGCCCAAGGCUAAAGCCCGUAAAGCAUGGGCUUUAGGCAUCAGAUAUCUAUAAAACGAUUUAAGGGCAUCAUUUUACAGAUAUUUAUUGUGGUAGAGUGGUUAUCACCUUCAGUCUCUUCUUAGAUCUGCCGAGUUCGAACCUACUCAGUGUACUUUUUAUAGAAAUUUUUUUUAAUUGUAUUUAAUGAUGGGCCAACUCAUUUUCCCUUGGGCCGGCCCUGGAAGCCAAACCCAAGUUUUGUCCAUCUUACAACAAUAACACCACAGCUCGACCACCAAUUAUACAUACAUUUUUGAAAGAUGUUUGAUCAAAAACUCAAAUCACACCAAACGCAAGGAUCAAAUAAAUAUAGAAAUGGAACCAAUUACCUACACAAUAAAAAGAAUAUGCCAAGGAUCUUAAAACACGAAUCUGCAAAAAGAAAAUGACUAAAUCAUUUAGAGACAACAAAGAUAAAUUAACAGAGACACGAAUCUGCUUAAGGAUUGCAAAAUCACUAAACCAGACUAUGCUAAUACCUGAUAGUCCUUUGUCUAUGCAAAAUCGACAUGUAGAAACAAUCAAAUACUUGAAUUAAAGACAAAAAAAAACAAAGACAUGAACCAAACAAAAAACAAGACAUCGUUCAAGAACAUGAAACAAGACAUCGUUCAAAACAAGAUUGUUCGUUGUCAGUUUUUUAGCUCUCGCGCUGAAUUUGAGCUACCAAGAACAUGAAAUCAAAUUAAACACAGAAAAUUUACCAACCUAAACCCUAAAAUCGAAAACCCAAAUCGAAACUAGAGAAAUAUCGAGGAAGCCCUAAAGAUUGAACUCAAUGAAACCCCAAAUUGAAGAAAAACCCUAAAGAUUAAACUCAAUGAAACCCCAAAUUGAAAUAAUAUACCUUCAACUGGACAACAACGAAAUAGCUGCUGGGAUUUGUGCUUGACAGAGUCAGAUUACAAGGAGAGAGCAAGAGUGAACAAGAAUGCAAGAGAGUCAUCGAAACAGUCUCAGACUUGAGAAGAACAAAUUUCGAAGAACAAUAGCUAAUCAAGCCAAAGGAGACGAAAGUCUCGUAUUUUGGAAAGAAGAAAUUUUUGAAGAACAGUAGCUAGUCGAGCCAAAGGGGAUAGAUGAAAAGACUUAGUAAAAUUUUCUUUUUCGAGCCAAAGGGGGAGAACAAUUUUUAGGUCAAUUGUCUUCUUUUUGGAGCCUAAAAUAAUUGGACUUCCCGCUUUUCAUACCGUAGCGUUUUCAUUUGGUUUCUGCAAUUAAAAAACUAGAGACAAACAAAACUUUUAUUACUCGGAGUUACGGUUUAUCAAUAAAAACCUAUCGUAGCGUUUUAACUUUUGUAAACGCUAUCAAAAAAUCACGGGUAAGUCAAUAAUAGCAUAAGUACAUAAAACGCUAUAGGUCAGUGCUAUUAAAAAUGGGAAAAAUGUCAAAAAAUUUGCGAACUUUCAAAUUUGGGACGAAAAAAACAUGAACUUUCGAAAUGUCAUUUAAAUCAUGUAGUUUAGGCUGACUUUUUGACAAAAUAGUGAAGUUUAGUUUGACUUGGCCAUUUCGGGCAUCCCGUUAAAUUUCCGUUAGAUUUCUCUGUUGAGUCAAAACGACGUCGUUUUGAAACUCUGAAACGACGUCGUUUCAUUAGAAAAUAAUAUGGAAAAACUGCAUCUGUCAGGUAUUGAACAGCUGACCUACUGGACUAAUGAGAGGUGCUCAACCGUUGCACUACGAUAACAUUUUGGUAUUGUACAAAUACCGAACAUAUAUAUACUAACAAAAAACUAUGUACAAUUAAUUAAAACAAUAUACAAUUUAUUAACAAAAACAAAACUAAAAAGCAAUAACCAAACAUAUACAAAUAUUAAAUAUACUUCCAUAAAUUUAUAUUUUGAAAUUUUUAAAUAUUUAAUUUUAUAUAUAAAGAUUUCUUCUUUAUUUGGAAAAUUGGUUUUUUUCCUAAAUUAUAAAAAAAAAACAAAAAUGAAACUUAUAGAAUAUAGUAAAUUAAAUAUAUGACAUAAAAUUUAUACAAUCUUUCUCACAUAAAUAUAAAAUUUAUAUAAUUCUUUUCACAUAAAUAUAGGAUUAAAGAUUGUAUAAAUUAUAGGAUUAUAGGAUUGUAAAAAUUUCAAAAUAUAUAUUUAUGGAAGUAUAUUUAAUAUUUGUAUAUGUUUGGUUAUUGUUUUUUAGUUUUGUUUUUGUUAAUAAAUUGUAUAUUGUUUGAAUUAAUUGUAUAUAGUUAUUUGUUAGUAUAUAUAUGUUCGGUUUGGUACAAUACCAAAAUGUUAUCGUAGCGCAACGGUUGAGAACCUCUCAUUAGUCCAGUAGGUCAGCUGUUCGAUUCCUGACAGAUACAGUUUUUCCAUCUUAUUACGUCUGGUUAACGGAAAUUUAACGGGAUGCCCGAAAUGGCCAAGUCAAACUAAACUUCACUAUUUUGUCAAAAAGUCAACCUAAACUUCAUGAUUUAAAUGACAUUUCGAAUGUUCAUGCUUUUUUCGUCCCAAAUUUGAAAGUUCGCGAAUUUUUUGACAUUUUUCCCUAUUAAAAACUAACAUUCUUGUAGUGAUUGGUUAACGCCGGUUAUCUGAUGAUUGGUUUAAUAUGAUUAUGAGAAAUGUAUAUAUAAGCUUAAGUAUAUUUUAGUUUUGGUUAAGCUUUGUAACAAACAUUUACAUGUUAAUAAAGAUUCUGUUAGAUCUAAAUUUGAGCUCUCCUUCGUUCUCUUCUCCGGCUUAAUAUUUCCGGUGUAUCGGACUUCAAUAGAGUGAAAGAGUAAGGCAAACAAAAAAGAGAAAGAAUUAUGAAACAAUUUUUUUUCAUUAAUUGUUAAACUAUACACUUGUUUUCUUUAUACUGUAUAUAUGUAUAUACUAUGCUAACAUAAGCUUAAGUUUUUACCAAAAAAAACAUAAGCUUAACUACAUAUGCUAACAUUAACCAAAGAGUAAAAUACUCAUGAUACAUAUAUAUAUUUUUUUCGUGUAAUUUAAACAAAAAAACUUUUUUUUGUGUGUCCUCUAAACCCGAAUUCCGUUCCCCUGGGUUCUCGAUUUUUUGUUUGCUUUACUCCAAUAUAUUUUAUGGGUUUCAAAAUCUCCUUCUCUACCAUUAUCAAAUUCUCAUUAAAAUUUUUAGAGAUUUUUUCCCAUUUAUCGAAAGAAACUUAUAAAAUUUUAACUGAGCAGGAGACCUAAACUUUCGAAAAUAGUUUGGGAUAAAAUAGGAUAUACAGUAGAUCCAUUAACAAAUGAGUUAAUUACGGCCUAUGGACUUUUUUUUAUGGCAUUUGGGUCACAAGCCAUUUAUCUGAUUGUCUUUUAGAUUUGCCACUUAUAUACUACUUAAAAUUACAUUUUUACUCUAGCGAAACCAAAGAAGAAAAAAAAUCUGCAUUUUUUCUUUUUUUUUUUUAAUUACAUUCUACCUCCACCAAGCUUCUCUCUCUUCUCGUGCAGUCUCUUUUUCAUAAAAAGCCAUUGAUUACAGUGAUAAUACAUACAAGCGUCUCAAUUUUUAAUUUCAGAUCUUACAAUCCAUAAAGAAGUUCCGAUUCUCGUUUCUCAUUCGUGAUCUUCAACAGAAAUUAUCAGAUUUUACACUGAAUUUUGUCUUCCCGAAUCAGAAUUCUCUGAUUAAAUCCACUUUUCUGUAUUAGGAGACAGUAUAUUUACGCUUUAACUCUGCUAAUUUAUCCAUGUUCUAUCUGUUGGCCCUGCUUUUUCUUUCUAUUUGGGUUUAGUAUGCUGUUGGAUCUAGGGUUUAGUUUUAAUAAAUUUGGAUUCAUAUGUAAAAAAAAAAAAAAAACUUGGUUCAUACGAUCAAUCAAACAAUUUAUUGUAGGGCAAAAACAUUAUUUCGCAUUGCUGGAUAAUGGCAAAUCUAAAAACCCAUCAACUAAAUGGCAAAAAUCAAAAAUGGUAGCCCAAAAGGGACAACUCUUGUAAUAAUCCCAGAAAAACAGAGGAAUAAAGUUUCAAAGUGUUGACCAACAAUGUUUAAGUCGUUUAAAUUUAACCGAAUAAGGAAAACAAAACCUGGGCUCGAAUUCCAGCAGGGAAAAACUAAGAGAUCUAGCACAUUUUUCCCAAAACUUUCCAAAUGUACCACAUUUGGAACUGUCUUUCCAAUCCUACCACAUUUGGUCCGUGGAGUUACGAUUUUAUCCUCCUUUGUUGGGGCAGUUUUCGCGCUCCAUGAUGCAACGAUUUGACUUCUCUUAACUGUUUUGCUUUCCUAUUUAUCUCUCACCCCUCGAGACACGUGCGCUUUAACAAAGAAGCAUUAUCUCUCAUGAGACUAAACUAUUAACCUUCGUUUUUGUCUCGAGAUCUUGUCUUCGAUUGAAAAUUCUCUGUUUUGUCUAGAUCUUGUCCCCGAUUUCAUUAUCCUGCUCUAUUAUCAUGAAUCUCACAUCUUGUCCACCAAUUGUUCUUGUUUAAAAGUUUUGAAUUUUAUAUAGAUUUCACAUCAUCUAUUUUGGUCCACAGAUCUAAUUCUGGAUUUCUUCUCAUAUGAACUUGUCUCCGAUCUAAUUCUAUUACUCAUUUGAUCUGAAUUUGUCCUCGAUCUAAUUCUAUUACUCAUUCGAUCUGAACUUGUCCCCGAUCUAAUUAUAUUACUCAUUCCAUAUGAACUUGUCACCGAUAUAAUUAUAUUACUCAUUCGAUCUGAACUUGUCCCUGAUCUAAUUCUAUUACUCAUUCCAUAUGAACUUGUCCCUAAUCUACUUCUAUUACUUAUUCGAUUUUGAAUUUGUCAUUUAUCUAAUUCUAUUACUCAUUCGAUCUAAACUUGUCCCCGAUAUAAUUUUAUUACUCAUUCGAUAUGAACUUGUCUUGAUCUAGUUCUAUUACCCAUUUGAAAACAGUUUAUCAAUUAUAUAGUUUUGGUCCACGACAUUAAAUCGGCUCACAUUUAGAUCUGGGUUUCUUCUCAUAUGAACGUGUCUCUGAUCUAAUUCUAUUACUCAUUUGAUCUGAACUUGUCCUCUAUCUAAUUCUGGUACUCAUUCGAUUUACUCAUUCAAAAUCUAAAUCUGGGUUUGAAAAUAGUUUAUCAAUUAUAUAAUUUUGGUCCACGAUGUUAAAUCGGCUACACAUUUAGAUCUGGGUUUCUUCUCAUAUGAACUUGUCUCCGAUCUAAUUCUAUUACUCAUUUGAUCUGAACUUGUCCUCGAUCUAAUUCUGGUACUCAUUCGAUAUGAACUUUUCCCCGAUCUAAUUAUAUUACUCAUUCCAUAUGAACUUGUCCCCGAUUUUAAUUUAAUAUUAUCUAAUAUAUUAAGAGAAUAAUUGUAAACGUGCAACAUUAAAUGCAGACUGCUUCCUCUUGUCCAAGUUGUCCCUUUCUCUGACACACACUUUUCUCUCCAUCAAGGGUAAUUUCGUCCGGCUUUAGGCAUGUUGUAACAAAAUAUGGUACAUUUGGAAAGCUUUUCUCAAAUGUGGUAGAUUUGGAAUGCCAUCUUUCGAAAUGUGGUAGAUUUGGAAAGAUUACCUUCGAGCAGCCACACAUACUUACACUUUUUAAAACAUUUAUACUAUUUUAUUUUCUAACAUUUGAAUAAGGCCUCUUAAAGAGCCCCCGAAUACUCAAAGAGGCCCAACAUUUCUUCUUUACUUCUUCUGUAUGAACAUUUUUAUUAGUCUUCACAUACAAAUUGGUAUUGGUAUAACCGGUUAACCACAAUGCCUUAUUACAGGAACACAAAAAAAAAAAAGAGAAGAUAAACCAAAAAAAGUAAACGUUUCCUUCUUUCACACGCCAUUUGUUGUUAUCAAUGGUAAAAUAUUAUCAUUUAUACAAAGAACGUAUUUUGCAAGAGAUCUCAUGCAAGUUAACAUGGCUUGAAGGGUUCUCCGAUUGCAGAACCUCCUUAACCAUCUCCUCAAUCUCUCUUGUCUCUUUCCCAAUUCUCUCCACACAAAACCCUAAUGCACUCAAACUCAACACAACCUCACUCUUGUCCACUUUAACCUCUUCUUCUCCACCUUCUUCCACACGGAAUAUUCCAUCCGCAACGCUUCUACAAUGCUGGAGAUACGUUUCUAAUAUCUUCUCCGGUUCGCUCACCGCGGUUGAGAAGCUAGGGUUUGGUGUCUUUCCGAGCUCAAUGUCCCAUGAGGUGUUGUCGCUCUUUGCAAGCGCCUUUCCGAGGGCGUCUAGUGAUUUGAGCAAAGUGAUUUCCUCGAAUGAUUUGGCUAAAAGAGCUAUGCUUUCUGUUAGACUCUUCAGAUCUUUGUCUACGUUGCUUAGAAUCUCUUUGCACUGUGGUGAUUUUGUUUUUCCUUGUUCUCCAAGAAAGCCUAUCGCGUAACCACUGAAUUGCAAUAGAUCAGCCAUUUUAGACAAUGACUUGAAAAGCUUUUCGUAGCAAGAAAAGUUGAAAGGCGAAAACCAGAAACUUGGCUCUGCGUGGGCUUCUGCUGUGAACUUCUUGAGCUCAUUUAAAUGACUUCUCAACUUCUUUUGACUCUCCAUUAUCUCCGCUUUACUAGCUUUAGCUCCAAACAAGCUUGCACACUCGUACAAAGCGUGGAAGCUUCUAGAGAGCUCAAGUUUCGCUAUGUUAGCGGCUCUCGUGGGCUGAAAGACAAGCUCCACCAUGAUCGAACAAGACAACCCAAUAAAAGUCUCGAUGAUUCUCUCGAUCGCGAACUCGCUUGGUGGCCCGAUAUUCUUUCUUCCAAGAAUCAAAACGGCUCCUAUCGCCGCUGAUAUCCCUCCGGCCUGUCCGUACAUCCGGCUCUUGCUCAAGAAGCUAGAGAAGAGAAACCAUGGAAGCAAAGAAAGAAACCUAACCGUCAAAAACUUCUGAAACACAAAACAUCCCAUCACUCCAUACACUGUCCCUAUCACUGUCCCUUGUGCCUUCACAUUCGCCACUUUAAACGUCGCCUCUCUCGCCGCUGCGAAGCUGAUGGCUACGGGUAAACCAGCCCAAUACCCGUUUGGCUUACUAAACAUUGAACCUAGCAUAAUCGCUAAGCCUAAUGAAAGCGAUAGCUUCAACGCGGGCAUAACCUUCUUGCUGUCCCAAUCACUUAUCCAAGAUCUAGUUUUGGAUUUUUCUAAGACCUUGACCUUGUUCUCCUCCGGUUUAGCCAUUGUGAUGAUUUCAAGGAGCCUGAUGCAGAACAAGAAGAAGUAAAAGGGUAAAUCUUGAGGCGUUUCCGGGAUUUCCUGAAGUGUUUGGAGGCACUCAUCAGGUUUUUUCGGAUCGGAUUCUGGUGUUACCGACGGUUGCCGACUAUUGUUAACUCGUUUGAUUGAGAGAAUCACACGUUCUUGUAUAUUCUUGAGAUCUUCUUUUACUUCACCCGCAAGUAAGCUCGAAGGAAUAGGAGAUUUGCUUGCGACUACCAUUUCCAUUCCUCUAAGAGCAAUUUCCAUGCUUUGUAGUUUCUCUCCUUUGUUAUCAUUCACGUUUUGCCACCUCCAUAUCUUAAAUGGAAGCCUCUCCCAUGUCAUGCUUGGCUAUAUACACAUAAACAUUCCAAUAUCAGAAAUAUUGUACAUACAUUUUAUACUCUUCUUUUGUAAAAAAAUAUUGUAUUUAAUAAUGAGAAUUAAUUAAUUACUUGGUAACGUUUGAGUGUUUGAUAAAGCUUAGAGGAAGAACGAGCCAACACUCGAGCCUGUGAGACUGAAGCCGUUGCAGACAUGGCAUCAUCGGAGCAAAAUGCCUUCAUAUACAACUUCACUCUCGUUGUUACAUUUUGACCAAGCUCUUUGCAGCUUUGUUUCACCUAUAUAUUUAAAAUAAAUUAUAAGUUUUCUAUUUUAUUUUUCUUAAUAUUAUCAGAGAAUCCCAUGCCAUUGCUAAUAGGUUGAUUUAUUACUAUACUAGAAGAAGUAUAUAAUCUUAGGGAUUAUAUUAAUUAAUCAAAAAGGGAAUCAUAUUUGUCUGUGAUGCGACACAGCUUGUUCGCAAUAUUGGGAAGAAUUAAGACAACAAAAAAUUCAGCGGUGGUUGCUGACAUAAGAAGGAUUUUAUAUGUAAUAAUGCGGUACGGAAUAAAGUUAGCAACACACUUUAAUACCCACGUCAACAUGUUUUGUGACUGUAUUAACAUUCUAUUAUAUCAUCUACUAAUUUUCUCGUUGCCCUGCUUCGUUUGUUCAUCAAAUCUAAUUCGAACACGUAUAGGUCCCAAAAAUCUUUUAAAUUUUAACCAAACUAAUAACUCCUCUUUUAUGGAAAUAACCCUCUAAAAUUAUGUAACAUUUUUCUAAAUCGUGAAAAAGAUAAAUAUAGCUACUUUUGUUUUCACAUGCAAAUAGAAACACAUAAGUUAGUGUUUGGAACAAUAAAGACCAUACUUCUACUACUAUAAGUACGUAAAGUUACAUGUGUACAUAUAUAUAUAAGUAAAUAAAACAAGUUGGGAUAUUUUAUGUUUAUCUAGAGAGUGAGAGAGAUGGUACCUCACAAGUAGCCAAGCGAGGAAGUGGGACGAGUAGUGCAAGAACGCAAGCUACAACACCAAGCGCGGUGCUAGCCGCGACUUGAAGAGGGUGCAUAACUGGAUCAGUCUCAGCUCCUUUUAUAUAACCAAUAACAUAAAUGAGAACGAUCUGGCCUAACGCGAUUCUCUUAGCCACCAAGUGGGUCGAACUAUUAGGUAGCACCACCACGAACGCCGCUAGAGCCGCAGCGAGAGCCGUAGUUUCGGCCGUGAGACGAGCUGGUCCAAUAAGCUUUAACGUGAUGAUCGCAGGUCCCACGCUUUGACACGUGGCGUAAAGAGCUAACCAGCAGCCACGUAGCGUGUCUCCGAGUGUAGCAUCGGUGAUGAUGAGGAUAACAGUGACGUAAGAGAAGGCCGGGAAUGCCACGUGGCGGUUGAUCCAUUCGGGACCGUAAAGUGUAGCUGAGCCAACGAUUGUGCAGGCUAGAGCUGUUCGGAACGCUGAGGCUAGGCACGUGCGCCACAUGGCUCGGCCUCUCUCCGUCAUUAGCAUUUUAUAUAUAUAGAGAGAGAGACAGCCAAAGACAACUUUGAAGUGAAAUAAAAGCUUAGACUUGGGAGCUAGUUCGUUGUUGUGUUGUGUUGUGUAAGAAUCUAAUGAUUUGAGGUGAAAUAAUAGAAAUAAGAAGAAUAUGGAAUAAUUUGAGAGAAGUGUGUGACGAUGAAGGGGCUUAUAAAGAUGCGUUGAUUUGAUGAGUGGGUCAGUGAUAUAAGGAGGACGUGGAAGUACACCAAGUGGGUUCCACGUGAGAAAAUUAAUGGAUUAUUAUGUAAUAAAAAUCAAAUUUUAUCUUUUAAUCAAUGGAUUAUUUAGUUGAUACGGCAUAGUGGCUAUAUAGUAAUGAUCAUAUUUGGUGCCUACUUUCUAUAUGUGUUAUUGGCCUCUCUACCGAUCUAUACGGUUGGAACAUAUUAAAAAGGACCAAGAGUUUUAUAGUAUUUGACACAAAGCGGUCUUAAAUCACGUUUUCAACAAAGAAAAGAAAAAUAUUGUAUCCGUAUGUAAUGAGGAAUUCGAGUAUCAUUAUUGGAGUUCAAAUAAAAGUUUGAUCUACGUGUGUGCUUUGACCAACUAGUAUGAUUGGACAAGCCCACUCUUUGGGGGGGGGGGGUUAUAAUCAAAUUUUAGAUGGUGUAAUCUUUUUAUGAAAAACAAUUUUUAAUAAUAUUCAUAUUGUUGAAAAAACUAUAAGGGAAUAGUUUAUGUAUUUAUGACAUAAUUGGACAUUAAAAUGGUAAGAAAAUAUUUGACAAUGUAGCAAGUCGGGAAAAUUGAUUAUGUCGUAUGUUUUUUUUUAUGCCUAGAAAGUUAUGUUCGUACAUUUCCCAGGUCAAAGUCUAAAGUCUACGACCUCUAAGUUUUCUAGUCAUGAGUUCGGUUAUGAGGUCAGCAGAUCUCCGACGGUUGUCUGGGCUCAUGGAGAUAUCUAUGGCUCUUUCUCCGGGUAUUGUUGUUCGAGAUCCCCACUUUGCCGUCUCAUUUUUUUCAGAUGUUGUUAUCGAUUUUUUUUUGUGCGUUUUCUGUAUGUGUUAAGUUUUUUUUUUUUUUUUUUUUUCUGAAUUGUUCAUCUACCUGCAUAAUUAGGUGUGGAUCUCUGGUCAAUUCAUGGUAUGACUCUGAAGAAAAAAAAUCUGUUACUUAGUCGGUUUGGCUGGGUUUCGUUUUUUUCGAGAUUGUCACUUAGUCGGUUUGGCUGGGUUUCUUUUUUCAGUGAGUACACUGGGCGAGCUGUUUUUUUGGACAGUUCUUUCAGUUUAAUUCUAAGAGUGAACCUUUUUAUUCACUUUUUUUUUUUUUCUAUGAAUCAAAAUAUGUCGUUUAACAAAAAUAAAUAAAAUAAAAACUUAAUAUUAUCUAUCUUAAAAAUAGUUAACAAAAGUUAUUAAAAUAAAUCAUAUAAUAAUAUAUUACUGAUAUUAAAGUUUAUAUGUCGGUUUAGGUUUAAAGAGGGAUUUAGAUUUAAUAUUAUAAUUAUAAAGAAGAUAUAUCGAUUUAGGUUUAUAAAAGAGAGUAUAGAGUUUAGAUUUAUAAUUAAAAAAAGUUAAAUAUUAGUUUGGAUUUAUAAAAGAAAUUCGGAUUUAGAUUUUAUAACUAAACGAGGUUAUAUAUAAAUUUGAGUUUAUAAGGGUUCAGAUAUAUAUUUUACAAUUAAAUGAGAUUAUAAGUCGGUUUGCGUUUAUAAAAAAAAUGACGGUUUGAUUUAUAAUUAAACGAGAUUAUAUGUCGGUUUAGGUUUAUGAAAAAAAAUUAUAGCUUAAAUUUUAUAAUUAACUGUGGUUAAAUAAUUGUUUCAGUUUUAUAAAAAAAAUAAUUAGAAAUUAAAUUUUAUAACUAAAUAAGUUUUUUUUUUUUGUUUUAGUCAGAAAAAGAUAGAGUGAAUAAAAUGAUUCACUUCUAAAGAUGAAUUUUUUUUUUUCUUUAAGCUUGUUUUCUAGAUUCGAUUCUUAAUAUAUUUGGAAAAUCGUUUUGUAUUCUUAGAUCAUACAAUCGUUUGUAUUUUUUUGGUCGGCCAUACAAUCGUUUGCAUACUUCUUCUUUUUGUGGAUUAUUAUUUUUUAAGAAUAUCACUAGUUUCUGUCAGUUUAUUUCAUCGAGAAUAUUAACUAUUUUCACCAGUUGAUAUUUUCUGAUUUUAUUAAUAGUAUUUAGAUGACGAAAAGAAAUUCUUAAGAACACAAGACUCACCGACUCAAAAACUUCAAAAAAAAAAAAAAAUGGGACAAAGACUUCCCAGAAACAAGAUUUGCCGACUCAAAAUCAUAAAAACACCAAAAUGAUCAGUUCGCACAUGCAUGCAACAACAGACAUCACUCUUUGAGGAUCACUUAAGACACGUGGAAAAUUCUCAUGCAAAACUAAAUAACCACAAAUUAAUACUCUAGUAGAAGGAAAUACGAUUUUUUUUUUUUUUUUUUAAUGUUGAAAAGCAAAUACGAUUUUUAUGAUACUAAUUUCAAAAUUUCUCUGUUUAAGCUUAUACUCUUUAUCUUUUCCCUUGUACUCAAGUAAGUUUGAUAAUUAUUUAUGAUCAGUUCGCACAUGCAUGCAAUAAUUUUUUUUAUCUAAUGGUUACCGUUAAUUUAAAUGUAUAGAGUUUCUACUUAAAAACAUAAGUUCAAACUCGAAACUAAAUGUUACAAGUGUCUUCGGAAGUUCCCAUGCGAUCGUUAGAACGACAUUCAAAUCCUACGGAUUGCUUUCGUAACAUUUGAUCUGUUAUAGCUUAUAUAACAUUUUUUUUUCUCGAUAUUACCAAUCUAUUUAAUGUAAUAGACGACACUAUUUUGUAGAUAUUAUAAGUUACACUCGUUCAUAUUUAUCUGAUAGGUAAAUUCGUAACUCGUAAGUAUGCAAAGUUAUUAUGGGAAAAAAAAAAGUUAUCUUAUGGCAUUUUAUUAUGAUUCUUCGUCCCGACAAGAUAAAUUAAGAAUUCACAUAAGAGAGAAAUUCGCCGUUUACACAAUUCAAUUAAUAAAAAAUAAAAUCAAACUUGAAUAAAACAAGAGACAGGUUCAAAUCCGUACAGCUGUUGUUUCACACCAAGUUUCAACUACACCUUUUGGAAAGGAAAAUUUGCACAUUCUACGCAAAUCACAUCUUUUACUUUUUACUUUAGAAAGAAACAAAACUAAUUUCUUUGCUAUUUAAACCAACAGAACUAAUUAAACUGUAUAAUCCGAUUAGUAACACAAAAAGAUUAAAUUUUAACUGAUAAGGGAAAGCGGUUAACAACAGUAAAUAGUUAAAGAUAUCACAAAAUAUCGAAUAGAAAAAAAAGUAUGAUAAUGCAAAAAAUAUUUUUUAUCGUUUUUGAUAUCAAUUUUGUAAUUUGUUACAAUGCAAAAAACGUUUCAUACCACAGCGGUACAAGAAUACCAAUCACAAAUAAUGAUCAUUACUUAUAAUUACGAGUAUGCCACUAGCUGAAGUGACUAUUUUUCCACCUAAAUUAUUUAUUUUUUUGUUAACUAAAAUUUUAGACAAUAUCUUAUAGUCUUAUACAUCUUUCCAUUGACCCGAAAUUCAACCAAAUUAUUUAAACUUUCUCUUCAACUUAUAGUUUUUUAGAAUUUAAUAUAUUUUUUCUUUACUUCAAACUUCUUUAAUUCAAACUAUUUUUAGCAAUGUCAAAAAUAAAACUAUGCGUGGCGAUCCAACAAUUAAUGUUUAAAAUUUUAAUGAAGAUCUAAAUAAUAUUAAUUGAUUUCAGCGUUUAUAAGAUAAAAUACUAUACCAAAUACAUAACAUACAAAAUAUUAUAAAUUUUAAAAUACAUUAAAGUUCAAACUACAUCAAAAAAUUAAAUAAAAUAUCAUAGAUGUCAAAAUUAAAGCUUUAAAAUAACUAUCAUAAAUGAGUUUUGACAAAAAUAUCCAUUUGACAAAAAGUCAAGUAUGUUAUAUUUCGAGAGGAAGAAAAUUUAAAAUGAUUUUCCAACCACUAUAAAUUAUAAAUUUAUCAAAUUAUUGAUAAUAUUAGAACUCAACAUGAAGCCAACAACCAUACAAAUUUUAGUUAAAUCAAAGAACAUAUGAUAACUUAAAUAACUACGUAUUUAUGAAAUCAAAACUUAUAAAUUUAGUUAUAUAUAAUUGCUCUCAAAAAAAGUAAAAAAAAUUAGUUAUAUAUAAUUAGAAAUUAAAAGAUCACACUUAAGGAAACAAAAAUUAAAAUCAAAUGAACCUAUAAGACCGUUUAAUCCUGCUUAACAUAAAGAAGAAAACUUGUAUGAUUGAAUUUUUUAUUUAUUUUUAAAGAGGUUUACGAUUGAAAUGUUUAGAAGAUAAUAAUUGUUGGAAAAAUCAUUAUCAGCUACACGAAUUAUACGCCAACACAUCACCACACAUGCAGACUAUUUUAAUGUCUUGCUAACUACACGAACUAUUGGUAUUACAUACGGACAUCCCUGAUAAUAUAAAUGUCUUGUUAACUUCACAAAGUAUUUCUUUUUUUUGUCAACUACACGAAGUAUUUUCCAUCAAAUUUUUUUUUUUUAAAAAGUAAUUAAAAAAUAAAAAAUAACUAAAAAGUAAAUAUUAGACUAUUAUAAAUUAUAUAUAUAUAUAUUAUAACUUUUAAUGCAUUAUACUUUUAAGUUAAAUUAAUUUAACUAAUUUAAUAUUUAUUAUAUUAAAUUGUUAAAAAUUUAAAAUAGUCACUUAGUUAAAUUAUACAUCACUAUAAGUAAAAUAAAACUAUAUAAUAUAUCAAUGUAAAUUAUAUAUACCAUAACCAUCAUUUCCAGAUAAUAUAAAUGUAUUGUUAAAUACACGAAAUAUUUCCAUCAUUUUUUAAAAACUAAAUUACAAAAUGAAAAAAUAACUAAAAGUAAAUAAUACACUAUUGUUAAUUAUAUAUAUGCAUUAUAACUUUUAAAGUUUAAAUUCUACAUAUGCAGUAUCCCUUAUAAUUUUAAGUUAAAUUAAUUAACUAAUUUUUAAUGCACACAUAUUUUUUAUAUGAAAUUAAUUUAACUAAAAUUUUAAAAGUGUCACUUAAUUAAAUUAUACAUGUUCAUUAUAGGUUUAAGUUAAUUAACAAAUUUUUAAUGAACACAUAUAUUUUUUAUGGAACUAGUUUAGUCUUUAUUACAUUAAAAUUUUAUAGUUAGAAUAUUUAUAAUGUACAUAUAUAAUUUACAUUGAUAUAUUAUAUAGUUUUAUUUAACUUAUUAGUUUAAAAAAAAAAUUGAUGAAAAUACUUCGUGUAGUUGACAAAAAAAAGAAAUACUUCGUGUAGUUAACAAGACAUUUAUAUUAUUUGGAAAUGAUGGUUAUGGUGUUGCACACAUAACCGAUGAUAGUUCGGGGAUGUCCGUAUGUAGUACCAAUAGUUCGUGUAGUUAGCGAAAUAUUAAAAUAGUCUGCAUGUGUGGUGAUGUGUUGGCGUAUAGUUCGUGUAGCUGGCAAUGAUUUUUCCAUAAUUGUUCAAUGGCUAUGUGGCCGUCUAGACCAUUUUAAAAACUAUUGUUUUUAAUUAGACUCUAUUUAUAGCGUAAUUCAAUAUGAACAUUUUGAGUUAAUAAGCGGCGAAAACUAACCGCAAAGAGAGCCGACCACUCUCUAAACGCGUGCAUGUUAGAGCUUUAGCCGCCUUCAAAUCUCCAACCAAAUCUCUCUUUUUCCAUUAAAGAUUAAACUUUAUAUCUCACCAUUAUCCUCUACGUUUACUCCUCUAAUUUGUUUAUAUUACUUUCAUGUACCACAUAUUAUACUAUACUAAAUAACUAAUUUCAACUUUCUAUCAUGCGGCUAAAACUAAAGCAAGGAGAAAGCCAACCUAACAUUGUUUUCUUUUUAAAUUAGAGCCUAAUAAGGAUUACAAUUUCACAAUAUAAGAACAUCAAAGUUAGAUGUUGUGUGGUGAACUAUAUAAUGAUUUUUGGUUAACCAACGUUUUCAACAUUUCAUUUUCUACGUAUCAUUCAUCUCCCAAAGGCGUACAUUUAUUUAGUUACUCUAAUCCUAUUUGAAAGAAAUCAUAUUCAUUUUUCUUAUAUUUUGGAAAACAGAGAAAUCGAAUGAUAUAUCAAAUGUAAUGAAUAGUAAUAUAAUAUGCAGCUGAUGUCAGUAAUUAUAAUUUAUAAUAAUAUCUAGAAAUUCUAAAACCCUUUACUCUAUUCACAAAGUGGAUUUCCUCUAGAUUUCCACUUACAUUAUGCUUGGUCCUAAUUGUACUGAAAUUUACUUAAGAUAUUUUCUCUUUUUUUUUUUUUUUUUGUGUGUUCCUUGAGAAGGAGGAAGGGUCAAGUGGGAAGUUGCGAAUCCUUCUAAGAAAUUUGGUUAGUGCAUUUAGUUAGUUAAAGCAAACCAUUGUAUAAUUUUCUUUUCUUUCAAUUAAAAAAUGUAUAAGAACCCGUAAUAAACAUAUAUCUCUUUCAGUUUUUGUUUUGGAUUUCUUGCUACAAAUUAUUUUAAGAUUGUUGAUCAUCAGAGUCGGUUUCAUUUUAAUUUCUUACACCAUGCAUGCAUUCUGUAUAAAUUAUACACACGUUAUUAUCUGAUGUUGGACUCGCAUUUUAUUCAAACAUACAAGAGACUUAUAUAUAUUUACGGUAAAUAUUUUUCCCGAGAGAAUAUUAUCUGCAAAUUCAAAUCAAAUGUACACCUAUACAAUAUAAUAUUUAAUUUUUGUUUAUAGAUAUAUACGUCUCAUGUCCUAAAUUUGAUAGCGUAAGCAAAGUUCAUGAUACCGACAAACAAUGUUCACAGUGCUCAAAAUGCUUAUGACGAUGUUCGUUUUACGUGACAACCCCACUCAAACAAAGGUCACUACUAAAUGAAGUUGCUAACAAUCAUCAUUAAAUGCUUAAAUUUCUAAUAGUGGCUCCAAAAGUUAAACGAAAAAAAGGUUUUUGGAUAGACAAACAUCUCACAUUAACGUAAAUUGUGAACAAAGUUUCUGUUUUAAAUAAUUAAAAUUUUAAGUGUUUAUUUCCUAUUUACAAUCUGAGGAAAAAAAAAAAGUGUUUAUUUCUGCAGUAUUCUAAUGAAAAUGUGCAUAUUUUUGUAAAAGUCUCUAAACAUAUUUAAAGCAUUUGGUUUGGAUCAGCACUUCAAAUAUUUAAUGGAACGUGCAAGUAAAACAAAUUUGUAUUCAUUUAUUUUGCCAAAAAAAAAGGAAUUGUAUUCAUUUAGUCAUUUAUCUUUUAGUCGUCUUUUGAUUGAUGUGUUUAUGUCAUUAUAUGUAGCUGCUAUUUGAGUAAGUUUGAGUUGCUGAAAAAGAAGUUGGUUGGGCUUGUCGAAGCCUAUAAGCUGUUUUAAACAGAAGAAAACCGCGAAGAACAUAGCUUAAAGAGUUCUUUAACAAAAAAAAACAUAGCUUAAAGAGUUCUCUUCUGUAACCGCUUCAAAAUAAAUCAAAUACAUAUUGAAUUGAUUGACCAUUGUAAACUAUAGGAGAUAAGCAAGAUGUGUAUCUUGCGGACCAACUAAUAUGGACCGUUAAAAUCUAUUAUGAAGUGAAGCCCAAAUCGAAGAAUAUUCUAGAUCUCUAUAUUACUUUUUGUACAAACUAUUUCUUUAUAUGUUUAGGAAAGUUUACGUUAUGUGGGUGUUAGCAUUAUGUUAAUGUAUAUAUAUAUAUAUAUAUAUUUGUAUUCUCAUGAGACACAUCUCAAUAAUAUAUUCUACUCUAUAAUAUAGAGAUCUAGAAUAUUCUUCGAUUUGGGCUUCACGGGCUUCACUUCAUAAUAGACUUUAACGGGCCAUAUUACUUGGUCUGUAAGAUACACAUCUUGCUUAUCUCCAAUAUAAACGUUUUAAUCUUAUUGAGAAGCUGCAUACAAGAAUACAGGCUGAGAUGUAUUAAAUUGCGGAUCCAGAAAUGCUUUGGACAAUGUGCCAAAAAUAGAUAACAAAUGUUUUAAUGGAGCAUAAAACCUAGGAAGCACGGAAUCUUCGUCGGAGGUCCGCUUCCCGCUUCGGAAUCUUAGUCGGAAUCGGAAGCUCUUGGAAGCUUUCGGAAUCUCGCUUCCAUCGCGUUUCCAAAAAUUCAACUUUGGAAGCUCGUUGAAAGCUUACGAUUCCGGUUUGGAAGCUUGCGCUUCCAUUUUAUAAAUUCAAUUUUACAAAUAAAACAUGAAAUUAUUAUUUUUAAUCAAACAAACUCAAACUAAAAAAUUUGCAUACUAAUCUUUGUAUUUUACUUUUAACAAAAUCAUGUUUAGAAAAUAGCAAUGACAUGAAUCUAAUAUGUGAGAGAUAUUAUAAAUGAUUAAUUAAUUUAGAUUAAUUUCGAGAGACUUGAGUUUGAUCAUAUUUUUACCUAUAAUAUACAUAAUUUGAAACGAUUUUGUUUGAUGUUAUUUAAAAAAAGAAUAAAUAUAGUGUUAUAAUUUUUUUCUUGAAUUAUUUGAUUUUGUUUGUUGUAAAAAUUGGUUUAAUUUUUAAAUUUAGUUUUUAAAAUUUAUUUAUUAGAUUUAUGGGGUUAAUAUAACUUGUAAUAUGAUAUAAUGUUUAAUAUAUAGUUAUAUAUAUAUAUAUAUACAUAUAUAUAUAUAUUCUUUAUAUAUACUAUACGCUUCCAUCGCGUACCGCUUCCGUAAAAUUUUCUAAAAAAUCGCUUCAGCGCUUCUAAACGAUUCCGUUUCCGCGUAUCCGCUCCUGUUUCCAUGCAACAUAGCAUAAAACCAUUUACCUCAUGUCGAAGUAGGUUCAUUCCAUACCACUAUGCCACUUUAAGCCAUCACCAUCUAAAAGGUAACUUAUUUAUAUUUUACCUGGUGUCAACAACACUUCUAUCCACCAACAUGGGUCCGCCUCCGCCACUAGAUAAUUGGGUAAUAUUAAUUGUUCUUUUAUGUUGAGUAAAAAGAUUUCUUGCUUUAGAUAUAUGAAUACAGAGUUUGCAGUGUGGGAAAUCGACAUAAAAAGUUUUAAGGGCGUUUUGAAAGACGACAUAUAUUGAACAAUAUAUAUUAUGUAAGUAAAUAUUACAUCAGCACAAUUUGGUAAACACUGCUCUCGAGAGCACCCAAAACCCCAUCACAUUCCAAAUGUAAAAGAAAGUAAGGGUGAAUGGUAGGGGCAGUCAAUGAACACAGUGAUAUCACGUUUAAAUUCUGCCACUAGUGGAAAAUGUAAUUUCUGGCUGAGCAUUAUAUUGAUCGAUAUAAUUGACUCGUCCAAUUUUUUUUAUAAUAACAAUAAAAGUAAAAGCUCACGUAAACGCAACAUAUUUUCUGCACAACACGAAAUGUAUUUGUUAGUGCAAAAUGUGAUAUGGCUCGGUUUAAUUUGGGCAUGAUCAUUAACAUGGAGUGUAUUUUCUGAACGUAAAUGAAUUAGAAGCAACCAAACAUUGUAACAUUUCGAUAAGUUAAAAAAUAUGUCAGAUUGAAGAACUGAGAAUUGAGUUUGGUAAAAGUAAAAUAAACAUAACUCAAGAUAGUGUGAUAUUAGUGAGAAAUUGCCUGCAUCAGCUCAUAUCUAUUCCGACUUCGAAAGGUCAGCUUACGUCUCACCGCAUCCUACUAUAAAAAUAUUAAAUAAAAUAAGUGGAAUCCUUCUAAAAAUUAAAAUAAAUAAUUAAGAGUUUUUGGACCAAUAUCCAAAUAUUUUAAAAUGAUGCUCAAAUGUUUUUGUGGACCAAUUGCAUGCGAUCGUUCGUCUUUCGGGACAUCAGGAAACAGGAAGACCGUAUGACGCACUUCACGGUCCGCACAACACACACCACUUAUUUCCACUUUAUUAUCUCUACGCUCUUCCAUUUCUUUGUUUUAUUUUGUUAGGUCAAUUGCUCGAGAUCUUAAAACUUCCAAAAGCAAAUAUUUUAAUUUGUCUUUAACAAAAUAUAAUAAUUUAAUUGGUAACUAUUCUCUUAAUGAUAUUUUAUGGAACACCAAUCUUUACCUACAAGAACUUAACAUAUACAAAUCUCUUUACAUAAUUUAUUUUCAUGUUUAUUAAAAGUAAAUAAUAGCAAAAUUUCAAAAUAUUAAAAAUUAUCGUCCGUUUUUAUUCGAUUAUACUUGUGUUCAUGAUUCUAAUGAGCAUAGAAGUUACUCAAAUGAGGUAAUUAGGUAAAAGAUAUCAAUAACUUGAGUUACUUUUUUUUUUUUUUUUUUACUAACGAGAACAUCUAAAAUAACCACACUUUUUCUAUUUAUUUAUGUUUCCCUCACAUUUUCGAAUUGAAAACGCAAGUAAUUUCUUUUAAUUUUGCUUCAUUAAUAAUUUUCUGAAAUUUCGAUUCCAGUUCCGAUUUCGAUUCCAAAUUGGAAAUGAUAAUCUUCGGUAAAAUUUUCAUACAACUUAGAUUAUACAUGUUUUGAUUAAUAUAUAGGCAAAAUUAUAUUAGUACUAUUAUAAAUUAAUUACUAUCGGGGUUAUUAAUUGUGGACAGUGUAGGAGUCAUUCUAACGGAUUAUAACUUACAUCUAAGAAGAGUUGUAAUAUGAUCUGAAAAAUGUCUUUUCAGGUUAGGUAAAGAGAUAGAGCCCCAAAAAACAAGAAUUACAAGAAGAAAAAAUGAAGUAAAAGCUAAAGACGCCUUUGUAAUAAUUUACAUAAUAAAAACCAUACACGUAAACAUUAUAAACUUUUAUAAUAAAAAAACAUUAGCAACUAAGUAUUAAUGUAAAGCUGUACUUUGUUAUGCAAUUUGACUAGAAACUCUCAAUUGGAUUACACCAAAAGAAGCAAUUAGACCAGUUGUGUGCGAAACAAAACAAAAAAAUUCCUAAAUGGAGAACAGCUACCUAAAUAUAUGCACAUUUAAAUGAGAAACGAGGAAAUAAAUCGAUGCCCCAUAUUGGAAAGCUAAUUCAUGCUUUUUCUCUGCAUGCAACUUGUGACAAAGAAAAGUUAUGAUUUCUCUUUUUAGUAGAACAAAUAGAGCUAAUUGAGUAAUUGUCUUUGUUAGAGUUUUCUUUUUACCAAAUCUGUGAAUGAGUAAAUACAAUUCUAAACCUAUCAUUUAAUAAGCGUUAAAAACUGCGAUAAAAAUACUCCGUUGGCAUGUCUACAAUGGGAAACGGGACGGAAAAUUAUGGGUAUAGAUCGAAGACGGAUAGUUUCAAAGUUAAAAUAUAUUAACCGAGGGAUUUCCAUAAAAUGACGGGACAUAUAAUUCGGGUAUCGGGUUCGGUAUGAGAAUUCGGAACUCAAAACUUACUUCCCAAAACAUUCCCAAACUCUCACUAAAUCGGGUAAGGGUCACGGGAAAGAGUUUGAGUAAGGGUUCCGGAAAUUCGGGUACAUACCAAAAAUAACAAUAUUACAAUGUUAGGACUUGUAGCUGAACUGCUAACACCACCACUUCGUGCCAAACAACACUAGUACACACAAGCUCAAUAAUCUAGAUUCACCAUCAGAUUUCUCAAGUUUUGGAUGUACCUUGAGUUAAGAGGGAAAUUCGAACCCGACCAAGAUUGAAAAGGAGAACUCGAUUCUCUGUUUUGUUUCUUUGCGAUUUUGGGAAAGGAUCUAGCUGGUGUUUGAUAUUUUUCUUUUGUUUUUGAUAUGUCGUGUACACUGUGAGAGAAAGAGAGAUAUAAAUAAUGUAGGAGUCUGUGAGAAGUUGAAGUUGUGAAAACUUGAUCCAUUUCGGUUAACCGUUCGUUUAUCGGUUGGAUCCAUUCGGUUUCAGUUCUUUCGGUUUCAAAAUUUAGUAUCCAUUCGGAUAUUUUGAAAUUUCGGUUCGGUUCCGGUUCCGGUUCCGGUUCGGUUCGGUACAUUCGGUUCGGUUUAUUUGUCCAGACCUAAUUAUUGGACCAUAUCCAAAUAUUUGAGCCCAAUGGAAUUUGACUUUUUUUUUUUUGUAGCAUAUCAAGUACUCAAAUGGGAAUUUAGGGUAUUCCCAAACCCAUUCUUGACCCUUUCUCUUACACAUUUUAAUGUAAUUCUCCGAACAUGUAAUUGUAAUUUUCCAUUCCCCCCCAAAGUACAUAAUUUGGGGAUGGAAACGGGUCUUCCAUCCCAAAAUGAACAUGGCUAGUAAAUAAUACGAAUUCUCUAUUACACCCUACCUCCUUGUCUUCUCGUUUAUCUUUCGAUUCGUAUCAUUUCUUUGUUCAUUUAAAUUGGAUACUCUAGUAGUGCUUCUUGAUUUUAAGUAUCCUUGAACAGUAUCUACAAAAAAAUAUUUGAAGAAGACAUAGAGAUAUGAGAACCCCUAAAACUUUUGAAUAUCUGCUGUGUUAGACCACCAUUAUUAAUAGACUCUUAAGACAACUCUUAAGAAUCUAAGAGACUUUUGUUAGUUAUAAGACAUAUUUCUUAGUUAAGAGUUGUCUUAAAAAUCUAUUGAUAAUGGUGCUCUUAGCUAUCUAAUAUUUUCUCUUGCAACGGAUACUCAUCAUAUUAAACGAGAAAUGUCACUGCUCACGCAUUUCUCUUUAUGUCUUGGUCUUAUCCACAGAUUUCAUAGCCCAAGCUGACACAAAUCAUCUUUUUUUCAAGCCCACACAAUUCUUUGGCCAUAAAUAACCACACCAACACGAAAUCGGGAGCCCAAUUCAUACUUUAAUACCGAAAGUGAACUUCACAUAAUCAAUAAAGCUUCCUUUUUUUGGUUAUUUAAUUAAUUACUAUACUGAGUGAGUGAGUGUACUCAAAAAAUCAAAAUGCUCCAGAAUAAAUACUCCCUCUGUUCCUAGAAGAUUGAUUUUCUAGAGAUUUCACAUUUCUUAAGAAACAAUCAUUGUUUAAUUAUUUACUUUUAUUAAAUAUUUUUUAAUAAACUAUGAACCAAUAGUAAUCUGAAACAGUUAAUCAUUACGCCUUGAAAUCUACGAUUUACUAAAAUCAAUUAAUUAAAAAUAAAAAGAAAUCUAGAAAAUCAAUCUUUGUGAAACAAACUCAAAACACUAGAACAUCAAACUUCAAGGAACGGAGGGAGUACUUUUAUUAUCUUGCCAACGUAAAAACAAAUAUAAAUGUAAUUUAUUAGAUUUUUUCUUAAUAAUAAUGGGUGCAAUUUAGAUAGUUUGAUUAUGGAGACUAGUUAGAUAAAUAAUCUUGGUGACUCACCAAAACUUUAAACAAUUAUUUUUGAGAUAAUUAGUUUGGAUUUAUCUCAGGAUAUCCAACUUUUAUAAAAGAAGUGUUAAAUCUCUCACACACACACCAAAGAAAUGAGAAUCUUUCACGUGAGAAUGCAGCUUUUUUCGAAUUGAGUUUGUUUCAUUUCAUGCCAAAAGUAGUCUUGUGAUAAUGAUGUACAAUUCAGAUUUCUGUUUUUUUUUUUCUAGUUUUUGUUUUCUUAAGUUUAAUUUAUUUACAACCGAAAUACUACUUGAUUAGUGGUUUACAAAUUAUACAAGGGGUGAGAACUUUUUUAUUUACAUUAAUAAUAGUAGUAUUUAUUUAAAAAAUGUGGAAACUCGUGAAAUAAAAUAUCUUACCGACAAAUACAAAAUAAAAUGGUGAAAGAACAAGACACUGCAUUAGCCUGCAUGCCUCGAAUAAAACCAUGUACCUUUUUUUAAUACCGAGUAAAAAUUUUGAAUAUCGAUACUCAACAAAUCAUUCUUGCACAAUGGUUAAAAUAUAUUCUAGAACCAAAACUUUUAAAAUUGUUACCAUUCUAAUUUUAACUUAUCUAUCAAUGUUUAAGCAUUAUAGAAUCGAAAUAAAAAGAGAAUUAAACAGAAAGCAGUUUCAACUUUCAAGAAUAAUACAUAAUUUCAUAGUUGGACUACAUAACAGAACCGGAAAUCGCAAACUUAACCAAUCCAAACCAGACUAAACCAAACAAAGUCAUGAGAAGAUCAGUCCGAUGUUACGAUAAUAACCCUACAACAUAGCCGAAACAUUAGUGGCAGAAGAUGACUUUGAGCUCUCUAGGAGAAGAACAGUCAUGCAUAAGCGAAGGACUAUCAUGAGCAAAUGUGAAACUCGAA